rnacentral:lncRNA from 1 species
UCACGCCCCGGGACCGCUGCCAACUUGGCCCGACCCGAGCACGUCAAACAGACGCCGGACGGACAGAGUUUCCCCUAUCCGCCCAAGGCUCAUCACAUGUACAUUUUCAUCAAUAGAGAAAAGCACUAGCGGAAACAUACACAAACGGCUUACGCGAGGGUAAGCAAUAGCCAUCAGUGAAAGAAAGGAAAACUAAACAUUCACAAGUAAUAUGAUUCAUUUUAGAUCAUAUACAUUGCAUCCAUCUCUUACAUUUAAGAUUCUUUGCUGUUCUUACAUAAUCUCAUCAUUUCUUUCUUACAACACAUUUACCUCAAAAUAAGCUUUGCAUUCUUUUCUUUACAUCACUAAUCAUCAAGUACAAAAGAUGAUAAAAGGGUGUCUACUAACAAAAUGUAACCCAACUCUGGUGGCCUCUGACUAAGGCGCGAUACCUUUACCUCGGUCGCUCGCCGGCUCGCUCGGUCCCGGCUCUGUGGAAAUAGUGGGGUGAGAACUACAACAAAGUUCCCAGUGGGUUCGGCCUCAACAUCACCGACUUUCCCACUAGGACUAACUCAGGCAUAAUAGAAAGGAUAAGCUGAAAUAUGGUAACCAAUCUAUAACAUGAUGCUAAUAUGCCUGAACAAAAGCAAGGAAUAUGCUCAACAUUAAUAGAUGCAGGUUAUGCAUGUUCUUUAGUUCUUUUCACUUUACUCUUUGUUCUUUAUUCUUUGUUCUUUGCUCUUUAAUCAUUAAGGCUAACCCGGGGGUUUCGCCAUAUUAACUUGCCUCACGCUAAGUCCAUCAUCACAGGUACUCACCAGUUAGGACCGUCCUUUCGGGUCUACUCCAACCCGGAUGCAUAACUCCGGAGCGCAUCGCCCGAGGGGGGAGCGACCGCCCUCGAGCACGGAACUCAACAGCAAGUAUGAUCAUAUCCUUAACUCAAAGGAUUAUAGUUCAAUCUUGACUUUACACUAGCUCUAGUGUUCUUUACAUCACUUUAUGUUGCAAACUCAUGCAAUCACAUUCUUUACAUUCUCAUUACUCUUGCUAACUCUAGCAAUCAUUGUUCUUUGCAUUUCUUUUACUUUUGCUAACUCUAGCAUUCUUGUUCUUAUUGCCCACUUUACUUUAGCUUUACUCGUCGUUAUUUUCAUCAUUCUUUACAUCACUUUAAUUCUUUACAUCACACUAACUCUAGUGUCAUUUCACAUUAGCUUUAUCGAAUGCCACUCGAUCUAUGUCAUUGUGCCACUCUGUUUUUUUGCUCACUUUGGGUGCUCACUUUUCUCUCAUGCAUACAUAUAGGGUUUUGACAUUAUUAGGUUCUCAACCAUCUCAAUGCAAGUUGUGCUCACAAUUAUGCAAUCAUCACAUUUCAUCAUUACUUUACCCUAAAAUGCAUGCAACAAUACAUAUAACAUAUGCUCAAAGAAUGACACAUUAGGCAUAGAGAGAAUUUCAAUGAGUUUGAGAAGCACCACCCACCUUGUAGGUCUCUUUAGGUGCUCCGAUGAUUUUCUUAGAAUUUUUAGAUGCCUCGUUCUUUACCUGCGGCAAAACGAACCCUUAUUAGGCCAUUUUGCCCAUAACCUUUCAUACACUUUUCGAAAUGCUAUUCCGAGCGCACCAACGCGUCGGAAAUACCCCCAAUUAGAUUUUUAGAGGGUCAAUUGCACUUAGCAAUCCUCAUGAGCAAAAGCCCCAAUUUGGUGCCCUAGCUCUAACACAUGUAUCAAACCUAGGGUUUGAUCUCUAAGAGAAGCAAAAGUAGCUUCAUUAUACUCUAAAUAAUCUAUUAGAACCAUUCUUAGCUCACUCCAAACCCUAGUUUGGAUUUCACCAUUAGAGGUGGGUUGAAGCUCACCUUGAGCUCAACCAUGGAUUUGAUCUCUAAAGAAGCAAAAGAAAGCUUCAAAAGACUCUAAAAGCUCCAUAAAAAUCAAUUCUAGGUCUACCCAAACCCUAGUUUGGGAGUAAUCAUGAAAAGGGGCAAAGCUUACCUCAAAGCUUGCCCUAACUUGCACUAGAGAGGAAGAAGAUGAAGCUCCUUUGGCUCUUUGAUCUUUUUCUUCACUUCCUUCUCCUUCUUUUCCUUCUUUUCUUCCUUUCUUCUUCUUCUCCUUUGUCUUCUAGAGAGAGAGAGGGAGAGAAGAGAGUGUGAGAGGGUGAGAAAUGAGAGAAAAAACCCCUCAGCCCCCCUAACAUAGCUCAAUGGGUUGCCAAAAUGCAAAUAAACCCCUCAACUUUCACUUUAAUACACUGCCCGAACUGGGCAUUCCGCGCAGGCAGAGACCGGUCUCCCCGAGCAGGGACCGGUUCCCGAACGUCCACCCUGCGCAGCCAGAGCUGCUGCGCGCAGGGCAACCGGUCUCUCCUUAUGGGACUGGUCUCUGGGGGACCGGUCUCUCAGGCAGAGACCGGUUCCCGAGAGCUAUCCUUCCAGGACUUAGCCGAUUUUUCGGCUGUCUCAUUUCAUACGUGUUCGGGGACCGGUCUCUCCCUUUAGGGACCGGUCCCCGAGAGCUGAAAAUCUGCAGUCUUGCAGAAUUUGAUUCUUUAGCUCUCGAAAACCUUCCACAACUCACUUUCGAUCAUUUUAGCACCUUCGGACUUUUCGAAGUGUACCGUCCUCGUACUUUGGUCAAUUUGACUAAAGUUCGAUAUUUAUUUUCCGAAUUUUCGAUAUAUUACAAAAGCUACAAAUCAAAAAUCUCCAAAUCUUAAUACCAAAAUCCAAACUGAGGGUUUGAUUAAUAGAAACAUCGAAAACAUGAUUAAAACCGGAAAUACAAUUAUACCUCUCAAGAAGCUUCAAAAACAGCUCGAGUCCUCAGGUGAGAGUUUGAUCCUAAUCAAAGCCUCCAACCAACUCUCAAGUUCUCCGAAUGGGUGCAGAAAACCCACAAAACAGCGAAGAAGGAAGAAGAGAAAGGAUCAAAAACCCUAAACACACAAAAAGGAGGAAGAAAUUACAAGGGCGAGAGAGUUUCACCUUUGAUCUCCUCUGAGUUAGGGCUCAAAACCGCAGUAAGGGCGGCUGAUGUGAUAUUUAAAGGGUUGUAACAAUUGCAAAAAGAUCCGUCACGAAUAACAUGUGCCAAACUGCACUGUCUCGUACGUCACGCGUGUUUGUGUCCGUACAUCAAUCCACUGAAAUAGGCCAAACCAGGCAGCCUGGAUAUUGCCUCAAAUCGUAUUGUGUAACCGGUACGAGCUCUGCGUACGAUACAGAAGCCUGGGUACGGUCAGCAAACACGGCGUACCUGGAACACAGCCCUCUGAGGCAAACCUGAGAGCUAACAAAAAAUCCGAUCUUUAGAUUUGGUCAGCUCAAGACCACACAAUUACUUGGGAUGCGAAGCAUAGAGGCGAACCUUGUCUACGACUUUCAGAAAACUGAAAAAAGCAUCGACACACAAUCACACUCACCUGCCGCAAUUUGCAAAGGUCCAGUGUGUUACAUGGUUUAAGAUUGAGCUUUUCGAUGUUCGUUUCGAUUGUGUAACUCUUGUUCCUACAUCUUUAGGGUGCUAGGAGACUAGUGGACACCUCUGUUCAGCAAAACGAAGAGUUUCGAUUUUCGGUGGGUUUGGCUUCAUGAAAACGGAGCGAAAUAGCCCCCGUGUUUUCUAUACUUGUCGUAACGUCAUUUUAAAUGCAAAUCUAUGCUUAACGGAAUUUAUGUGAAUUUUAGAACACUUAAAAUACAUGUGUUAUUUAUAAAAAAAUUUGCACUCUAUAUAGUAGAGCAUUCUGGGUAUUGUUACAUGCAAUUGGGUAGUGUUCGCAUUAGUCGUUUGGAAACAUGCUUCAUAUUUUUAAAGUGGCUCAAUUAUGCAUUUAUGAACAUUUGGGUUAAGCUUGGACUUAGUAAAUGAAAGUGUCAUAAAGGGGCACUUAGACUAGCACACUAUGAGACUAUUGUUUUGAGACUUAGAGAUAGGCCAUUGACAUCUACUACUUUCCAUGUUUUAGACAUGAUGACAUAGAGAUAGGCCUAUGAGAGAGUUGUGACAUAUUCCAUGUUGUUAGACAUGAGGAUUUAGUACUUGAGACGGAUCUUUCGUUACUUACCAUUGUGCUCAUUCGCACAUGCUUGUGAGGGUCGCUCCCUACAAGCCGGCACUCCGGAGAUGGCCAUCGCGAUACAUAUUCGCCGUGCGGGAUUGGGCACCGAAGUGGAUUGCCAUGGGAAAGGCUCAUCCUAGAGUGGGGAUGUUGACUACCACGGGGCCAUUAGGCUCGGUACCGGCCAGACAGCCUACGGGUGGGUCUCAGGGCCAGACAGCCUUCGGGCGAGUCUCUUCAGAUUUGAUUUUGAGCAUUCAUCAUGCCAUGUACAUUGAUUAGAAUAGUAAACAAGGACAUCUUUACUAUUUGACUUAUAGAUAUCAUACUAGUGAUGCUUGGGUACAUUCAUACGAGAAUAGCUUUUCUUACUUAGGCUAAAUCAUGCUAAGUAGAGAUAUUAUGUGGUAGCAAAUAUUCAUGCUUAUUUACUUGUCGUACAUAUCGUAUUUGUUUACAUCUAUUUACUGACCCCUUUUUAGUUUGGGCCUAGUGGUGCAUUUCACUUAAGCCAGUAAUUGCCCACUGGGAACUAUUAUUCAAUAGUUCUCACGCCUCCUGUUUUAUGGUUUUAUUUCAGAACCUUCAGCACCGGCGGUGGCACUGGAUCGCGGCAAGGGAGUCGCAUAGCUAGAUAGCAGAGCUUGCUGUUGCUCCUAGAUAGUCACUCUCUCAUUUUUGGAUUUUGUGAGAGAGAGAGUUUUGAGUACCAUGUAUAGAGAGACCACCUAUGUACUUGUUUAGCUUUUGUAUUGGGAUUCCUAGUGUAUUCACUUCAUGUUUUUACUUAGUGGAUUUACUUUUAUAUUCCUCACCCUUAUUGUAGCUUCUAGACAUACCUUGCUCUGAUGCUUCUAGAUGUUCUUUUUAUUGUCUUACUUAUCGUUUUGUUUUAGACGCCUUGUAUAUUUUAGAUAUACAGCGGGUCUGGGUACGCGCCGGGCGGGCUUCCGCUGGAUCCCGGAGCAUGACAUUUCGCCUUUCGGAGAGAGAACGGGUUCCGCUGUGAAUCCGUGAUCCAUCGAGGCAAACCAAAAUCGUGGGUUUGUUGUCUCCGUUGUGCUGAUCGCACUGGCGUGAUCCGUUCGCAAAUCUGACGGACGAAUCUGCGGAUAAUGCGCGUUGUUCGAGGAGGGGUCUAAGAUGGCAAAACGAUAUUCUUGCGAAAAGCGCGACAUUUUAUGUGCCAUUUUGCGUGAAACCGAAGGAGGAGGUGUGAUUCGACAGUUUUACACGCGCUGUGAAGGACCCAGUAUUAAAUACUGAGGUUUGGUAGGCUAACUCGCAAUUGUACACUUCUCUAUAUAAAGUUCACCUAGGGUUUGCCCAUUGGAAACCCUAACCCUAGCCUUGCCGCACCCCCCAGCCCCCUUCAUCUCUCUCCCCUACCCCGCAGCGCACGCGCCGGCCGCCGCCGACCAAGCCCCGGCCGGCCAGCAGCCGCUGCUGCCGCAGCCGCAACCUUUGCCACCUUUCCUCUCCAUCUUCUCCUUCCACCUCUCUUUAUCUCGGGUUGAGGACGAGGCCGAGGUUGCUCUCCUCUCCGGCGUCACCCCCGUAGCCCCGGUGACCUCCCCCGCCGCCUGCUGCCGUCACUGAGCGCGGCCGCCGCGCUGCAGCCACCUUGCUGCCAGCUAGGGCAUCUCGGGCCGAGCUGAGCUCCAUCUGCUAGCCGCGCGCCGUCGUCGCCUAAGGCUGCUCCCGCCGCCUUCCCCGGAGCCUCGGCGACCACCCCGGUCGGUCGUCGCCGCCGCCCCUGCGGGCCACCGCCGCCGCCUCGGCCAGUUGUGGCCGCCCCAGACCCGCUCGGGCCGAGGUGGACUCGCAACUUCUCCCCCCCGCACCGCCGCCGCUCGGGGCCGCACCCGAGGCAUCCUUUCGGCCUCUAGCAACUCCCUGCCGUCAUCCCUGAGCUUCCCGGCCGCCGCCGUGGCUGCCAUUGCUCUGGAACCCGAGCCCUAGCCCAUACGGGCUCAGGCUGCUCCGCCGCUGCUGCCGCUGCACCUCGCUGCCGUCUAAGGUGAGCCCUGUGCUCCUCUUUUCCCCCGCACCCACCCCUGGCCCGCGUGCACCUUGUCGCGCCGCCGGAAGCUGGCCGGAGCAAGCUUGCUCCGGCCAAGCCCAAAAUAGGGCUCUUCUCGGAUGGCUUACUGUUCCGAGCGACCGGAGGCUUCCCGAUCUCUACGGAAGGGAGCACGAUGAUUGUUACUCUUUGCUGAUCAUCGUGCUCACCUUAUAUUCUGUCGGGAAGACUUCGUUCUGCUAUUUCGGCAGUGUCGCCCCUUUAGGGCCUUCUUGGCUGCUAUUUCGGCUUUGCGCGCACCUUUCCGGCAAUCCGAGGCUGUCCCGAUGCCUCCGGAGGUGAGCACGGUGAUCGCUGGUUUGUGCUGAUCACAGUUCUCACCUUACUUUGGAUCAUCGAAUGUCGUAUCGGCCUGUUCAACGCGAUUUUUCCCGACUGCGCGCUGUGCGCAGAACAUUCGGGUUGCUCCCGUGCCUCCCACAGUGAGCCGUUGUUCUCCGCAUCAUGAGCACGCCCUCCGGCACGUCGAGACCUAUCAGUACGUGUCUCGGCGGACCUUGGAAGUCCUCGGUUUGCGAGAACGAGCCACUAAAUCACCCGAUUUACAUAAAAUGAUAGAUUUUAUGUAAAUAUAGGGAUUUUUAUGCAUUUGUGCACCUUAUGGCUACUGUGGGCAGUGUGUAUGUGUGUGUGGUGACCUCUGGACUGAUUGUCCAAGUUCCGUUAGCCUUCGUGGAAAUCGAAAGUCGAUUUCGGUGCGUUUUUCGGCGAAAUUCGCCGAAAGAACGCGGUUUCGGUUCGAAUUUCUUCUGACGUUGUUUGGUUGCCCUGUGAAUUGUCACUGAGCCUUGUUGGCUGGUCACCAUCAUCAUAUUGUGGGUUCGGUGAUGACGGGUGAGCGACGGUGGGUUCCGGUGUCGAAAUAAACACUUCCGAGAACCCGGAUUCGUACAUUUAUCCGGCGAUAAUUGUGUAGUGGUGUUACCUCGUGUUUGCUGCCAAGACAUCCAAAUCGGAGAGUUUUGUUGCAGCGGGUUACUCGUGACACAAGUCGGUGAGUUUCGGGACACUUAGUGGGUUCCGAUGGCGUCCCGGUGUGAUUUUCGGGACUUUCGGCAAGUUACGGUGAUCGGUUUUGGAAAACCGAUUUUGGGGACUUGUAUGGGGGUUUGUGAGUUGUGUACUUCAGGUUAGUGGUUUGGAUACUAACUUAGUGGAUCUUCUUAGGUCCGGUAGACUCCGUGCGCACUUAGUGUUCCGACACGAUAGUGACAGGUGGGUGCUUUGAGCUAGUAGUCGGUGAGAUUGUUUCACCUUUCAUCUGUUCUUUCAUAUCAGUAUCGUAGCCUCUACAUGUCAGUUGAUUGUUUAUCAUUUGUUUAUCGUAUCUCAUUGAUUGCAUUUGGAUAGUUGUGGAUAGACAUGUAGAUGUAACACACUGAACCGUCGCAAAUAGUGAGGUUUGAGUGUUUGAUUUGUGUUCCAAACUUUUCCACACUUUGUGGAGGGCCGUGGAUAGUGUUCCGACCCAUGGUUCGAACUCCGAGAUUGGAGGUUUAAAACCCAGCACCAAAUCCGAAAAGUCGGAUUUUUGGUCAGCUCUCGGGUAGCCUCAGCAGGGCUGUGUACCGGUACGGGGUUGAUGGCUGCACCGGUACGCGCUGAUGGCUAUACCGGUACGGGGCUGGUGAACCGGUACACAGACAGAUUUCGUGCAAACCUGAGGCUCGGGUUUGGCUCUUUCGCAAGUGUUGAACCGGUACGCGAGCCCGUGUACCGGUACACAGUGCAGUGCGAGCAGUUUUCGGGCAGGGGUGUUUUUGUAAUUGUUACAACACCUAUAUAUUGCACCCCAGCUUUAACACACUGGACCUUUGCAAAUUGCGAGGUCCGAGUGGUUGGUUGUGUGCUGAGCAAUUCCAGACUUUCUGGUGGGUCGUUGACAGUGUUCCGACCUAUGGCUCGCAUUCCGAGAAGUGAGGUUUAAAGCCUAGCACAAAAAUCCGAAAAAUUGGACUUUUGGUCAGCUCUCGGGUAGCCUUCUGCAGGGCUUGUACCGGUACAAGGCUGAUGGUUUUAUCGGUACAAGGCUGGUGGUUGUACCGGUACAGGGGGCUUGUACCGGUACAGAGCCGCAGAACCCGCCAACCCGAGCCUCGGGUUGUGAUUUUCGUGGGGCUUGUACCGGUAUAGGGGCCCGUGUACUGGUACAAGGUGGCAGAAUUUGAGCAGUUUGAACUGCAGGGGUGUUUUUGCGAUUGUGGGUCCCUUAUAUCAGCACCCACGCCUCUAGGGCCCUCCUUUGAGCUCUCCACUGUAGGGAGAAAGGUAAGGCACCUCUCCUCUUCACCCCCUUUGGAUUUGAUCUCUUUUUAGCUUGGGAUUUAAGUGUUGAUCCUUCUCUUUUCCCUUUUCUUUGCUUUUCCACCAUUGUGAAGCUUGGAGCUUGGUCUUGGUGGAUUGUUGAGGGAAGAUCUUGGGAAUUUCAAGAGUUUAGAGCUUUGAUUGAGGCUUUUAAGAGGUAAUCCACUUAUUCUCUCCCUCUAGAUUGGAUUUUAUUGAUGGUUUUGAGAUGAAACCCUAGAAUGAGGUUUUAGGGCUUAUUUUGGGCGUUUUGAUUCUAGGGCUUUUGGGGCUAAAUUAUUUGGAUUAGAGCACUCCUUUGGGUCGGGUUGGAAGGAUCUUAGCCUUCUUUUGGAGCUUGUGAGAGUUUUUCCCCACCCUCUGUGAGAUUUUAACCCUUUUGCCUUGUUGGUUAAUGUUUGAUCUUACAGUUGAUCGUAAUGCCCGUGUAUCUCUUCGCUCAAUACUUUUAGGGUGAUUUGAGACUCGUGGACAACUUUGUUCGGCGAGACGAGGCACUACGCGACGGUUCGGUGGGUUUGACCUAGCCACACAAUGAGAAAUUCUUAUUUGUGAUGAAUUAAGUAUCGUUAAUUGAAAAAGCAUGCAUAUUCUUGUUAUAUGCAUUUAUUGUGAAUUUUAAAAUGCUUAAAAUGCCUAAGUUACAUAUGAUGAAAUUUUGGACCUCUAUGUAGUAGAGAGUUGCUUGGGAGAUCUAUGGUUGCAUUUAGCAUUCUAUAUGAGACUUGGUUUCAUACUUCUAUAGUGUAAAUGAGCUUGGAUUCAUGCAUUUAAAUCUAAGUUUAUUUGAGACAUGAAAGAUGACAAAAUAGCCAUAUAGGGGUAUCGAACUAGAAUGCAUGUGAAUUGGUGAGCUAAUGUCAUUAAGCGGCAUUGAGCUCGGAUUAUGUGUGAACCUAGUGGUUAGAGCCAUUGCGGGAUUUGGUUUAUGUUGAACAUUAAAUUGCCUAAGUGUCAUCAAGGGGCACUAGGCGUAGUGAGUGUUUGGAACUUCGCUUUGUAACUUAACUAGAUCUUCGGGAUGCUAGUGACGAUACCAUGUUAGAGACAUGAGGUUUGGGUACUUAAGACUUGGACUAUGCUUGUUUGCCAUUUGUGCUCAUUCGCACAUGCUUGUGAAGGUCGCUCCCUACAAGCCGGCACUCCGGAGUUAGCCUACGCGACCUAUGUUCGCUCGUGCGGUAUUGAGAAGCCUACGGGGUCGAGUGGGACAGACACAUUCCAAGAGUAGGAAUGUUGGGCUACCACAGGCACUUAGGCGACACAAGCUCGACUACCUUUGGUAGGUCCUUAAUUGGAAAUGAAAAUCGACACGGUGUUGAGUUUAUUAUAAUCACUACUAGAUAGAGAAUAGUAGUUGGAUUACUUGGACUUGCUUCUAGCAUAGUUUUGGGUACUUGGAUAUACAUACAUGCAUGUAGCAUGCUAGGAGAUGUUUCUUAUCGCAUUCAUAUAUACAUUGUUGCCAUGAUAAAGCAUGAUCUUCAUAAUUUCAUAAAGCAAAUAAUGAUUAUUACUUGUGGUCAUGUCAGGACGUACUUGUUCAUAAUGAAAUAGGUGUACAUCAUAUUUGACACAAUGUAGUUCCUUAGCAUGUUUAUUUAUGCUUUCAUAAAUGCACUUUAUUCAUUACUAUUGCUCUUCCUUGACUUACCCUUUUCUUUUGGGGCCUAGUGGUGCAUUGAGCUGAGGUCAGUAAUUGCCCACUGGGAACUAUAAAUUAUAGUUCUCACGCCCUCUGUUUUAUGUUUCUUUCAGAGCCUUCCACGCCGGGAGAGGCUAGAGACCGAGGGAAGGGAGUUGCUUCGAGCUAGCUUCCUUCGAGGGCGAUUUGAUAGGUGGUCUACCUCUCGUGGUUUUAUUUUGUGAGAGGUUGUGAGUUGUAGCCGUAUAUGUAUAGAGACCACCCUUCUUUUGGAUCUUUGUAUUCCUUUUGAGGAGAUAGCAUUGUAUCACUUUGUGCUUUUCUUUCAUUGUCUAGUUAUGUUUCUUUUACUCUGGUUUAGAUGAUAGAACUUUACUCGCUUUGAUAUCAUUAGUUGUUAUUAUUCUAUUUGUUCUAUUUCUUGCUUUUACUUCCGCUUUUAUUGUAAACGCCUUAUAUGUGUAGACAUAUGGCGGGUUUGGGCGCGCUACCGGGAGGGCCUCCGCCGGUCCCGGGGCGUGACACCAGCCCCCUUAGAGGGCUUUCUUGUGCCCUAACUAGUGGAGAACAAGGUGAGAACUCUCCCCUCUUGGUUCUUCUCCAUUUUUGAUGGGUUUUUGCUUAUUUUGAUCUUCUCCUCUUUAUGUUUCUUUGCUCCUUGUUGGUUUCCUCCAUGGGAGAAGCUUGGAGCUCAUGAUUGGAGCUUCAUUGAGGGAAGAUCUUGGGAGCUUGUGGACUUUGGGCUUGUCGGAAGCCUUCUAGAGGUUAGUGGCUAACUUCUUUCCUCUAGAUCCUAAUUUUGCUGCUUUUUGUUGGUAGAAACCCUAGAUUUGGGAUAUUAGGGUUGGAAUUUGGGGAUUUUUGAUUUGUGGGCUUUAGGACCAAAUUGAUGGGUUUAGAACCUUCGUGUAGGUUGGGUUGGAAGGAUUCUUGCUCCCUUUUGGAGAUCAAGAGAGAUUUUCACCACUUUUAGUGAGUUUUUAGCCCUUUCCUUGAGUUGCUUAAUGUUUGAACUCAUGAUUUGUCGUUUCGAUGUUGUAACUCCCCUAACCUAUCUCUUAGGGUGCUAGGAGUGAUUACCGAAGCUUUGUUAGCAUUUUGGACGCCUGCGCGAAGACUUUGGUGGGUUUGGCUUCAUUGAAAUAGGGGAAAAUGCCUCCUACGUGGUUAAAUGUUUUCGUAUACUAUAAAUGCAUGCAUAUCCAUGUUGAAUAGAAUUCAUAUGAAUUUUAGAAUGCUUAAAACUCAUAUGUUAUGCAUCAUGAUAAAGAUUGACUCUAUGUUGUAGAGAGAAGCAUAUGCAUUGUUAGUAUGCAUGAGUUCAAUGUUCUAAUGAAUGAUCUAAGAUCAUGUUUCUUGUGUGGAAAAUGAUUAGAAUGAUAAGCUUUUAGACUUACUAUUCAUAUUGGGACAUUGUAAGCAAAAGUUUCAUAAAGGGGCACUUGAACUAGAAAAUCGUUGAACUACAACUUAGAGACAUGAUGAUAGGCCACUGGAAAUUUGCUAUAUUCCAUGUUUUAGACAUGAUGACAUAGAAAUAGGCCAUUGAGAUAGUUACUAUAUUCCGUGUUUUAGACACGAUGACAUAGAGGCAGGCCUUUGGGACAUGUGCUGUAUUCCGGGUUUUAGAUCCGAUGAAACAGUGAUGAACCACUGGGACCUGAGACGGACUUAUUCGCUUGCAUGUCAUUGUGCUCAUUCGCACAUACUUGUGAGGGUCGCUCCCUACAAGUCGGCACUCCGGAGAUAGCCAUCGCGACAUAUGCUCGCCCGUGCGGGAUUGGGCGCCAAAAUGGGAUGCCGUGGGGGAGGCUCAUUCCUAGAGUGGGGAUGUUGGCUACCACGGGGCCAUUGUUGGCACGGCGCAGGCCAGACUACCUACGGGUAGCUUCCACAGGAUUGGGUUACUGGUGACAUACUGUACCUUUUGAACAUUGACUAGAUUAGUAAAUAAUGACAUCUUUACUAUUUACAUUGUGGAUAUUGGGUUAGUUGCAUACUUAUGCAUUUACAUGUUGGAUACUCUUGUGCACAUGCUUGUAGUAGUUGCUUUCUUACUUAUGCAACUUCAUACUAAGUAGAGAUCAUGUGAUAGUUUAUUACUUAUGCAAAUCUAUGCUAAGUAGAGAUCAUAUGGUAGAUUAUUACUGAUGAAAGUAGUGACUUCAUGCUAUAUUGAGCUUCCAUUUCAGCGAGUUAUUUGUUCAUAUUAUUCUUACCUGCCUUGCUGUCACGCCCCGAGACCGCUACCAAUUUGGUCCGGCCCCGGGCGCGUCGAACAGACGCCGAACGGACAGGACCUCCCCUGUCCGUCCAAGGCUAACCAACAGAUCAUGUAUAAGAAUUUGCCCAGGAAUCAAUUCAUAAAUACACGAUCAAGAAGCACCACCAGUGCAACAAUCAAGAGCAAGAUACAAGUAUAGAAACAUAUACAAGUACAUAAGAGAGAAGGGGCUAUCCAUUACAUUCAUUUGAUUUACUACAUUUAAGUACGUCUUUUACAUUCUUCCAAAAAUAUAAGUACAAGCACUCAAACCUCACCCUAUACAACAUCUACUCUCAAAUACAAAAAGGGUGACAGCUAAUGCAAAAGGGAGGUAGCUAAUGCAACUAGAGCGCCGGGCCCUUACCACGAUCCUCACGCUCACCUGGGACGCCCGAACUCGAACCUAUGGUAAAAUGGGGGUGAGAACUAACUUCCUUAGUUCCCAGUGGGUUCGGCCGCCGACUCCGCCGAUCUCCCCACUAGGUCCAAGCGGGCAAAAGUAGAUAAUCGAUAGAUAGAUAGAUAAGGAAAGCGGUAAUGACAGAAGUAAAGCUACUCUACUAUGCCCAAUCAUAAAUAUAUGAAUGCAUGUACAAUGGAAUAGGUAAGCAAUUAACCCAUUAUCAUGUCCAAAGGUAAAGCUAUUUACUCGUUCAUCAAUCCCAUUUACUUGUUUCUUAAUCUCGUGGCUUCCCUGAAGGAGCCUACUGCUCACUAGCCAUCUCGAAGGUAGGGAGGGUCAACUCGCACUACGAACCGAGACCGUCUGCCGGGGCCUAAAAUAGGCAAUCCCUUGGGACCCAAAAUAGGCAAUCCCACGUGACCAACUCCGGAGCGCACUACUUGUGUGAGGCUUCCAUCACAAGAUUUAAAAACAGACCGUGAGCAUGAUCCAAUCCUCGUCUCGAGAAUACCCUAUCCUCUAGGGUUACCAUCAUCAUAUAGUCCAUAGGUUUCACAUACACUAUGACUCAUAUGUGUCAUUUGUUCUCUUAUACACUAUUAACUAGAUUGCCACUCGUCCAUUGUUUACUAUCGACUAGAUGCCACUCGUUCUUUGUUUAACACUAGACCAACCGUUGAGCCUAUCUCUUUCUUUGCACUAUAGGAUUCACAAUCUCGACCCAAUCCUUAUCGAUCCACUAUAUCAAGUAUCCAAUACAUGCUACGAUAUCAUCAAGGAAAGCAUAAGGAAAGGCAAUGCACAAUCAUCCUAUAAUGCAAUAAUACAAGAUGCAAGAAUCGACAUGUACUAAGACAUAGAAGGGAGCCCGAUUGCUUCGGGAUGGACACCACCCACCUCUUGGCGAUGCCGCGAUGAUAGAAGACUCGGCGUUGUGGUUCUUGCACGUCGCCCUAACUCCUCGGGGCGAAGCGAGCCCUCGAGUACCCGAUUCGGCGAUAACUCCGCACUCGCUCGUCGGAUCGGCAAACCGUCUUCGCCGACGCGUUCCGGGACCUAACAAUUAGGUUUGCGACCUAAUAGAUUAGAUCAAAACCCUAGAUUUCGAAAAUCCCCAAUUCCGUGCACUAGAAUGGCAAUGGGGAAGAAAUCCGUGGUGCGAGCUUCGAUUGCGAGCCCGAACCACCUAUUCAUCUCCUCUAGGUUCCAUUUGAACCAAUUCUAAGCAAUAAAACCCAAUCCUAAGAAAUCUACCAUGAGUGGGUUUGGAGCUUACCUCUAAGCCAAGCUCCAAGCUUGCCCUAGCUUGAAGGAGAGAGGGAAGAAGAUGAUCUUCUCCUUCUUCUUGAUCUUCUCCUUCUCUUUUCUCUUCUUUUCAUUCUUCUUCUUCUUCUUCUUCUUCUUCUUCUUUCUUCUUCUCUUUCUUUUCUUUCUAAAGAGAGAGAGGGAAAGAGUGAGAGAGUUAGAGAGCAAUGAGGGAAAGAGAGGGGUCCCCCACCUCUAUUAAAGGCCAUUUUGCAGAUAGCCCCCUCAACUUUUCAUCCUUCAAACCAGCCCUCUUUGGGCAUUUUCGCAGUGAGGGACCGGUCCCAGCUCGGGGAUACCGGUCCCCGAAGGCUACCAUCUCGGGCAGAGGGAUUUUCGCGUUCGGGAACCGGUCCUUGCCUGAGAGACUGGUUCCUGGGAGACCGUUCCUUGUCCGAGAGACCAGUUCCCGAAAGUUGGAUUCUCGAGACUUAGCCAAAUUUUUGGCCAUUCUCGCCGGGCUGACGUUCGGGAACUGGUCCCUGCCUGCAAGGGACCGGUCUCAUCAGAGACCCCCGCAGCCCAGCCCAAUGGAACCGGUCCCUCCCUGCCAGGGACCGGUCCCCGGGAGCAAUUCUUCUCCAGUGCAGAUUUUGCACUGGUGCUCCAGCGGACCCUUCCUUAAUGCACUUUAUGCAUUAUAAUCACCCUCGGACUUUCUAAAGCUUACGCACUCGACAACUAGUCGAUUCUAAUCGAAGUCUAAUCCUCGAGUUUCGAGAAUUCACUUCCUCACAUCCUUCCCACCUUAAAAGAGUUUCGUCCUCGAAACGAACUCAAUACUACAAUACUUAAUUAGAAUUCCAAAUUCUAAACUCAUACCUCGAUUUAACCUUCGAACAGGCGAGGAUGAUUCGCCUUCAUCUCCUCCUCGAGCUCCCAGGUGGCUUCGCGAUCAUCAUGAUUGCUCCACCGGACUCGGACAUAAGGAAUUUCCCGAUUCCUUAACUUGCGCACUUCACGAGCGGUAAUUGCCACCGGAAACUCCUCGUAGCUCAGGUCCUCCUGAAGUUCCGGCGGUUCGUAUAACAUCGCGUGCUCGGGGUCAGGAAUGUAUUUGUGUAGAUUGGAGACGUGGAAUACAUUGUGCACAUCCGCUAGCUUCGGCGGCAACGCGAGCCGAUAAGCCACCGUCCCAAUCCGCUCCAAGAUCUCAUAGGGGCCAAUAUAUCGGGGGCUCAAUUUUCCCCGAACUCCAAAUCGCCUUACACCCCUCAUAGGCGAGACCUUCAAGAAGACACGGUCGCUCACCGCAAACUCUAGAUCUCGUCGGCGCCUAUCCGCAUAGCUCUGUUGUCGAGACUGCGUCGUGAGUAAUCGUUUGCGAGCAAGGCGGACCUUUUCUUCCGCCUCCCGCAGCACAUCAGGGCCAGAUUCCGUGCGCUCGCCCACGUUACUCCAAUAAAUGGGAGAGCAGCACUUCCGCCCAUAAAGAGCUUCGAACGGUGCCAUCUCCACACUAGCGUGAUAACUGUUGUUGUAGACGAACUCGGCCAUUGGCAAAUACUUACACCAACCUCCUUUGUAGUCGAUGACACACGCUCGCAACAUAUCCUCCAGCGUCUGAAUGGUUCUUUCAGUUUGUCCGUCUGUCUAGGGAUGAAAUGCAGUACUGAAGUCAAGCCGCGUGCCAAGGGCCUCCUGUAGGCUUUCCAGAAAUGUGAAGUGAACUUGGGGUCUCUAUCCGACACAAUCGAUUUCGGCACCCCGUGUAACCUCACUACUUCAUCAAGAUAUACCUGCGCCAACUUAUCUCCCGCCCAGGUGGUGUGGAUCGGUAAAAAGUGCGCUGACUUUGUCAAGCGGUCCACAAUCACCCAGAUCGCGUCGUGUUUCCCUAUCGAGCGAGGUAAGCCAACGAUAAAAUCCAUAGAUAUAUCCUCCCAUUUCCAGACGGGAAUAGGUAGGCUUUGAAGCUUCCCCGCUGGAAACCGGCGCUCCGCCUUUACUUGCUGACAAGUCAAGCACUUUGCCACGAAGCGCCCAAUAUCGGCCUUCAUCCCUGGCCACCAAUAGAGUGCUCUCAACUCAUGAUACAUCUAGGUGCCGCCCGGGUGAUCCGCGUAUGGAGACCGGUGGGCUUCCUGCAAAAUCAGCUCGUGAAGCUCUUCAUUCUCGGGCACGCACCACCGGUUUCGAAACCGAAGCGCGCCACCGACGUCCACACUAAAAUCGCCAUUUCGUCCUUCCUCGACGUUGCGCCACACCUCUUGGAGACUCGGAUCUGCAGGUUGCAAGUUUCUGAUCCUCUCCAAUAAGGUCGGUUGAAUAACGAGCGCCAUCAGCUAAGCCGGGAUCUCGGGAGCAACCACUUCGAGGUCCAGUCGCUCCAUCUCCAGCCCUAGGGGUGUUUGCCGAGUAACAUCAAAAGCGAGGUUCUUCGUCGACUUUCUGCUAAGCGCAUCCGCGACCACAUUUGCUUUGCCGGGGUGGUAGAGAAUGUCAACAUCAUAAUCCUUUAAUAGCUCUAGCCACCGCCUUUGCCGCAUAUUCAGCUCCUUCGGGGUAAAUAGAUACUUCAGACUUUUGUGGUCGGUGUAGAUCUCGCAGUGUGCACUGUAUAGGUAAUGCCUCCACAACUUCAGCACAAAGAUCACCGCCGCCAACUCCAAGUCAUGGAUGGGGUAAUUCUUCUCGUGGUCCUUCAGCUGACGGGAUGCAUAAGCUAUCACCCUCCCGCCUUGCAUCAAAACACACCCCAAGCCCAGAUAGGAUGCAUCGCUAUAGACCACAAAGUUCUCGCCCUGCACCGGUAAGGCGAGUAUCGGAGCCGACGUCAAUCUUUUCUUCAAUUCGUUGAAGCUUUGGUCACACUCGUCGCUCCAAAUAAACUUGGCGCCCUUCUGAGUCAAACCGGUAAGUGGAGUUACAAUUUUCGAAAAGCCCUCCACAAAACGUCGAUAAUAGCCUACUAAGCCUAUAAAGCUUCGGACCUCCGUGACGUCCGUCGGGCGUGGCCAAUUCUCGACUGCUUCGAUUUUCCUCGGGUCAACUGAAACACCGCCCUCGGAAAUCACAUGCCCUAAGAAGGCAAGCUCUUGAAGCAAGAAAUCACAUUUCUUCAGCUUUGCGAACAGCUUCUCCUCCCGAAGGAUUUGAAGCACUAUCCGCAAAUGUUCCGCGUGCUCCUCAUCACUCCGCGAAUAGACCAAGAUGUCGUCUAUGAAGACCACGACAAAUCGGUCCAAGCACGCCCUAAAUAUACGGUUCAUCAGAUCCAUGAACGCCGCUGGGGUAUUAGUGAGCCCGAAAGGCAUAACCGUGUACUCAUAGUGUCUAUAACGCGAACGAAACGCGGUCUUCUGAAUAUCCUCCGGCUUGAUCUUUAACUGAUGAUAGCCGGAUUGUAGGUCUAUCUUCGAGUACACUCGUGAUCCCUGUAAUUGAUCAAAUAGGUCGUCGAUUCGGGGCAACGGGUACUUAUUCUUUAUUGUGACCUUGUUCAACUCUCGAUAAUCUACGCAGAGUCGAAAGGAACCAUCCUUCUUGCGCACGAACAACACCGGCGCUCCCCACGGUGAUACGCUCGGCCUGAUAAACCCUUUGUCGAGAAGAUCUUGUAACUGAUCCCUCAAUUCUCUUAACUCUGCCGGCGCCAUGUGGUAGGGGGCCUUCGAGAUUGGCGUCGUCCCGGGAAUCAAGUCUAUAACGAACUCGAUCUCCCGAUCCGGCGGCAUCCCCGCUAGCUCCGCGGGAAAUACAUCCGGGAAUUCCCGCACCACCGAUAGUUCCUCCAAAUUCGGAGCCGCUCGGUCCACCUCCACGACGGUCGCCAAAAAUGCUACGCAGCCGCCGUUGACCAACUUUCUAGCUCUCGUCGCCGAUACUGUCGCGACGAAGCAAGAACACCGACAAGCUCGAUAAACGAACUCCCUCUGUCCUGGCUCCCGAAAGGUGAUCGAUUUAUUCUUACAAUCGAUCGUGGCGUAAUACUUUGAGAGCCAGUCCAUGCCCAAAAUGACAUCAUACGCCUCCAAUUUAGUGAGUUCCAACAUCCGGAUGGGCAUUAUCCAGUCACCUACUUGUACUGGGCAUGACGAGCAUUCCGUGUAGGUAUUAAACGACGACUCAGGACCCUCGACUCGCCAUUUGCCACUCGCUUCAAUGGGUAUGUCAUGCAUGCGUGCAAAUACUCUACUAAUAAAUGAAUGCGUGGCACCCGUAUCGAACAUAGCUCUGGAGCGAACUCCAUUGAUUAUAACCAUACCUGCCACAACAUCAGGCUCCUCGGCUUGGGCAGGCUCCUCGGCAUGGGCCUGAGCGGCGAAUACCCGUCCGCUUGGCGCUGAUCGAGUCACCUUCGGCUGGCGCGGCGCUAGUGCGCGUCCCGCUGAUAUAGGAACAUACGGGGCCCCUCCUUGAUAAGGCGAGGGCGCUGGAGCCGAUGCGACUGACGGAGUAGACGAGGCCCUUGCCGGACAGUCGCGGCUAACAUGUCCUUCUUGUCCACAAUUAAAGCACCGUCCUUGUCGUUGUCUACACUGCGGUGCCCGAUGACCUCGAUCUCCACAGAUAGGGCACCGUUGCGGCCCACGGCCCCACGACUGCAACCGCGGAUACUUCGGGGGCCUCCUCGAACUCGAUUGUCCGCCCGAACUGCCGCCCGAUCGCUUCUUCCCCUUGUCUUGGGAUCCGGCCAACAACUCGCGUUCCUCCCGCACAUGGGCAUCUCCAUGCUCUGCCCAUAGCGCCUUAUUAAAAACCUCGGCGAAAGUUGUGAGCUGGAAUAAUUGCACCGCUCUAUAUUUCCAUGGCCGAAGUCCUCGCAAGAACCACUCGGCUCGAUCCGCGUCGUCCUUAACCACGUCCGGGAUGCAGUCUAUAAUGUGGGAGAACUCCUGUUCGUAGUCCGCCACCGAACGGUCUCCCUGCCUCAGUUUGCAAAACUUCUCCUUUAGCUUCCGCUUCUCGGUGUCGGAGAAGUAAUUUCCAAACAUCUCCUUCUUAAACUCCUCCCAAAGCAUUGGUGGAAGGUCAGAGGGUCGAUCCCGCUUCAACCGCUUCCACCACACCUUCGCUGCCUUGUCGAGGCAAUAGGUGGCGAAAGGCACCUUAUCUUUCUCCGGGGUGUACAGGUCCUCGAAAAUAGUCUCCAUAGAGUCUACCCAAGACUCCACCACCGACGGCUCCACUUUCCCCCCUUCAAAAGUUGGUGGCUUAAACUUCAUAAACUUCAUCAUAGCCGUCAGCGCAGUUCCCGCUCCACUUCGUCGGUCGUCGCAUCGAGCGUCGCCGAACCCGAAGCUGUCGGAGGUGCACUUGUCGGCGGGGGAACCGCCGCCAUCGGAACCGCCGCUAUGCCCUCACCCUUGGCCGCUACCGGCGUGCGUGCCGAAGGUGCGGGCGGAUCGCGAUCUCCUGCCGCCGUCGCGGCCGCCGCCGCUGCCGCUUGCCGCUCCACAACUUCCUGGAGUUGCUCGAACCGAGCCUCCUGGCGCUGCAUCGCGCCCAACAUUGCAGCGACCUGCUCCCGCAGCUCCUACACUUCCUCCGAUCUUAGCUGCUCGGGCUCCGCAGAAGGCGGUACCGGAGCAGACCUACGCACGUAACGCUUUGGGGACAUUUGCACCUGAAAAGCAACAACUCGGUUAGUUAUUUCAAUCCGAUAACUUCCUCAAUGUUCACGAAAUUAAACGACUCGACAACGAAAUCGGGCGGAAGCUCACAAGUGCUCUAGUGUUGGACUCUUAGCGUCGCAUCGUCGGCCGCCGACACAACCACUACGAGCCGAGAAACUAGUAUCACUUGGAUUCGUCUCGAUUCACGACUAGAGGCGUAACACCAACUUCGACCCAAUCAAUCAACUUCCGCCAUCGCCAUGGGUUCACGUUCACUCACGUCCCUAUAACCUUAGGGUUUACCAACCUAGGGUCUCCUCGGUUGUCCUAGACUCUCUCUUUACUUGCUCUGGCGCUCUGAUACCACUUUAUCUGUCACGCCCCGAGACCGCUACCAAUUUGGUCCGACCCUGGGCGCGUCGAAUAGACGCCGAACGGACAGGACCUCCCUUGUUCGUCCAAAGCUAACCAACAAAUCAUGUAUAAGAAUUUGCCCAGGAAUCAAUUCAUAAAUACACGAUCAAGAAGCACCACCAGUGCAACAAUCAAGAGCAAGAUACAAGUAUAGAAACAUAUACAAGUACAUAAGAGAGAAGGGGCUAUCCAUUACAUUCAUUUGAUUUACUACAUUUAAGUACGUCUUUUACAUUCUUCCAAAAAUAUAAGUACAAGCACUCAAACCUCACCCUAUACAACAUCUACUCUCAAAUACAAAAAGGGUGACAGCUAAUGCAAAAGGGAGGUAGCUAAUGCGACUAGAGCGCCGGGCCCUUACCACGAUCCUCACGCUCACCGGGGACGCCCGAACUCGAACCUGUGGUAAAAUGGGGGUGCGAACUAACUUCCUUAGUUCCCAGUGGGUUCGGCCGCCGACUCCACCGAUCUCCCCACUAGGUCCAAGGGGACAAAAGUAGAUAAUCGAUAGAUAGAUAGAUAAGGAAAGCGGUAAUAACAGAAGUAAAGCUACUCUACUAUGCCCAAUCAUAAAUAUAUGAAUGCAUGUACAAUGGAAUAGGUUAGCAACUAACCCAUUAUCAUGUCCAAAGAUAAAGCUAUUUACUCGUUCAUCAAUCCCAUUUACUUGUUUCUUAAUCUCGUGGCUUCCCUGAAGGAUCCCAUUUACUUGUUUCUUAAUCUCGUGGCUUCCUCGAUGUUGCGCCGCACCUUUUGCAGACUCGGAUUUGCAGGUUGCAAAUUUCUGAUCCUCUCCAAUAAGGUCGGUUGAAUAACGAGCGCCAUCAGCUGAGCCGGGACCUCGGGAGCGACCACUUCGAAGUCCAGUCGCUCCAUCUCCAGCCCUAGGGGUGUUUGCCGGGUAACAUCAAAAGCGAGGUUCUUCGCCGACUUUCUACUAAGUGCAUCCGCGACCACAUUUGCUUUAUCGGGGUGGUAGAGAAUAUCGACAUCAUAAUCCUUUAAUAGCUCUAGCCACCGCCUUUGCCGCAUGUUUAGCUCCUUCUGGGUAAAUAAAUACUUCAGACUUUUGUGGUCGGUGUAGAUCUCACUGUCACCCCCCGCGACCGCCUAUUUGGUCGGUUUCGGGCAUGCCGACAGACCGCCGAACGGACAGGGUUUCCCCUGUACUGCGGGCAGAGUCUCCCCUAUACGUUCAAGGCAUAGCAAUCAAUACAAUAUGCGAAGUUCCAACCAGGAACACAUUUCAAUCAAGAUUGCAUAAUGGAAGGUAUCAAACAACAUAAACACAUCCUAUAUUAUUACAUUCAUUCAUAUUCAUGCAUUUUACACCUCAACUACCAUUCCUUUUUCAUUCAAAUGCAAUCUAAAUUAUUACAACAUUUAUAUCUUUAAUACAUCAUGUUACAUUGUGUUUUUUUCAUUUCUUUAACCCCUAAGCUAUGUCGACGGGGUACUGCUAGCUCUGGUCUCUAGGGUAGGGCGCUAUCUACGGAGAUACGCCCUUUCCUCGCGCCGCCGCGCCGCUCACGUGCGAACCUGUAAACACCCCAAAACCACGUGGGGUGAGAACCAACUCCAUGGUUCCCAGUGGGUACGGCCACCCAAGGAAAGAGCUCGACUAAUAGGUCCAAGGGAGGCAACUGCAAGUUAGUUCAAUAAACAGAUAGCUAUAUAUCUUGAUUAUGCAACGAAUAAAACCAUGCAUUGCCUCACGAAUGCAAUAAUGCAAUGCUAUAUGCAAAUCAUGCAAUAAUGCAACUAUGCAACAAACUAGUAGUUCAUUCGAUACUACUUUCAAUUCUGCUAACCAUAGCUCAUCCGUUUGAUAUCUAAGGUUUCCUUUAUCUUAGAUUCUUGUCAAUCACCGUUUUAAUCAUAAAGUUUCAUCUACCUUUACAAGGCUAACCACCCGACUCGGUCUUGAGUUAAUCGUCUGCGGAGUACCGCACUAGAACAAGGCUCGAGGCGAUGGACGUCUCACUUACACCUCAGCCCUAAAUCCUCUCGACUAGGAUACCAAAUCCAUAACUCAUAAUGCAUACUUGUUUUACAUUCAUUUAGCUAUGACCCAAUCUUACCGGUUAACCAUGUUAACCCCAAUAACUCACCACCAAAAUCCCUUAAUAACGGGGGACUCGAACCUCCCUGGGGACCGUCAUCUGGGGGGACUUUACCACGCCCAGUGGUGACCAACUCCGGAGCGCACCGCCCGAGGGGUAGCUACCUCCCUCAAGCCAAGACGUAACGUGAGUAUCGAUCCAAUCCUCAACUUGAGGAUUCAUAGCCACUCGUUACAAUGCCAAUGUCAUGAUAGGUCUCUACCUAUUUAAUCAUGCAACUCUCUAUGUCAACUUGGACCAAUGUCAAUAUGGUUAAAUUAUAUUUAACAAUCACUUUCUUGAUGUCAAUCAUGUCUCUAUUGUCACUGUCACCUUUGUUUACUAAUGUUCAAGUCCAACUCUCACAUUUACACAAUAAUAGGGUCCUAACAUACAUGAAUGACACCAGAAUAUACAUGCUCAAUCACCACGAGUGUUUGCUAGGUUCAAGAUACUAGGUUUAAUGCCACUCGAUCUAAUAUAUAUAUAGAUUGUCUAUUACGUUUCACAACAUGGCAAUAUGUCAUCAAGUAUGUUUUUCUAUUUAACAUAAUCCACAAUAUGUAAAUUCAUAAUAUAUCAUCAUGCACAUAUACCACUAGCAUCACAUGAUAUGUCAACAUACAUAUAGUCAUUAUCCAAAAUAGUCCAUACUUAGCAUCUCAUGCAUUCUUUUAGCACUUAAUUCAUUAUGCAUUACAUUUAGCAUAUUCUACAACAUGUCAUCAUACAUUCCUUUUAUGAUGUUCUUAUAAUGCUAACAUUCAUACGCCCUUUAUAUUAUGCAUUCAAAACAUUAAUCAUAUGCAUUUCUAUAGUAUGUUAACAUGCAUUCUUUUCACAUUCUUAUAUUAUGUCAAUAUGCAUCAAUAUGAAAUCUCAUUUCUCUUAGACAUAUAGGCGACCUAGUCGCUUCGGUAAGUACAACCCACCUCAAAUCGCUUUCCGAUUGCUUGUCGACACUUACAAUCGGCCGCCCGCGGCACCCGGUACCCGGUUUGGCCCGAUCCCUCGCGCGACUACCUGAACGGCCUCCAAUUCACAAUCCGAAAAUUAAAGGUCUUCGGUUAUGUGCCACGAUGCUUCAAAUCCAUUUUCAUGAGUUUACGACAUCGGCUCGGCCCUCCAGGCGGAAACGAAGCCUAAACGUCCGUUUCUUUAAUAACUUCGCAACGGCUCGACGAAUCGCCGAACCGACUUCGCCAACGCGUUCGUUUACCUAGCAAUUAGGUUUACAUAGGGUCAAAAUAGAUCAAACCCAUCUAUUAGCAAAAAUUGCAUUUUGAACCCUAUGCUUCAUCUAUUGCAAGAAUUAAUUAAAUUGAUCCUAGAUGCUAGCAUUUAUCAUUUAUUUAGCAUGCUAGGAUCCCAAAUAAACCAUUUCUAUGGAUUAUAAAUGAAGCUUUAAAGAUCUACCAUGAGAGGGUUCAAAAAGCUCAUUUCAAGCCCUAGUUUACAACUAGACAAGAAAUCAUUAAAUCGAUCCGUGAUUUAAGCAACAAUCAUCUCUUUAGCAUGCUAGAUUAGCUCUAAAUCCAUUCUUGAAGCUUAAAACCCAAACUACAAAGAGAUACCAUUAAAGGGCAUCAAAGCUUACCUUGCAAGCAAGCUCCAAUGGAGAGAAAGAAGAUAAAAGAGAUGAAGAUCAACCUCCAAGCUUGCUUUUCCUCCAAUUUCAUCAAUUUUGGGAGAGAUUUAGAGAGAGAAAGGAGAGCUCUCUUCCUCCCUCUCCUUGCGUGUGUGUGGCGUGUGUGUGUGUGUGCAUUCGGCUGAGGAGAAGAAGAAGAAAAGGGAUUAAAUCCCUUUUUACAAAUCAGCCCCUCAACUUUUACACUAUUCACUCCCGGGCAGCUGUUUAGCAGUUCGGAACAGUUGGAGCCCUUCUAAAUGUCCAUUUGAGCUCAAAUUUGACAGGCAGGCUCAGUUUAAUGUACUGAGUAAGAAUAUAUCUUAAGUUUUCAUUUUCGACCCCAUUUGGUCACUGAAAACUGUGCCGAAUUGUAAUCUUUAUCAGAUAGCUGUCGGAUUUUAUUUCUCACUCUACGGGUGUCAGAAAAAUAUGAAACUUUAAAUCUAGCCUCAUAAAAAUAUUUCUGACUUAUCCUUCAAUUUUCAUAAUUUUCUGAGACUGCAUUUUCUGCUAAUUUAUCUGUCCCGUUUCCAACAGAAAAUUUUAGAUCUUCUGUUUUCAUUCCGAUUUCAGCACAAGUCACUUCUGACUUAUGUUUUACUCCUACAAAUUCAAUAAAAAUAGUUUCUCACACUAUUUUUAUUUAUUUUUAUUUUUAUACCAAAAUCUGGUAUGUUACACUCGCAGUGUGCACCGUAUAGGUAAUGCCUCCACAACUUCAGCGCAAAGAUCACCGCCGCCAACUCCAAGUCAUGGAUGGGGUAAUUCUUCUCGUGGUCCUUCAGCUGACGGGAUACAUAAGCUAUCACUCUCCCGUCCUGCAUCAGGACACACCCCAAGCCCAGAUAGGAUGCAUCGCUAUAAACCACAAAGUCCUCGCCCUGCACCGGUAAGGCGAGUAUUGGAGCCGACGUCAAUCUUUUCUUCAACUCAUUGAAGCCUCGAUCACAUUCGUCGCUCCAAAUAAAUUUGACGCCCUUCUCAGUCAAACCGGUAAGCGGAGUUACAAUUUUUGAAAAGCCCUCCACAAACCGUCGAUAAUAGCCCGCUAAGCCUAUAAAGCUUCGGACCUCCGUGACGUUCGUCGGGCGUGGCCAAUUCUCGACCGCUUCGACUUUCCUCGGGUCAACCGAAACACCGCCCUCGAAAAUCACAUGCCCUAAGAAGGCAACCUCUCGAAGCCAGAAGUCACACUUCUUUAGCUUUGCGAAUAGCUUCUCCUCCCGAAGGAUUUGAAGCACCGUCCGCAAAUACUCCGCGUGCUCCUCGUCGCUCCGUGAAUAGACCAAGAUGUCGUCUAUGAAGACCACGACAAAUUGGUCCAAGCACGCCUUGAACACACGGUUCAUCAGGUCCAUGAAUGCAGCCGGGGCAUUAGUGAGACCGAAAGGCAUAACCGUGUACUCAUAGUGUCCAUAACGUGUACGAAACGCGGUCUUCUGAAUAUCCUCCGACUUGAUCUUUAACUGAUGAUAGCCGAAUUGUAGGUCUAUCUUCGAGUACACUCGUGACCCCUGUAAUUGGUCGAAUAAGUCGUCGAUUCGGGGUAACGGGUACUUAUUCUUUAUUGUGACCUUAUUCAACUCUCGAUAAUCUACGCAGAGUCGAAACGAGCCAUCCUUCUUACGCACGAACAACACCGGCGCUCCCCACGGCGAUGACGGAGUGCCUACGCGACUUAUGAUCGCUCGUGCUGUAUCGAGAAACUAACGGGUCGGAGGGAUAGACUCAUUUUCAGAGUGGAAAUGUUGGAGCUACCACCGCACUUAGGCGGCGCAAGCCGGACUACGACCGUGUAGGUCCCAAAAAAAGAUGACAUUUGGACAUAACUCUUUAAAUUUGAAAUCAAUCUGCUAAAUAGACAUAGUGUUGGAUUAUGGACAUACUCAUAGUGUGCUUUUGAGAUAUUGAACAUGUAGUAUUAUUGAUAGAAUUACUCCAUUGCAUCUUAGUAUACUUGGAAGCCGAUGAGGUAUCAUCCAACAUUGGCAUAUUAAAGCCAUAUACUUUGAUAUACACUCAACGUUUACUUGUGGCCAUAAGCAUUUCACCAUGCUUUUCAAUUCUGCGCAGCUUAUUAUGUGUCUAUUACUACUAUUGUUGCUUAUCAUUACUGACCUUUUUUUUGGGCUCGUAGGUGCAUUGACUGAGCGUAGUAAUUGGCCCACUGGGAACUAUAAAUUAUUCUCAUGCCCUUUUUGUUUUAUGUUUAUAUUUCAGAGCUUCACUCCGGGUGAGGGCUAGGACCGCGGAAAGGCUAAUCGCCGUCGAGUUAGCUUGCUAUCGAGGAUGGUUGAGUAGGUGGGUCUACCUUCGUUGUUUUAUUUGGAGAGGUUUCUGGAGAAGUUUAUCUAUGUAUGAGGACACCCCAUGUGGAUUUUCUUUGUAGAUUCUUAUUGUACCUUUCAUUUGCUUAUGUUAGUGGACUACUUUUACUCUUUCCUACUUGUCGCUAGUUUUAGGAGUUGGUUAGCAGCUCUGAUAUCUUUAGAUAUUGGUUCUUCUUGCUUUCGCAUCUCUUUUUGUUGUUAGACGCCGUUAUAUGCGCCAGGGCAUAUGCGGGUCUGGACACGGCCUGCGCGCGCGGCACGGCCGCCGGUCUCGUCCCCCUAUGCUGUUGUCCCGGGGUUGACAGCUACCCAAGGAAAAGCUCGACCCACCAGUCCAGAAAGGCACUAUAACAUGUAGUCAAACAAUAUCUAGUAGAUCUAUUAAAUUAUGCAACUAACAGUUAUGCAUGUGUUUAUGCCUCAAAAUGGCCCUAUUGCAAAUCAUGCGACAUACAAGAACAUCAACUAAGUUGAUCACCCGAUUCUACUCUUUUUAUUCGCUAUCCAUAGCUAUCGAACUGACUUCUCAAGGUUUCCUCAAUCUUUAUUCAUGUCAUUGACAAUUUGUUCAUAAGUUUUAUCUAUCUUUCAACUACUAUCCACCCGACUCGAGUCUGAGUCAUCAUGCCGCGGAAUACCGCUCAAAUCAGGCCGACGGCAAAAGGACAUCUCACUUACACUCAGGCCUUAAUCCACUCAAUUGGUGUCACUGCCCGAGCUUCUACAUUUGGUCGAGAUUCGAGACAUGACAUGACGCCGAACGGCACAGCAAUCACCCCCUGUCCGCCCAAGGCUCCCAAACCAACGAUGUAAGGGUCUUUGCACGUCGCUUCAACUCCUCGGGGCGAAGCGAGCCCUCGAGUACUCGAUUCGGCGAUAACUCCGCACUCGCUCGUCGGAUCGAAAGACCGACUUCGCCGACACGUUCCGGGACCUAGCAAUUAGGUUUCCGACCUAUUAGAUUAGAUCAAAACCCUAGAUUUCCAAAAUCCCCAAUUCCGUGCCCGAGAAUGGCAACAAGGGAGAAAUCCGUGGUGCGAGCUUCGAUUGCGAGCCCGAACCAUCUAUUCAUCUCCUCUAGGUUCCAUUUGAACCAAUUCUAAGCAAUAAAACCCAAUCCUAAGAAAUCUACUAUGAGUGGGUUUGGAGCUUACCUCUAAGCCAAGCUCCAAGCUUGCCCUAGCUUGAAGGAGAGAGGGAAGAAGAUGAUCUUCUCCUUCUUCUUGAUCUUCUCCUUUCCUUUUCUCUUCUUUUCCUUCUUCUUCUUCUUCUUAUUCUUCUUCUUCUUCUUCUUCUUCUUCUCUUUCUUUCUAGAGAGAGAGGGAAAGAGUGUGAGAGAGAGAGAGAGCAAAUGAGAGCAAUGAGGGAAAGAGAGGGGUCCCCCACCUCUAUUAACGGCCAUUUUGCAGAUAGCCCCCUCAACUUUUCAUCCUUCCAACCAGCCCUCUCUGGGCAUUUUCGCAGUGAGGGACCGGUCCCAGCUCGGGGAGACCGGUCCCCGAAGGCUGCCAUUUCGAGCAGAGGGGUUUUCGCGUUCGGGAACCGGUCCUUGCCUGAGAGACCAGUCCCCGGGAGACCGGUCCUUGUCCGAGAGACCGGUUCCCGAAAGUUGGAUUCUCGGGACUUAGCCAAAUUUCGGCUAUUCACGCUGGGCUGGCGUUCGGGAACCGGUCCCUGCCUGCCAGGGACCGGUCUCAUCAGAGACCUCCGCAGCCCAGCCUGAUGGGACCGGUCCCUCCCUGCCAAUGACCGGUCCCCGAGAGCAUUUCUGCUCCAGUGCAAGUUUUGCACUGGUGCUCUCGCGGACCUCUCCUUAAUGCACUUUAUGCAUUUUAGCCACCUUCGGACUUUCCGAAGCUUACACACUCGACGAAUAGUCGAUUCCAAACCGAAGUCUAAUCCUCGGAUUUCGAGGAUUCACUUCCUUACAAUGUUAGUAUUAUAGCAUUCUUGCAUGUAGGGAAAUGAACGGUAUAUAUAUUGAUUGUAUCAAUUAUCUGCUUAAUCUGCUUAAGAUUAUUGUAGGUGUUAUAGAACCAUGUGAACAAGGAAAAUGAAUGACCCUACUAUGUGUAUGUGAAUGCGAGAACAGACUAUGACAAUAGUAAACAAAUGUUAAAUUGACAUUAGUGACUCGAUUGACAUCGAAAAGUGGAUAGUUAAACAAGGCUUAACCCAUAAUGGCAUUAUGAGUAGUGUGGCAUCGAGGUAUUGAGGCAUGAGACAGGUUUGGCUAUACCUCCUCAAAUUGAGGGUGGGAUCAUACUCACAAGUAUUGGUUCCGGCUUGUGUGGAAGGUCGCUCCUCCACAAGCGGUGUACUCCGGAGUGUAAGACACCACGGGUGAAAGUGCUUGGCGAAGAUCCCUCGGGUGGUUAUGCCUUGUGCCUCCCCCGGUAGAUGGGAUGUGUGGAUUGUGAGUCCGGGUAAACCAGGAGCACCCCGUGUUGAUUGGGUAAAGGCCAAGGAAAAUAAGAAAUGGACAUGCAUGCAUAAUUAACAUGUAUUCGAGUAUGAAUAUCUAUCUGUGGAUUGCUUUCUUGCAAGCAUUGUAUUAGAAUUGCAUUAGUUGGUUCGUUAUCCAUCUUUAUUGAAAUACAUAUGCCUAAAAUAGACCUAGUGGACGAAUCGGCGUGGUCGGCAGCCGAACCCACUGGGAACUUCUUUCUAGUUCUCAUUACCACUAACCCUGCAGAUCCGAGCACGUGCGGGGCGGUGGAGGAUCGCGGCAAGGGUAUCGUACCGUAGAUAGCGGCCUCGGAGUUGAUAGGCAUACCCUACAUUUUGGAGUACUCAACUAUUGUAUGUUGAAUUAAUAAUGUAAAAGUAAUGUAAUUCAUAUAUUUUGGGUUAAAGCCAAUGUGAUGUAAAUGUACUGGUAUACUUGUGUUUGGUUCAAAUGCAAUCAAAUGACAUGUUUGUGGAUGAAUGCAUAGCCUAGUUUCGAUGCUUUCACUUGUGGUUUUUGUUUGCCCUCGAGCAAACCUUGUAUAUCUUGCAAUCUUUUUAUUGUAUUGCUUGUUUUAUACAUGUUGUUGGAAGACCCAUUUAUUUAUGAAGUCUGAAAACACCAGCCACAUCUAGAGCGUCACGCGUGGUAUGUCCAUCACGGAAGUGUCAAAGUCGCGUUUCUAGUGGCAGCGGUUGAGGUUCAGUACCUACCCCAUCAAGAAGAGCACCAGGAAGUCGACUGCCCUGCGUAUUCGAUAGUGAGAGGGCGGAACGUAGUCCUGUGUGGGGUUUGGGUCUAUCCUACGUAGUGAUAUCUGAUGUUUCAGGAGCGGGACGUGGCCAUUCCGCUCAUAACCUCGGCUGCAGUUGGAAAAGAAGUUGAGCAACUUCGAAACCAGUGUGAGCAGCGAGGUUUAUUUGAACUGCGGGAAGACACAGUCUGACCAUUCAUCUCAGUGUUAGAAACUUUUCGGGAGGUGUUUGACAGCUAUUAUCGGGCGAUUCGGGUGUUUCGAAGCCUGGAGGCACUGCAAGCAGCCCGCACCGGUGAAGAGCUGGCGAAGCUGAAAGGAACCCAGUUGGCUUUGUGGUGGGAGCCUUUAGUGUACGGGAUUUUUCCGUUGGAGAGCUUCUGUUUUCAGUGUAAAAGAAUCGAAACGUUUAUCGAAGAGCAGGGCUUCCUAAACUUCGUGAUAGGCAUUUACGAAGCGCACGAGGAGCAGUGAGGAGCUUAUCUGGUUCUACAGCAGAUACUUCUGGUACUGUUUAGCCAGGUUCGUGCGGGAUUUGUGUGCCAAGUAAUCUAGGUACUUGCAGCGGCCCCGUAAUCACUCGGGCUUUCCGUAUUGGCACAUGAGUAUCACAGGUAUUGCGCACGCUUUGCGCCAGAAGACCUGUAGAAGGCUGAAUUAGAAGUUGACUACUAUCGGCCUAACGUCCAGAUAGAAGCUCAUGUUAGCACUGGGAACAUUAACCAACUUAUUCAGCAGUUAAGCCCCGUUGCCCAUAAAUAAGAAAUAACACUGAGAUAAGUUGAGAGUUAUCAGAUGCGUCUCAGCUUUGCUCGGUAGGAAGAACGCGUACUUGUUGUGGCCCCGAGGGGUGCCGCUAUGCCUCAACCGGAUGCGCUGAAUACUAGCGAGCACGACAUAGCUCUUCUGAUGCCCCAGCCCUCCCUAUCUGAGUAAAAGUCUCACCUUUACAACCUCGAUGGUGGCUGUGAAUCCGCCGCGUUCGGCCUGAUGUGAGCACAUCCAGGGUUUUGUUCUAACUUAAACCUGUAUUGGAGAAUUUAAACUUAGUGACGAUUUAUCUAGUAUCAUCAACCUAAUAACCUGUAUGAGUAUCACACCGAAACUCUAUAACCUUGUACAUCAUAUGAACUAUCUUAAUGAGUAACGUAGAAUCAUAUGAACCUUCGGCUACUCACAUAAGUAGGUUGUAACCGUAUAAGUUUGUACUAUCGAAACUAUAUGUAGUGCAAAUGAACACCGUAUCGUAAAGUGAGUACGAAAGUUAAGACGUCGAAUAAUAACAGAUAAUGAUGAUAACAACGAAUAGUAUGACUGGGAAAGAAAACCCCGGAUCACCACGUAACUCGACUCCAGUCAUUAACGGGUGACCCUUGAUAUUUAAUAUCAAGAGUACGGGAAAAACAAAAUACAAAAUAAAGUCUCGGAAGGUGAGGCCCACUCCGAUCCCUGGCGCCUUUCCCAUAGCGGAGCUCAAUCGAACGAUAGCUCCUACGCAACUAUCCACCAGAUGGAGAGCAACAAAAUAAAACCUCUCCAAAACCUCUCAAUAGAUACAUAUCUCUGGUGGGGUGACACCUAAAGAAACACUAAGAAUAACAUGGAAAAAUACGAAUACGAAUCACCUGAUGAAAUGAGAAAGAGAUGAACAGCGAUCAAAAAUCAACAAUCGUCGAGACUAUAGAAAUCUAUGAACAAAGAAGAACGAAAGCGUAGAGAAAACAACAUCUGCGGAAUAUACGCGUCCGUAUACCGCCCAGACCUGUGCGCGGCCCGCCCGGAUACGACACAGGGCCCCACACUGUCGAUGGGUUCCUUUUUCGAGCUGGGUGGUCCAGGCUUUCUCCGUGAUAUUGUACAAUCAGGUUGUUUAUAGAUAUCUAGAUAUAUUUAAGUACGUUGAUUGUCAAUAGUACAAAUACGGAGUGUUGUACGAUAUACGUUAGUACGCUGGUAUGUUACUUUAGUUGAUUCAUCUAGUGGGCUAAGAUGAAAAUAAGGCGAUAGGUAUCGAGUAGCUUGACUGAAGAUUCCAAAGGAGUUAGAAAGUAAGUACAGUAACUGUUAAGACAAGUAUUCCAAAAUAGAUAGAAAUGUUAUGAUAGGUGGGCUGAGUCAGAACUCAGUUAGUAGGCGCCUUAUGGCGAGUUUCAGUCCGAGCUCCGUUUCCUGUAGAGUGAAUGUGGAGUCGGAAUUUAGGUGAGUUAACCACAGUGCGGGGCUCGAGGAGGCUAAACCAGUCUAAGCUCGUGUACUGUCUGCGGCUUGCCUGUCGUGGUGGGGACAGGCGGGUUCCGAGNNNNNNNNNNNNNNNNNNNNNNNNNNNNNNNNNNNNNNNNNNNNNNNNNNNNNNNNNNNNNNNNNNNNNNNNNNNNNNNNNNNNNNNNNNNNNNNNNNNNNNNNNNNNNNNNNNNNNNNNNNNNNNNNNNNNNNNNNNNNNNNNNNNNNNNNNNNNNNNNNNNNNNNNNNNNNNNNNNNNNNNNNNNNNNNNNNNNNNNNNNNNNNNNNNNNNNNNNNNNNNNNNNNNNNNNNNNNNNNNNNNNNNNNNNNNNNNNNNNNNNNNNNNNNNNNNNNNNNNNNNNNNNNNNNNNNNNNNNNNNNNNNNNNNNNNNNNNNNNNNNNNNNNNNNNNNNNNNNNNNNNNNNNNNNNNNNNNNNNNNNNNNNNNNNNNNNNNNNNNNNNNNNNNNNNNNNNNNNNNNNNNNNNNNNNNNNNNNNNNNNNNNNNNNNNNNNNNNNNNNNNNNNNNNNNNNNNNNNNNNNNNNNNNNNNNNNNNNNNNNNNNNNNNNNNNNNNNNNNNNNNNNNNNNNNNNNNNNNNNNNNNNNNNNNNNNNNNNNNNNNNNNNNNNNNNNNNNNNNNNNNNNNNNNNNNNNNNNNNNNNNNNNNNNNNNNNNNNNNNNNNNNNNNNNNNNNNNNNNNNNNNNNNNNNNNNNNNNNNNNNNNNNNNNNNNNNNNNNNNNNNNNNNNNNNNNNNNNNNNNNNNNNNNNNNNNNNNNNNNNNNNNNNNNNNNNNNNNNNNNNNNNNNNNNNNNNNNNNNNNNNNNNNNNNNNNNNNNNNNNNNNNNNNNNNNNNNNNNNNNNNNNNNNNNNNNNNNNNNNNNNNNNNNNNNNNNNNNNNNNNNNNNNNNNNNNNNNNNNNNNNNNNNNNNNNNNNNNNNNNNNNNNNNNNNNNNNNNNNNNNNNNNNNNNNNNNNNNNNNNNNNNNNNNNNNNNNNNNNNNNNNNNNNNNNNNNNNNNNNNNNNNNNNNNNNNNNNNNNNNNNNNNNNNNNNNNNNNNNNNNNNNNNNNNNNNNNNNNNNNNNNNNNNNNNNNNNNNNNNNNNNNNNNNNNNNNNNNNNNNNNNNNNNNNNNNNNNNNNNNNNNNNNNNNNNNNNNNNNNNNNNNNNNNNNNNNNNNNNNNNNNNNNNNNNNNNNNNNNNNNNNNNNNNNNNNNNNNNNNNNNNNNNNNNNNNNNNNNNNNNNNNNNNNNNNNNNNNNNNNNNNNNNNNNNNNNNNNNNNNNNNNNNNNNNNNNNNNNNNNNNNNNNNNNNNNNNNNNNNNNNNNNNNNNNNNNNNNNNNNNNNNNNNNNNNNNNNNNNNNNNNNNNNNNNNNNNNNNNNNNNNNNNNNNNNNNNNNNNNNNNNNNNNNNNNNNNNNNNNNNNNNNNNNNNNNNNNNNNNNNNNNNNNNNNNNNNNNNNNNNNNNNNNNNNNNNNNNNNNNNNNNNNNNNNNNNNNNNNNNNNNNNNNNNNNNNNNNNNNNNNNNNNUACUCGAGAACUCAUACGAGAAUCAAGUAGAUGUUUGAUUAAAGGUGAACCCUCAUAGCCUAUGGUAAUCAAAGAUUAAAUCACCACAAAUUUGUGAUUCUACAAGCUCCGGAAGGAGAUUCGGCUCGUGGAUUUCGCGUGAAGCCGAGGAUUCGGUGGACGCUUCGAGGAGUUGAGGCGUUGACGCUGCGAGGAGUUGCGGCGAGGUCGAUUGGUGGAUUCCUAUCGAUCGAGGACCGGCGAAGAACACCAUCAACAAGAAAUCGGUAAAUUGAGUCGUGUAUUUUUGUCAAAAUCACUUGUACUCAAGUUUUCUUAGUGGAUUUUCUUCGCGUGGUCGGUCCCGUGGGUUUUUCACUCCGAAUUGGAGUUUUCCCACGUUAAAUUCUCGGUGUGCUAUUUUUUUUUCUGCUAUCUAGUUUUAUUUGCAUCGAGAUUUUUGAGUUUGCCGGUUUUACACCUAUUCACCCCCCUCUAAGUGUUUCUUACCUUUUAGAUCAUCGGGAUCCAUAUCUUUCAAGUGGUAUCAGAGCGGGUAUAGGUUGUAAUUCAUGGCCGAGGGCGGUAACAUUAAUCGACCCCCUCUUUUCGAUGGCACUAAUUACGCUUAUUGAAAAGUCCGUAUGAGGGCGUUUCUUAUUGCUAUCGACGAGCGGGUAUGGCAAGCCAUUGAAUUCGGGUGGAAACAUCCUACCGAAGUUGUCGAGAAUGUUACCAGUCCGAAACCUAGAAAUAAAUGGACGAAAGAGGAAAACGAACUAUUUUUGUUCAAUGGGAAAGGUAUCAAUGCUUUAUUCAAUGCUUUAAAUCAAACUGAAUUUUCUCGCGUCUCGGCGUGUGAAACUGCCAAAGAGAUUUGGGACACUUUGCAAGUUACACACGAAGGUACAAGCUUGGUUAAGAUUCAAAAAUUGCAAAUGCUUACUAGUAGAUUUGACUCCAUUCGUAUGGAAGAACAUGAAUCUUUUACUGAGUACUAUACUCGUUUGCAAGAUAUAGUAAACACGUGUGCCAACUUGGGCGAGAAAAUUUUCGAUUCCAAAAUUGUUCGAAAAAUUUUGAGGACCCUUCCCGAACGAUUUCGUUCUAAGGUUGCGGCUAUUGAAACGGUUAAACAUCCUGAUGAACUCAAGGUAGAAGAAUUAGUAGGUGCACUUCAAACCUAUGAAAUGACUUUUCCUUGUAACUCGUCUUCUUCCAAGUCUUUUUCUAAGGCUUCAGGGAUGGCUCUAAAAUCAACAAAAGGAGAUAUCACUUCAACUUUAUCAGAUUCUGAGUCGGAGCAAACCCUGGAGGACUUUGGAAAGCAACUAGCGCUUCUAACAAAGAAGUUCCGUUGGAACUUUAGAAAGAAGUUUCCUCCCAAGUCUACUUCUUCCAAGUCAAGCAAAUCAAAAGGGGGUUCGUCUUCUUCUUCCUCAUCAAAAUACAGAAAAUCGGAUAACUUUCAAAAGGACUCUACAAAAGAGAAGAAAAGCAGUGAAGGUCAAAUUCAAUGCUACAAGUGUAGGGGCUUUGGCCAUAUUGCAUCUGACUGUCCUAAUAAAAAAUCGUUGAAGAAGAAAGCGAUGCAAGCUAUUACUUGGGACGAUUCCUCAUCUGACGAUUCCACUUCAAGUGAAGAGGAUGUAAAUGCUACGGCACUGAUUGCACAGGAUUCAACUUUCAUGUGUUUAGCAUCUGCUGAAUCUAUCUCUAUGUCAUCCCUACAUGAGAAGUCAUCUUCGGAGAACUCAUCAGAUGAAGAAUCGGACGAAGACGACAUGGUUGCAGCAUAUCAACAAUUGGUUGUUGAAUCAAAGAAGGUGGCUAAACAUAACAAGAGACUGCGGCGAAGUCUACAUGAGUUGGAACAAGAAAAUUCAAAAUUGGCCUCACUAACAAAGGAUCUAGAGCAAGAAAAAGAUGGUUUGACCAAGGCAUACAACUCUUUAUUUGAGAAGUGUUCGUUACUUGAAAAGGAAAAAGAGACUCAGAUGGAGAACAUCAAUUUUCUCACCAAGCAAUACUCGGAAGCUAGAGAAGCAAAUAUGGAAUUCACCAAGACGAUCAUUCAAUUGAAGUCGGAUUUGAACCAAUUUUUGUCUGGCUCAAGUAAACUAGACAAGAUGCUUGGACUUGGUCAAACAAACAAACUUGGACUUGGUUAUGAACGGACGUAUAUUGAUCAAGUAACGAAGAAAGAUGAUGGAAAUUCGUCAAAAACAGUUCCUAAACUUUAUGGUAAGUUCGUUCCUCCUAAAAAUAAUUUGACUAACAAAACUUGUCAUAUUUGUGGUGUUUUAGGACACAUAAAGAAGUUUUGCAAGCAAAAGGGAAAGAGCUCAACAACACCCUUGAACCAAAGAACAUCGCCCAUGAAGAUUAAUCCUAUAUUAAAAGGGAAGUCAAAUUGGACUUCAGAGAAGAUCGAUCAUAAGAAGAAACAAACGUGGACACCAAAUGCGCCGAAAUCAAUGGCAAAACAAGCAUGGAAACCAAAGAAGGAGGAUAUGAAGAAGAAGUCAAUUCAAAUCGUCGACAAGCCAACAUCAACAAAAGCAAGCAAACCGUUGCAAUCCAAAACACGUAAGGUUUGGGUGCGCAAAGGUGAACUCUUCCCAUACUUAGUCAUUCACACUUCGCUUCAUGCUUACGAUAAUACUUCAUGGUAUCUGGAUAGUGGCUGUUCCCGCCACAUGACCGGAGAUAAAAAUUGGUUUACUUCUUUGAACAAAAUCUCUGGAGGACUUAUUAUUUUUGGAGACGGUCGGUCAUCAAAAAUUGUUGGAAAAGGAACAGUGACUAUCUCAGAUGGCCCUACUUUGAAUGAUGUUUUCUAUGUUGAGGGGCUGAAAUCUAAUCUUGUAAGCAUAAGCAACUGUGUGAUGAUGGGUAUUCUGUGAAUUUUUCCGAUAAAGAAUACCAUGUGACUCGUGAUGACAAUCUUUUCUUAAAGGGCAUUAGAUCUCAGAAUAACUGUUAUGUAGUUCCUAAUUCUUCGACUGAACAUUGUAACUUAGCGUCAUUAGAAACUGAGACUUUAUGGCAUGAACGACUAGGCCACAAAAAUUUUAAGGAGCUAUCCAAGAUAACUAAGAAGGAGGUUGUCAGAGGUGUACCUAAGAUUGACUUUAAAGAGAACAUUGUGUGUGGGGGUUGUCAAUUGGGGAAACAAACUAGGUCCGCACAUAAGAAUUUGAAUCACUUAGGGACAUCUAAACCUUUAGAAUUACUUCAUAUGGAUUUGAUGGAACCAUUUAGGAUUCAAAGUUUGGGUGGAAAACGUUAUAUUUUGCUCAUUGUUGAUGAUUUUACUCGUUUUGCUUGGAGUGCCUUCUUACGAGAAAAAGCUGAUACUUUUGAUUCUUUUUCUGAAAUCUGUCUUCGUCUUAUGACUGAACGGAAUGAUAAAAUUGUACGUAUUCGAAGUGAUCAAGGGGGAGAAUUCAUAAAUUCAAAAUUUGUUGAUUUUUGUGUUUCAAAUGGCAUUAAACAUGAAUUCUCGGUUCCUUAUACACCCCAACAAACGGAGUGGUUGAGCGCAAGAACUGGGUUGUACAGGAGAUGGCUCGUGUUAUGCUUCAUAGUAAGAAAAUUGCUUUACACUUUUGGGCCGAAGCAGUGAACACGGCUGUCUAUGUUAUCAAUCGGAUUUAUGUGCGCUCGGGUACUUUGAAUACUCCUUAUGAACUUUGGCUUGGUAGGAAACCUAAUGUUAAAUACUUUCGUGUCUUCGGGUGUAAAUGUUUUAUCCUUCAGGAUCGUGAAAAUCUUGAAAAAUUUGACUCCCGAAGUGACGAAGAAAUUUUUCUUGGUUAUUCUACUACAAGUCGUGCUUAUCGUGCGUACAAUUUACGAUCUAAGACGGUGAUAGAAUCUAUUAAUAUAAAAGUAGAUGAAGCUUCUUCUGUAAGUUCUUUUGUGAAUGGUUCUUCUAACUCGAUGAAUGAUGAUGAUAAUGAUUCUCCGUUUGUAUUGCCUGUGAAUGAUGAUGUUUCUGCACUUGACAAUUCCAUUACAUCUUCUGAAAAUGUUGCUUCAAAUGAUUCAUCUGAGCCUCAAAUCACCUCAUCUGAAAUUCCAAGCAUAUCUCCUGAGACUACACCCCUGACAGAGUCGAGAGAUCAUCCGUUAUCGAAUGUAAUUGGGGAUCCUAAUGUUGGAGUGCGAACAAGAAGUCAACUACAAUGUGAAUUUGCAUGGUGUGUAUCUUUGAUUGAGCCAAAGAAUAUUGACGAAGCUUUACGUGAUGAAUAUUGGAUAAAUGCAAUGCAAGAAGAACUUGGUCAAUUCGUUCGCAAUGAUGUAUGGGAAUUAGUGCCUCGUCCUGAGCAACAACACAUCAUAGGUACCAAAUGGAUCUUUAAGAAUAAGAAAAAUGAGGAUGGUACUAUUGUUCGGAACAAAGCGAGACUUGUUGCUCAGGGGUACUCACAAAUUGAGGGAAUAGACUUUGAUGAAACCUUCGCCCCGGUUGCCCGUCUUGAAUCUAUUCGUAUCUUGUUCGCGAUUGCCUGCCAUUUUAAAAUCACUCUUUUUCAAAUGGAUGUUAAAAGUGCGUUUCUAAAUGGAUUUUUAAAAGAGGAAGUUUAUGUUGAACAACCGAAAGGUUUUAUAGACUCAAAAUUUCCAAAUCACGUUUUUCGACUGAAAAAGGCACUUUAUGGACUAAAACAGGCUCCGCGAGCAUGGUACGAACGCUUGACAAAAUAUCUUUUGGAAAAGGGCUAUAACCGAGGGGGAGCGGAUAGAACUCUCUUUGUAAAACACUUCAAGAAUGAUUUCAUUGUGGCACAAAUAUAUGUUGAUGACAUAGUCUUUGGGGCAACUAAAGAUAAAGAUGCCAAUGAUUUUGCUAAAUUGAUGACAAGCGAAUUUGAGAUGUCUAUGAUGGGGGAGCUUAAUUAUUUCCUUGGACUUCAAGUCAAACAAACUAAAGAUGGAAUUCACUUGUGUCAAUCCAAAUAUGCGAAAGAUUUGGUUAAGAAAUUUGGAUUGGACAGUGCAAAGGAUUUUGACACUCCAAUGGGUACAAGUAACAAAGGACUUGGAGUGAAUUCGGAAGGACAGAGCGUAGAUGAGAAACAAUACAGAAGCAUGAUUGGGAGCCUAUUGUACUUGACUGCGAGCAGGCCAGAUAUUGCUUUUAGUGUUGGAAUGUGUGCUCGCUAUCAAGCUAAUCCUAAGGAGGUCCAUCUGAAAGCUGUUAAAAGGAUCAUUCGGUACGUUAAGGGUACAACCGCAUAUGGACUUUGGUAUCCUAUGGGAACAUCUCUUGAUCUAAUCGGCUACUCCGAUGCUGACUGGGCAGGAUCUGCAGAUGAUCGGAAAAGUACUAGUGGAGCUUGUUUUUACAUUGGACACUGUCUGGUUGCUUGGCACAGUAAGAAGCAAAAUUGUAUUGCUCUUUCAACUGCAGAAGCUGAAUACAUUGCGGCCGGGAGUUGCUCUACACAAUUGAUCUGGAUGAAGAGUUUACUGAGCGACUAUCGGAUCCCUUCCACCACUCUUACUAUUCUUUGUGACAACACAAGUGCAAUUAACAUUUCAAAAAACCCUGUUUUACAUUCACGAACAAAACAUAUUGAACUAAGAUAUCACUUUUUAAGAGAACUGGUUGAAUCAAACAUUCUACAACUUGAAUAUAUUUCGACUGAAAGUCAACUUGCAGAUAUUUUAACCAAACCUUUGGAUCAAAAACGUUUUCUGCAUUUAAGAAAAGCGAUUGGUAUGAAUCCUUCAAUCUAGAUAUAUUCUAUUGGGCCAUAGAUCAUGUGCAUGUUGCAUUUUAUUUUUGUGAAUGGUUUCCGGUAUAUUCUGAUUGUGCUUGUGGGAUGAUUGAAUUUCCUGUUUAUUGUUGCUAGUUUUGGGAGAUGAAUCGGUUCGUAACUUUAAUUAUUUCAUAUUUAAUUUUUGAUUGAUCACUGUCAAGAUUGCUCUAUAUUGGCAUAAUUUUUGAACGAUCAAAUCAUUGAAAUUCUGUUUUGCAUACUGAAUCAAAUUUAACACCUCAUGCUUCGAACUUUGAAUGUUGCUAUUGUUUGUCUGAUUAUGAGUUUUGAGAUGAAUAACUCUUUCUCUGUUUUUGAAAUUGAAAUAAUAUUUUUGACUUGAGGGUUGCACUAAUUUAGGGGGAGUCUUUCCAAUUUUUGGUUAUUAAAGUUUCUGAGAUUCAAGAUGUGGAAAGAGUUACAUCCCUGCUGGGAGUGUGAAAACUACCACCACAUGGAGGAAAGAGCUACCACCCUGGUCGUCCGGUCAGUGUGUGCAGCUACCACAUGUUGAUUAAAGUAUCUAUAUAAGACAAAAGGAAAGUACCUUUCAGAGAAGAAAAAUUUAAAAAAAAUAUGCUCAAAGAGCUAUACAUCUUGUAGGUGAUAUUUGGUGGAAUGUCAAUAAAAAGAUGCUCAAAGAGCCACUCCUGUCUCGAAUAUUGUGCAUAACUAAAUUUGAACAUAUUAUGCUGAUUUCUCGAUUCUGAGGAUUAUUUAUUCAUUUUCUUUAACAAAAUAUGAUGGUAAAAUGAUACAAUAAGUUCCUAGAUCUUGCAUGAUGUGUGGAAUUUUAUUUUAUAUGUAUCAAAAAUUUUCAUUGAUUUUCGGGUCAACAAUUUUGUAAGUUUGAAUAUCCCUGAAAUUGAUUUUUCAAAAUUUAUUUAUGAAAUUUUGUUUGAAGUUUUUGGGCUGGAAAUUGGUUCUUUUUGAUGAUUGAACAUUGUGAAAUAUUUUUUAAUUUUUCUGGAAUUCUCGGGCCUCAGUUUAAAAUUUUUCUAAAAUUUCAGGCUCUGGGACCGGUCCCAGGUGGGAGAGACCGGUCCCUCCGCCAGACCCGAUAAAGGGCUUAUCGCACGAUCUGUUUUUGUACGCGUUUUUUUUUUUCUCCUGCUUUCCUCCCUGGCGCUUCUCUUGUCUCCAGAUCAGGGUUUCCUCUUGUUUCUCCUUGGUUUGCAUUGAUUUUAGGUAUGAUUUUCGGGUUUUGUUGCGUUCAUGUCAUAUACUCAGAAAAUGUGUCUCAUUUCAGAUUUUUUGAUGAUUGGUCUAGAGAUCUUGCUAAAAAUGCAUGUUUAUGCUUCGAUCUUGUUAUUAGACCUGUUGUUUUCAUAUUUUCUGAAAUUUCUUUAUCUUUUUGGUCAAGUUUUGUAGGUUUUUCAUCAUCAAAAUCUUGGUUUUCAAAGUUUUCGUGAAAAAUUUGUUUAUGCUGAUUUUGAUGCAUGAUUUGUUCAUGUUUCUCAUGAUUAUGUGGCCCCUAGGAUUAUUUCGUAUUUAUAUACCAAUUUGCUAAAAAUUUUUGGAAUUAAAAAAAAUAAAAUAAAAUACAUGUGUUUCAUAUGUAAAGUUCAUUAUGUUUAACAGGUGAUUUUCGAAAAUGUACUCGUGGAUUCUUGUGCUUGUUGUUCUUAUGGCUGGGGGUGGUCGCGAAAGCAAACGACAGCGCUCCAAAGCUAAACGGCCGAUUGAGUAUCAACCGGAAGAUGAAGAGAGCGAAUAUGCUCCAGGCGACGACUCUGAGGAGGAGGAGCCGGAUUGGGAGGCUUUUGUUCCCGAGGGGUUAGCUAAGGAUAAGGAUACAGGGAAAGGCAAGGGAAAAGGAAAAGCCGUGGAUAAAGGCAAAGGAAAGGCAGCUGAACGUCCAGGUCGUCGUAAGUCUGGAGGUGUUGACAUUAGAGAACACGGUUCUGAGCCUUCGCGUCACAGUCUACAGGAUGUUCCAUCUGCUCGACGGUCAAUGUACUCGUCGAAACACUGUAUUGGUGAGCGAGAUGUUGGAGUUGCCAGUAUCAUUAGCUGUGUGCCGGGAUUUCAGGAUUUAUUUGAACAGGGAAAUCUUCAUCAGAUUUGUGAUUUCCCGGAACAAACCGGUUUCUGUUUGGAGUUGAUCAGAGAAUUCUAUAUAAGAGCAGGUCACCUGAGUGACUCCGACGGCGGCCCGUACGUAUUUAAAACUUCCGUACGUGGUGUUGAGUUAUCAAUCACUCCUGAUAUGAUAGCGUCUGUACUAGGAAUGGAAGCAAGAACUGAGGGAGUGGAAUAUCUGCAGGCCGGGUUCGACUCACUUCGCGAUUGAAACCGUAUAGUGAACACUAUUUGCAUGCCGGGUACUGAGUCCAACGGAAUUAUGGUUAUGUCCAAAGAUUUCAAAAUGGAAUAUAGGUUUCUGAACUUCGUGGUUUGCUACAAUAUUUUGCCUCUUGCGAACACGAAGAUUCUGAGAUGGGAUCGUAUUCUGUAUAUGUAUCUCUUGGGAAGGCCGGAUAUUGUAAGUGCCAAAAAUAUUAACAUGAAUAUUCCGUUUCUGAUCUCAUGGAGAAUGGCAAAGGACAUCAAGACUUCUGGGCAAAAUGAAAGAAUGCCCUUUCCAUUGAUAAUUAUGAGGAUUCUGCGACUUCAUGAUGUGGAUGUCCGGUGUACAUCUUAUGAGCAUAGUUUGGGUCGGAUAAAUGAAAGGACAUUUGUGAAGUCCUCGGUGCAGCUUCAUACCCCAUCUCAGCGCGCUUCUUCCCCUCCUGCUGCUCCACCUCCUACUACUGCUACUUCUUCACGUCCUUCUAUGGACAUUUCCGAGGAAGAUAUCUCAGUUUCCUCUGUGUAUCGUGAGCAACAACGGUUGUCUGAGGAGCUUCAGAAAUUGUUUGCGGAGCAGGCUGCGAUACGGAAGGAUGUGAGCAAGAUGAAGCGAUUACUCAAUAUGAUUUUUGACAAAUUAGGGUGUUGCAGAGCAGAUUUACCCCCAGGGGAUGCUUCAGAUUAGAUGUUAUGGGUUUACUCCUUUUGUCGUUUUGGCGCUUUCUGACAAAAAGGGGGAGAUGAAUACAUGAUGAUGGAUGGCUCGAUGAUGAUGAAGCGUUUAGUUUAGAUUUGAUUUACUUUGCAUAAGUUGUGUAAAUUUAGUUUAGAUGUUUGCUUGGGUGCUUGACUAUGAACUGACUUGGUGACUUGGUACUAUUUUGAUGUUUAUGUUUGAUUAUGUUUGAUCUUGAUAAGUAUACUUGAAAGUCUGUAUUAAGGUUGUAAAAGUGUAAUUUUCAUUUAUUGGAUCGAUCAUGUAGGAGAUUAUCGUUUGGUGAUUGCGAUGAUCUUCUUUUUAUUAUUUUUGAGUUGUGUACGAACUUUGUAAUAUAUUUUGUCACAAAAUCGCCAAAGGGGGAGAUUGUUAAGGAUUUUAUAGGUUGGCGGAUUUCAUAAUGUUGAAUGGAGUCUUGAAGAGUUGAUUGCGGAAGAUUGAAGAAAAGAUCUAAAUUGAAGAACAAAGACUCACUCGUAAAGUUCGACACCUAAGGUAUGAAGAAAAGAUCAUUUGUGGUGAAGAUACUUAAUUAGAAUAAGUUCAGAAGGCUUAGAUUGCUUUAAAAAUAUUUUACUGAACUUUUCUGUAUUCAGGGACCGGUCCCUGAGUUCCAGAGACCGGUUCCCCUAAGGUCCUCACUGCGUGAGCUUUGAUGCAACCGGUCCCCUGAGAUGAGAGACCGGUUCCCGAACCUUGGUAUUUCUGUCGCGCAGCGAGGGACCGGUUUCAAGCUUGAGAGACCGGUUCCCGAACGUUGUGAUUUUGGUCACGCGGCGAGGGACCGGUUCCUCACUUGAGAGACCGGUCUCUCACAGACCGGUCUCCUCGAGAGGACCGGUCUCUGAGGACGAAACAGGUUUUUAAAAAGGACUUUUUGCAAUCCUAGUCUACUUCUAAGUCUUCUAAACAUAUAAAUAAGCUAUGUGGGUCAUCUAAAAGUUUAAGGCUUUGAAUAUUUACUGAUUCUAAACCCUAGAAACUUGUUUUUCCGUUUCAAUGCGUCUAUUCACAUAGCGAGUUUCUAACAAUCAACUAUCGGCUUGAUUCUUCGUUUUUACUCGAGAACUCAUACGAGAAUCAAGUAGAUAUUUGAUUAAAGGUGAACCCUCAUAGCUUAUGGUAAUCAAAGAUUAAAUCACCACAAAUCUUCGAUUCUACAAGCUCCGGAAGGAGAUUCGGCGCGUGGAUUUCGCGUGAAGCCGAGGAUUCAGUGGACGCUUCGAGGAGUUGAGGCAUUGACGCUGCGAGGAGUUGCGGCGAGGUUGAUUAGUGGAUUCCUAUCGAUAGAGGACCGGCGAAGAACACCAUCAACAAGAAAUCGGUAAAUUGAGUCGUGUAUUUUUGUCAAAAUCACUUGUACUCAAGUUUUCUUAGUGGAUUUUCUUCGCGUGGUCGGUCCCGUGGGUUUUUCACUCCGAAUUGGAGUUUUCCCACGUUUAAUUCUCGGUGUGCUAUUUUAUUUUCUGCUAUCUAGUUUUAUUUGCAUCGAGAUUUUUGAGUUUGCCGGUUUUACACCUAUUCACCCCCCUCUAGGUGUUUCUUACCUUUUAGAUCCUCGGGAUCCAUAUCUUUCAGGGACAGACGUAGUUAUCCCGCAGACAGCUCCGGGUGAGAGUAGCGGACGUCUCCUCGCAAUGCGGAGUUGGAUAUGUGAGUCGGGGCUUAACCUUCGGGUGAGCCGGAUGGAUUGGAUUAUGGAAACAAAGGUAAAUGGCAUGCAUCAUGAGCAUAGUAGAUACUAUUACUUGUUUACCUUACUUGUUCAUUAUUGUUCAUAUUGCAAAGCAUAGUAGCAUUGUAGAAUACUGUUUUAUCGCUAACCUAUCUACUUUUGCCUGCUUAGAACUAGUGGGAAAAUCGGCGGCGUCGGUAGUGGAACCCACUGGAAACUAUUUAUGUCACGCCCCGCCCCGAAACCACUACCCAUUUGGCACGGUUCGGCCGCGGCGGCGGAUUGCCGAACGGACAGCGCCUCCCCUGCCCGCCCAAGGCUCAACAACAAGAAUGUGUAUAAGAAUUUACCCAAGAAAUUAAAUUCUAAACAUACACAUUCACAAGGGCACAACCAGUGCCAACAAUACAAAGAGUAAGUAAUCCACAAGAUAAAGCAUGUGAAAUAAAGAGAGUACUUUACUAACUAUUACAAUAGUUUCAUCAUUUUUAUUUACAUCCUUUCUUUAAAUGUUUACAUAACUCAUCCAAAAUAAAUAGCUCUCCAAAAUCCUCACCUACAAUGAAUCUCUCUCAGUACAUAGGUGAACUAAUGCAAAAGGAAAGCAACUAUACUACCACGGUCUCACUGAUCGGGCGCGAUGCCCUUGCCGCGGUCCUCCUUCGGCAGCCCUGUACCUACCACUGGAAAUAGAGUGGGGUGAGAACUAUCUUCCAUAGUUCCCAGUGUCUGCCGAUCUCCCCACUAGGUCCAAGUGGGCACAAAUAACAACAGAUAGAUUCUAAGGUACCGGACUUCUAAAAUUAUGAAGUUACGGUGUACAUUUAAAUGGUCCCGGUGAGGUCCGGAAGCAUUCGGGCGUUUUCAGUACGCGUAGGAGCUAAAACGGAGCCGAAAGGCCAUGUUGGGCCGUGAGCCAAAUCCGACAUUAGCGUGGAUGAAAAGAUGAUGAAAAUAUGCUCGAAAACAUGUUUGGAGAGUCUUGGUUCGAUUUGAAAAGAAUCGGAGGUCAAACGAGCGAAAACGGAGAAAAAACUGUGAAAAAGCUAAAAAUUUGGCCAAGUCCUUAAAGGCUGGAAUUCUGGACCUACGGGGACCGGUCCCCCAAGUCCAGGGACCGGUCCCUAUACAAAAAAUGGCCCCUGCGGGGGCAAUGUAAUAAAAUGAAAGUUGAGGGGCCUAAUUGCACUUUGGGCUUUAUGAGAGUGUACAGAGAGGGCUCUUUCUCUCUUCCUCUCAUUUCCCUCACUCCAACACCACCUCUCUCUCUCUCUUAACGUGAAGAAGAAGAAGAGGAGAAAGAAGAAGAAAAGGAAAAGAAGAGAAGAAAGGAAAGAGAAUGAAGAAGGAGGAGAAGAGAAUCACCACCACCAUCAUCAUCUUCUUCUUCCUCUCAACCUUGGAACAAACCUAGAGAGGUAAGCUUCUAGGGCUCUAAUGGUAACUUCUUAGGGUUUGGUUUAUGCACCCUAAGGAUGGUUUAGAUGCAAUUCUAGCAAGCUUAAUAGAUGUUUAAUGCUUGAAUCUAGAGUUCAAAUGGUAGAUUUUGCUUAGAUGCAAACCUAGGGCUCCAAAAUGGCGUUUUGAUAUAUAUGAGGGUUUGAUCUCAAAUAACCCUCUGUAAACCUAAUUGAUAGGUAAUGAAACACGUUGGCGAAAACGGUUCGGCAAUCCGACGAGCCGUUGCAAAGAUAUUGAAGAAACGGACGCUUAGAGCUUCGUUUCCGCUUGGAGGGCCGCGGUGACGUCCAUAAAUUGUGAAAUCGGGUCCCGAGCAUCGUAACGGCGAGGCGAAGACUGUUAGCACUUGAAACGGCAAAGCAGCGCGCUCUUGGAGAGCAACUGUGAGAUCAGGCCCAAACGGGUGCCGAGUGCCGCAGAAGGCCAAUUGCAAGUGUCGACGAGCAAUCGGAACGCGAAUUAAGGUGGGUUGUGUUUACCGAAGCAACUAGGUCGCCCUUUAUGUCUAAGAUGAUUAAGAAUCCACGUUGAUGCAUAUGAAUGUAAAUGAGGCAUAUAGAUGAUGCAUAUAAAUGUAAGUAAAGCAUGUGGUUGAUUCAUAUAGCUAAUGCAUGUUAAUAAUAUGAUGCAAAUGCUAAGUAGAUCCAUGUAAAAUGACAUGAUAUAGAAUACAUGCUAGUGAUAAUGCAAAUGAUAUGUAUGUGUGCAUUGGAGUAUAUGCUAGUUGCACUUAGCAUUAUGAGUUCAUGCUAGAUAGUAAAUGCAUAUUGGCAUCAUAGAAUGUAUGCGAGAUGAAAUGUGGAUAUCUAUAGUACUCGAUAUGACAAUAGGACAUCAAGUAGAUCGAGUGGCAUUGAACCUAGUGUUAAUAAACAUAGGUCGGACAUAGAUGACAUCAAACCUAGUGUUGUUGAACCUAGGAUAAAUAACGAGUGGUAUCUAACCUAGUGUUAAAGAACAUAGGUUGAGUAUGAACCUAGAGUCGGGAUCUAGGUGUGUGGCAUCUAACCUAGUGUUAAGGAACAUAGGUUGAGAACUGAACCUAGAGUUAAGGUAAACCUAGGUUGUGAAAUUGAGGCAUUAGACCUAGAGUCAGUUGGACCUAGGGUGGAAAGUGCAUUGGACCUAGAUAGGUCGAUAGCAUAGGGUUGGAUACGGACCCUUGACUUGUGAAGUGGAUUCCGGAAUCCCGAGUCUUGUGAACUCAAUAAUUCUUGGACCGCGGGUGUAUGUGGCAUGUUCCUCUCCCACCGGAAGAACUUUGAGGAUUGUGACUAAGCAAGAACAAAGAGCGCUAGGGUGUAUGCGACAUGUUCCUCUCCCUAUCGGGGGUCUUGGCUAUGGGUGUAUGCGGCUAUGUUCCUCUCCCUCUGGCGGAUCCCUGACCAUGGUGCACGGACCUUCGGGCGGACCGUUGGGCGAUGUGGUUCUUGGCUUGCAGGCUGAGGUGCGUUGUGACAGGGUCCUUCACCUCGAGCCGGGCAGAGCGCGGACUAUCCGCAGUUGAUUGACUCGAGGCCGAGUCGGGUGGCUAGCUGGAAUAAAGUAGAUAGAACCUUGAGGGCUAGUGGUAAAUGUGUAAACCUAAGGUAAUAGAGAUCUUAGAGUUGGAUGAUAUGAACUAGAGUUAGCGAGAUCAAUUGUAGAAUCAAUAAUUCUACUAGUUGUUGCGCAUAUAUUCAUGUUGCAUAUUGCAUAGCAUCAUUGCGGUUGUGAGGCAAAGCAAGGUAAAGUUAGUUGCAUCUUUAUGAUAUACAUAUCUAUCUGUUUAUUGGACUAACUUGUAUUUGCCUCCUUUGGACCUGUUGGUCGAGCUCCUCCCUUAGACGGCCGUACCCACUGGGAACCAUGAGGUUGGUUCUCACCCCACGUUGUUUUGGGAUUUUACAGGUUCGAACGUGAGCGGCGCGGUGGCGCGAGGAAAGGGCGUAACUCCAUAGAUAGCGCCCUACCCCCAGAGACCAGAGCUAGCAGUACCCCAUCGACGUAGCUUAGGGUUAUAGAAAAUGAAAGGAACAAAAUGUAUUAAACUUGUAAUAUCUAUAAUGUAAUAACUUAGAUUGUAUUUGGAAGUCUAAUGUAAAAAGAAUAGUGGUUGGGAUGUAAAUAAAUGAAUCUAAUGUGAAUGUUGUAAUAACAUAGGAUGUGUUAUGUUGUUGAUACCUUUCCAUUUGCAAUCUAUGAUUGAUAUCUGUUCCUGGUCGGAACCUUUGUAAUGUACAUUGUUUGGAUUGCGACGCCUAGAACGUACAGGGGAGACUCUGUCCGCGUACAGGGGAAACCCCGGUCCGUUCGGCGGUCUGUCGUCGGUGCCGCGACCCGGUCCAAAUUGGCGGUUGGUCACGGGGUGUGACAUAGAUAGAUAGAUAAAUAUGUAUCUGAAAACUGUAAAUGCAAUAGUAGAAAAACUAUGCUACUAUGCCCAUAAUCAUGAAUAUGAAUGCAUGCAUCAUAUAAUAAAGGUUUGCUACCAUGCUAACAAAUUCGAUCAAUGUUCGAAUAGCAAUGUUCAAUGACAUUAUUAAACCUUUAACCAUUUCGUUUACCCAAUCUGUGGCGAGGCCCUAGGGCUCGCCCAUAACUCACCUUUCAAUCCCAAAGUGGGGAGGGAGCUCCAAGUGCACCCAAGCCCGGGACCGUCUGCGGACCUCCAUGUGGUCCGGACCUCCAAGUGGUCCUAGUCGCGCGACACUCCGGAGUACUCGACGACAAUCCCCUCUAUUUCGGGAUUGGAUGGCUAUACCACCCCAAACGCAGACUGUGAGCUAGAUCUAUUCUCUCCAAGUGAGGAUGCCCUAUAUCUAGGGUCAACAAUCCAAUCAAGUCCUCUCCAAGUGAGGAUGCUCUACAACUAGAGUCAAUACCCAAUCGAAUCCUCUCCAAGUAAGGAAGCACUAUAACUAGAGUCCACAACCCAAUCAAAUCCUCUCCAAGUAAGGCUACAUAGGUUUACUAAGUUCUUGUUCACAAGGCAUUUUCUAAGGGAUCCAUCUAUCCCUAGGUUCUCAAACCUUUAGUGUUAUUUACACUACAUUAAUGCCACUCGUCAUCAUUUAACAUUUGGAUGCCACUCGUGUAUUCUUUUACAUUAAACACUACUUUCUAUGUCAUCAAUACCCCCAUCGGGUUCACCUCUUUUCUUUCGCAUUAUAGGAUCCACGUUCCGACCCAAUCCUCACCUAUCUAAGUUACCAAGCGUUCCAAGUACACUAGGUUAUCAAUUAGAAAGCAUAAGGAGUGGAGCUACUAUGCAAUCCUACAAUGCAACAUGUAAGAGAUAAGAUUAAAUGCAAUCUAAGAUAUAGAAAGGAGUUCGAAAGCUUUGGGAUGGCACCCUGCAAAGGUUGUGAGUUUGAGUAUUUGCACGGCCUUGUAGAUUCCCGGCCGAAGUCCUCGCAAGAACCACUCAGCCCGGUCCCAGUCAUCCUUUACAACAUCCGGGACACAGUCUAUGAUAUGGGAGAAUUCUUGUUCAUACUCCGCCACUGAGCGGUCCCCUUGCUCUAGCUUGCGGAACUUCUCCUUGAGUUUCCGCUUCAAUGUAUCGGGGAAAUAGUUGGCGAACAUUUCCCGCUUGAAUUCCUCCCACAACAUUGGCGGAAGGCCGGGAAGCCGAUCCCGUUUGAUGCGCUUCCACCAAACUUUCGCCGCCUUUUCCAAGCAAUGGGUGGCGAGGUACACUUUAUCUCUCUCCAAAGUGCGCAAGUCUUCAAAGAGGGUUUCCAUUAAGUCAAUCCAAGACUCGACCAUCUCCGGUUCCACCUUCUCGCCCUCGAAGGUUGGCGGAUGGAACUUGUUAAAUUUGAUAAAACCCGCCAAUGCGCGCUCUCCCUCCACGUCUUCGGCCGACACAUCGGGUGCAGCCGAUCCCGAUGCCGCAUGUGGUACGAUCGCUGGCGGUGGGCGUGCCGUCACCGGAACCGCCGCUAUGCCCUCACCUUCUGCCGCUCCGGGUAUAUUAGUCGAGGGUGGGUGCGGACCACCGCCCUCAUUCACCGUCGCAGCCGCCGCCGCAAUCUGCCGCUCCAGAAGCUCCUGGAGCCGCUCGAAUCGGGUCUCCUGGCGCUGCACCACAUUGGUCAGCGCGGUCACCUGCGCUUGCAACCGAUUAAUCAUGUUCGGUUCCUCCUGCUUGGGCACCUCAGGAAUCGGUGCUGGGGCAGAUCUACGUGUGUAGCGACUUGGAGACAUUACUCCCUGAAACGCAAUUACUUGGUCAGUCAUCAUAACUAAUUACCACGCCGAAAUUACGACACAUGACGACUCAACAACAAAAUCGGGCGGAAGUACACAAGUGUCCUCAUUCUAGACUCUUGGUAUCGCGUCGUCGGCCGCCGACACAACCACCUCAAGACAAGAACUCGUACCACUUGAAUCCGUCUCUAAUCACAACUAGAGACAUAUUACCAACUUCGACCCAAUCGAAUCCACUUCCGCCAUCGUUAUAGGUUCACGUUCCGCUCGCGCACCUAUAACCUUAGGGCUUACCAACCUAGGGUCUCCUAGGUCAUCCUAGACUUUCUUUCCUUACUUGCUCUUAUUGCUCUGAUACCACAAAGGCUGUCAUGCCCCGCCCCGAAACCACUACCCAUUUGGCACGGUUCGGCUGCGGCAGCGGAUUGCCGAAUGGACAGCACCUCCCCUGUUCGCCCAAGGCUCAACAACAAGAAUGUGUAUAAGAAUUUACCUAGAAAAUUAAAUUCUAAAUAUACACAUUCACAAGGGCACAACCAGUGCCAACAAUGCAAACAGCAAGUAAUCCACAAGAUAAAGCAUGUGAAAUAAAGAGAGUACUUUACUAACUAUUACAAUAGUUUCAUCAUUUUCAUUUACAUACUUUCUUUAAAUGUUUACAUAACUCAUCCAAAAUAGAUAGCUCUCCAAAUCCUCACCUACAAUGAAUCUCUCUCAAUACAUAGGUGAACUAAUGUAAAAAGAAAGCUACUAUACUACCACGGUCUCACUGAUCGGGCGCGAUGCCCUUGCCGCGGUCCUCCCUCGGCAGCCCUGUACCUACCACUAGAAAUAGAGUGGGGUGAGAACUAUCUUCCAUAGUUCCCAGUGGGCUCGGCCUCUGACUCUGCCGAUCUCCCCACUAGGUCCAAGCGGGCACAAGUAACAACAGAUAGAUAGAUAUGUAUCUGAAAACUGUAAAUGCAAUAGAAGGAAAACUAUGCUACUAUGCCCAUAAUCAUGAAUAUGAAUGCAUGUAUCAUAUAAUAAAAGUUUGCUACCAUGCAAACAAAUUCGAUCCAUGUUCGAAUAGCAAUGUUCAAUGACAUUAUUAAACCUUUAACCUUUCCGUUUACCCAAUCUGUGGCGAGGCCCUAGGGUUCGCCCAUAACUCACCUCUCAAUCCCAAAAUGGGGAGGGAGCUCCAAGUGCACCCAAGCCCGGGACCGUCUGCGGACCUCAAUGUGGUCCAGACCUCCAAGUGGUCUUAGUCGCGUGACACUCCGGAGUACUCAACGACAAUCCCCUCCAUGUGGGGAUUGGAUGACUAUACCACCCCAAACGCAGACUGUGAGCUAGAUCUAUCCUCUCCAAGUGAGGAUGCCCUACAUCUAGGGUCAACAAUCCAAUCAAGUCCUCUCCAAGUGAGGAUGCUCUACAACUAGAGUCAAUACCCAAUCGAAUCCUCUCCAAGUGAGGAAGCACUAUAACUAGGGUCCACAACCCAAUCAAAUCCUCUCCAAGUGAGACUACUUAGGUUUACUAAGUUCUUGUUCACAAGGCAUUUUCUAAGGGAUCCAUCUAUCCCUAGGUUCUCAAACCUCUAAUGUUAUUUACACUACAUUAAUGCCACUCGUCAUCAUUUAACAUUUGGAUGCCACUCGUGUGUUCUUUUACAUUAAACACUACUUUCUAUGUCAUCAAUACCCCCAUCUCUUUUCUUUCGCAUUAUAGGAUCCACGUUCCGACCCAAUCCUCACCUAUUUAAGUUACCAAGCGUUCCAAGUACACUAGGUUAUCAAUUAGAAAGCAUAAGGAAUAGAGCUACUAUGCAAUCCUACAAUGCAACAUGUAAGAGAUGAGAUUAAAUGCAAUCUAAGACAUAGAAAGGAGUUCGAAAGCUUCGGGAUGGCACCCCCCACCUUUAAUCGUUGUAGAGGCUUUAGAAACGCUCCUCGGCGCACCUUACGACAAGGUCUUGGCCUUCUUGGUCCAAGACAAGGCUAAAUCGGCCGUAUUUCGCCGAUAGCUUCCAAUCCACUCGACGAAUCGCGGAAUCGACUUGGCCCCCGUAUUUUGUGACCUACCAAUAGGGUUUCCAAGGCUUCAAAUGAGAUCAAUCUCAUACUUUNUUACGACAAGGUCUUGGCCUUCUUGGUCCAAGACAAGGCUAAAUCGGCCGUAUUUCGCCGAUAGCUCCCAAUCCACUCGACGAAUCGCAGAAUUGACUUCGCCCCCGCGUUUUGUGACCUACCAAUAGGGUUUCCAAGGCUUCAAAUGAGAUCAAUCUCAUACUUUCACAAAAAUUUCAUUUUGGAGCCCUAGGUUUGCACCUAUAGCAAACCAUCAAUAAAUCCCUAGAUUCAUGGGAUUGAUCUACUUAGAAGCAUGCUUCGGGUCUAUUUGACCCACUCCAAAGCAUAAAAACCCAAAACCCCAAAUUCUAGAAGCUAGGGUUCAAGAGCUUACCUCUUGUGCUACCCCAAAGAGAAGAGGAGAGGGAGAUGAAGGUGUCCAAAACCUUCUUCUUGAUCUCCUUCUUCUUCUCCUCCUUGUUCUUCUUCUUCAUUUCCUUCCUCUCCUUCUUGUUCUUCUUCUUCUCCUUUCUUUCUAGAGAGAGAGAGAGCAAGAGAGAAAGAGAGUGUGAGAGAGGGAAUGAGAUAAGAGGGGCUGAGGGAGAGGGUUAUUUUCCAUAUACACCCCUCACAUAAUGGCCAUUUUGCACUUAAACCCCUCAACUUUUCAUCUUUCACGCAGCUGUCACUGGGCUGCUUUCGCCUAGAGGGACCGGUUCCUGGUCGGGGAGACCGGUCCCCGAGAGCUCUCCCUGCAGUCUGGGGACUUUUCGCGUACGGGAACCAGUCCUCCCCCGAGGGACCGGUCUCUGGGAGACCGGUCUUUCCUGAGAGACCGGUUCCCGAACGGGGAACUUUCAGGACUUAGCCAAAUUUAGGCUUUCUCUCGCGGGUGUCGCACACAGGGACCAGUCCCCUUAGCCAGGGACCGGUCGCAUCGACCUCCCCCGCGAUCACCAGCUACGGGGACCGGUCCUUCUCUCCAGGGACCGGUCCCCGAGAGCAAAAAUCUGCUGAGUUCAGAUUUUGCCUAUUUGCUCUCGCGGACUCAACUCCAAAGCACUUUUUGUGUUUUGGACAUUUUCAACUCCCACAAAGGGUAUUCCCUCGACAGUUAGUCGAUCCUGAAUGAAGUACAAUCCUCGGAUUUCGAGAAUUCACUUUGUCACGACGCGCGACCACCCGCCAAUUUGGCCGGGUCGCGGCGCCGCCGACAGACCGCCGAACGGACAGAGUCUCCCCUGUACGCCCAAGGCGUCGCAAUCAAAACAAUACGAGAGGUUCCAAACAGGAACAGUAUUCAUUCACAGAUUGCAUAAGGAAGUAUCGAANAUGCAAGAUGUAACCAAUGGAUGUAUUUGGUGGAAAUAUGUAAUGUGGUUGAAUGUAAAGAUAUAAUAGAUAGAUUCUCUCUUGCUCACUUGUUUUAUUACUUGCAUGAUCAUGUAUGUUGUUGAUAUUAUUCUUGGGUAACUAGAUGCACAUGAUGAUCUUUGUUAGCCUUGGGCGGAUAGGGGAGACUUAAUCCGUUCGGUGACUGUCGUCGAGCCCAAACCGACCAAAUAGGCGGUCGCGGGCUCUGACAUAUUGUUACCACAGGUAAAAUACCCUUUCACCCCUCUCAUUUGCCUUUUUGUGGCUGUAGCUAGAGGGAGGAGAAAGGGGAGUUUCUCUCCUUUAUUCUUGGAUUUUUUUUCUCCCAACUCCUUUAAUCUAUAGGUUUUUCCUCCUUUUCUUCCCCUCCUCCAUGAAUGCAUGCAUCUAAGACUUGGAAAGGAGCUCGAUAUUGAAAGAGGGAUUUUGUUUUAGGCUUGGACUUCAACCCUAGCAUCUCAUAGCUUGGUUUGAAGCUUGGAUUGAGGUCAGUAACUUUCUUGCAUCCUCUAUUUGUGAGUUUUGUAAGAAUUUUUGAUAGAAAAUCUAGUUUUGUGGAGAGUAGGGUUUAUUUUGGGAUUUUCCAAUUAUGAGCUUUUGGGAUUAAAUUGAUGGGUGUAGAACACUUUUUUAGAUUUGAUUUGAAGCUCUUUAGUUUGAACUUUGGACAAGCUUUACUUGAUCUAAGAUAAUUUUUACCUAUUUUCUACUCGAUUUUUGGUGAAUUUCGUGGUGAACUUUCUAGAAGCUAGUAAUCUCUUGAAGUUUUUUCUUAAGGUACAAGAAGUCAAGAGGGUAAUUUUGUUGUGAAACGAUCGAGCUUUCGAAGGUUAUCCAGUGGAUUUGACCUCUCCUCUUAUAUUAUUGGACUCAAUAGAUGGUUUGGCAUGUUAUUCCUGACAACAUAGAAUUUUUGGACAUAUGGCAUAUCCAUUUUAUAUACGAAAGUUUGCAUGCAAAUCAAGACAUGAAUUUGUGUUGGAAAUAUUAAUCUUCCCUUGUGCAUGUUAUAGAUGAGUAUUCGUAUCACACUACAUGACUAGUAAAACUAUUGGACUAGAACUUUAAUGGCAAUUUUGUAUACUUGCCAUGACUAAAAGGAAAGAUGACACAUUGCAUGUUAAUGAUAAGUAGUAGGGCUAAGUAUAUUACAUUUAACCAAGAUGAACACCCAGAGAGAGAGAGAGAGAGAGAGAGAGAGAGAGAGAGAGAGAGCAGGGUUGUUGUGCUCUUAGGAGCAUGGAGGCCUCCGUACUCAGUCGUUUUCAAUGAUCAAAUUUUCGAAUCGACGAUUGGCUCCGUUAGACUUGAUCUAUUGUAUUUGAAGUAUUUAGAAAAUAAAUUUUGUGAGUUUUUGAUGUUAUUUACCUAGCGAUCGAAAGAGUUCAAAAUCAAUAAUUUUUAAUGGUUGAUGUCUACCGUUUUCAAGUUUAACAAUGUAAAAGUAUCCAUAUCAUAUGAAAUUUUGAUAGAAAAUUUUAUAUACUCUUUACAGCAAGAUCAAUAUAUCUGAUCGAAAAUUUUAGUAUCAUAUCGCCACUUUUUGUGAGAUUUUUAUUUUCAGCCGUUGAUUUUGAAACCUUUCGAUCACUAGGUAAAUGAUAUCGAAAAAUUAUAAAAUUUAUUUUCUAGAUAUUUCAAAUAUGCUAGAUCAAGUUUAACGAAACCGAUCGUUGAUUCAGAAAUUUUAUCAUAAAAAACGACUUAGGAGCACGGAGGCCUCCAUGUUCCUAAGAGCACAGCAGCCCUGCUCUCUCUCUCUCUCUCUCUCUCUAUAUAUAUAUAUAUGGAGAGAGAGAGGAUGAACCUUUGUUUAAUUAACUUAAGAAAGAAUGACAAAGAAAAAAAAAUGAUAUGCUUGAGUCCCUUUGAAGCAGAAUUAUUUGGAGAGUUGAUUAUUUUAAUAUCUUCUUCUACUUUGUUUGAUUCUUUUUAUCACCGGAUAUUGCAAAAGUCUCUGUCAAUCUCUUCGCAUGAGGAGUAAUUCUGAUCAUAUCUUGAGACGGUGUUUUCGAUUAAUCCCGCAUCACCAGAUAUUACAAGAGUCUCUGUCAAUCUCUUCGCAGUAGUAAUUCUGAUCAUAUCUUGGGGCUGUGUUUUCGAUUAAUCCCGCAUCACCAGAUAUUACAAGAGUCUCUGUCAAUCUCUUCACAGGAGGAGUAAUUCCGAUCAUAUCUUGGGGCGGUGUUUUCGAUUAAUCCCGCACCAACGAUGGAAAUGUGUCUGAGCAGUAUCUCGCACACUUCCGGAUCAAAUCAUUUGGUUUUCUUCUUCUGCAGAAAAUUUUAGAUUGUAGCGCUCACCUGUAAGCUCAUUUAUUAAUUUUCAUCACAAAAUUUAGUUAGAUAAUUAAUCACAAUCUGAUUUUCAUUGCGGUUUUUCCUAACAUAUAUGUGGCCAUACAAAUGUGGCAUACUAUGACAAUAUUUUCCUUUUUCAAUUCUCUAACUACAUGCUAUAUACUCAAACAAAUUGUAAUGAAAGUAUUGUGCAAGUGUUACUCUUCUUGACCUGUACCACCACUCAACAGAACUAAUGCAUUAUCAACAAUAGAAGAGACAGUUUUUCGAUGCUGACUCAGUCCGACACUGCCCGAGAAGACAUGGAAGCAUUCGAGAUCUGACGUGGUCUCCGCCACAGACUCCAGCAGCUUCUCCAUCUCCAAAUCCUUGAAUAGUUUGAGAUAUUUCUCAUGCGGACAACGCAUCAUCCAAAUGGCUUGUUGAAUGACGAAUCGUCGUAUUCUCGGCACUUUGAUAUCUGGGUACUUGUAUUCCUUUAGUAUCUUCACGAGUUUCUCGACGUAGUCGGCCUCCUUGAUGUCGGCUCGCUCUAGUUCGGCUGCGAAUUGCUCGGAGCUCAUGAAUUUGCAGAUUUGCAUGGUGACACCAAUUGAUACCUCUAGUAAUUUUCCUGUUUCUUUCAUAGUUGCUUUCAAUACCUGCAUAUAAGAUGGGAUAAAAUAAAGAACUUUUUCAUAUGAAUCCCUCAUGUUCUACUUCAUAUAAAAAACAAAUUAAUUUGCGAUUUCCACUUGUACAUUAGCUGAAAUGCUAUGAAAUAUCUCAACUGUCCACUUAUAGUGAUCUUGUCACAAAAGCUUUAUAGAAGGAGAAUUUCUUCUUCCACCAUAAUUGACUAAUUAUACUUCUUAACACUGGUUAAUUGUAUGUUACAAACUGUCCAGUUCACUAGGACAUUUUAUUCAUGUUCUUGUAGAAACCUACAAUAUUAGACAUUAAAUUGGGGAAAUUUCUACAUAGAUCCCUAAAUUUUAAUAGAAUAUCAAAAAAACGUAGGAGUCCCAAGCUGGGUUUUCAUCUUUGAAUUUGAUUAUAAAUGAAGCAUAUAAGGUUAGAUAAUUAGGCAAUGAAGGGUAAAAUUAUAGUAAAGAGAUCCGUCUAUGAUGUUUACAAGGAUAAAUCUGCGACAACCGGGAUAAAAAACUAGCAUAUUCUUAGACUUCUCAACAAGAUGCUCAAACCUGUUUGUAAAUUAUUCUUCACUCCUUGUGGCCCUUAAUAACCCACUUAUCUUAUCAUAUUUUUUUUUAGUUUUACUAUAAACCAAAAAGCUUGAAUAUAUCCGUUCUUGGAUUCUUAGGUGUAAUAUGUACACCCCUACCCUAUAUAGGGAUGUAAUGUGGGCCAUGCUGGGCCCACAUUUUUCCUGCCAAUCCGGGCUAAGGGACGGCCCGUGCUGUGCCGGAGCUGCCAAAUCUCUGGCCCAGCACGGCUCUAGCCCGAAUUGGCCCAGCACGGCUCUGGCCCAACACAGCUCUACCCAUGUCGUGCCCCAGCCCAGCCCGAGACCGUACUAGGCUGGGCGGCCCACGUGCCGCCCAGCCCGUUUUACACCUCUACCCCUAUAGCAUUUUUGUUCUUUGUUCUUGAUAUCUACUUAGAGAGAACAUAUUCUGUUAAAUAAUACAAAGGCCGCCCGGCCCGUUUUACACCUCUACCGCUAUAGCAUUUUUGUUGUUUUGUUCUUGAUAUCUACUUAGAGAGAACAUAUUCUGUUAAAUAAUACGAAACAACAGUUAUUCUCUAAAAUCUUAAGCUCCUAGAUAAUGGUGUUUUUAUUUUUUUUUAAUAUUUAACACUUUCCCUCACAUCUUGCUUUAAAUUUUUUGAUAGGCCCAUGACGUGGUUUUGUAUUAAACAUGAGGAAAUUAAUUAUGCUCGUUAAAAGCCCAGCGUGACUCUACUAUCUCAAAUUUUUAGCGAUUAACAGUUGUUUCGUAUUAUUUAACAUAUUCAUAGGUAAAUGCCGAAGAUGUUGUCACUAAUUCAAGCACAUUCAUAUCGACAGCAUGAAGAUAUAGCCAAUGAAUAGCGUUGGACGGGUACCUACCAAAAAUAAUUAGAACAAUCAUGGUAUCAUUUUUUUUCCUCUUUUUCCCUAUUAGAUCUAUAUGCAGCCUAUUUUAAAGUAUUUCAUGACGCUGAAGUGAUCCACAGAAAACAGAUGUUACUAAUUAAUUACUUGAUCUAAAUGAACGCUGAGAUCAUUGAGAUUUAACAUCCAUGAUGUGGAUACUAGCAUUUUAGUUGAUAUAAAGAGUGUCAGUUUUCGGUUAGCGAAACUUGACAGAAAGUUGAUGAAAGAAAUAACAAAAAUUGAUGAAAAGGAUAAUAUUAAUGAAAUAUUAAAUUUUAGAAUAUUAAAAUGCUUAUUUUAAAAGUUUGAAAGAUAAAAUGAAAUUUUCGUAAAAAGUUCAUGAGGUGAUCAUUAUGCAAUUUACCCAAAAGAUGUAUAUAUUGCUUGCCCCUUAGGGCCCGUUUGGCCUAGCUUUUGAAAAAGUAAUUUUUGAAAAAAUGAUUUUGAUUUGGAGAAGUGAUUUUGGUUAAAAGCUGUAAAACAUUUGUCUGAAUUUAGAUAAAAGUGAUUUUUUUGAAUUGAUUUUGAAAAACUGUUUGGCAAAAUUUUUUUGAUGUUUGUAUAAGUUAAUAUUUUUUAAUAAAUUUUCUUUUAAAAUAAUUUAAAAUCUAAAUUUUAAUUUUAAUUAAAAUUAAAAUUUUUAAAUUUCAAAAUUGUACAAAAUUUAAAAUUUGAUAUUUUAAUUUAAAAAAUAAUUUUAAUUUAAUUUAAAAUUUUAAAUUUUAAAAUUUUAGAUUCAAAUUUAUAAUUUAAAAUAAUUUAAAAUAUAAAAUUUAAAAUUUAAAAUAUAUAUAUAAAUUUAAAAUAUAAAUAAUUAUGAAUUUAAAAUAUAAAAUUUUAAUAUUAUAAAAUAUAAAUUUAAAUUUUAAAUUUCAACGUUUAAAUUAUAAAUAUAAAAUAUAAAUAUAAAAUUUAAAAUUUGAAAUUUAAAUUUAAAAUAUAAAUAAUUAUGAAAUUUAAAAUAUAAAAUUUUAAUAUUUAAAAAUAUAAAUAUAAAUUUUAAUUUCAAAGUUAAAAUUUAAAAUUUAAAUAAUUAUGAAAUUUAAAUUUCAAAUUAAAUAAUUAAAAUUUAAAAUUUGAAUAUUUAAAAUUUAAAUUAAAUUUAAAAUUUAAAUUUGAAUAAUUAAAAUUAAAAUUUAAAUAUUUAAAUUUAAAUUUGAUAUUUUAAAAUUAAAUUUUAGAAACUUAAAUUUUAAAUUUUAAAAUUUAUAAGUUGAAGAUUAAAAUGUUGUAAUUUAAAAGUUAAAUUUAAAAUUUGAAAUUUGAAAUUUGAAAUUUUAAAUUUGAAAUUUGAAAUUUAAAAUUUAGUUGUAAUUUAAAAGUUAAAUUUAAUGUGAAAUUGUGAAAUGUGAAGUGAAAUUGUGAAAUGUGAAAUGUGAAAUGUGAACAUAUUUGAAAUUGAAAUUUGAAAUUGAAAGUUUGAAAUCUAUUUUUCAAAAUUUAAAUUUUAAGUUAAAUUUAAAAAUUUAAAAAUGAAUCUAUAAAUUAAAAUUAAAUUUAAAUAUGAAUUUAAAAUUAAAAUAAAAAAUUAAAGUUGAGUCCAAAAUCAGAAUCAAAUUUCAAGAAACAGCUUUUUCAGCUUCUGAUUCUGGGGCCUUCAAAAUCAUUUCGAUUCCUGAAAAGCAUAAUCAAAUUUUAAUAAUGAGUUUAUUGGGUUGAAAAUGAUUUUACAAUCCAAAGUGCUUUUAAAAACUAGGCAAACACCCCUAGAGAGAAACGGCCUAAUCAAUUUUAAACUUUUUACCUGAGCAAAUGCUUUUUUUUUUUUUCGUUCUUUUGCUUUGUUUAUGAUAUUGAUUUAAAAGUCUAUUCAAGUCAAAAGCUGAAACGAAAAACAAUAGGAUCGAGGUUCUGAAAUCUUACAGUGGACAUUGCUGCAGUAAUCUGGUUGAGCCAGGCGGAUUCGGCGCCGGAAUAAGCGCACAAAUUCCGCAAAAUCCUCGACGCGUUCAGCUGCAAUACCGGGUUCGCCAGCGCAGCGAUAAGGCGCUCCAACACAUCACCCUUCUUCAAGAUCAGCACGCAAUUCUUCCUGCUCUCCAGCGUCAGCAUUGCCAGAGCCUCCCCCGCCUCGACGCCCACCGAGUUCUCAGACACAAACUCCGGCUUGAAGAAAAUAGCGAAGAGAAGCUUCACGAUGCCGCCCGUGCUCGCGAUCCGCUCCUUUGCGGUCUCGUCCAUCGCCAGACCGGUCAGGGUCUCGAUUGCGAGCUUCUGCAGCUCGGUAUGCCUCUCGCCGCACUGCAGGAUCUCCCGGAUGUUGCUGACCGUGAACACUAUCUCCGAUAUCUCCUGGCGUAACAUUUUUCCCGUGCCACCGGUAGCUCGCACCAGCAUCUUCACCACCUGCAGCGCCCGCGUCACCGCCCGAAUCUGCGACUCCAGCGCGUGCUCGUUGCGCAGCAGCCCCUGCUUGGCGCUCGUGAAGUCGACGAUCCUCGCGAGCAGCCCCCGCGUGUUCCCGAUCUUAAAGCAGUUAUCGUCGUCCUUGGCGAGCUUCUUCAGUAUCAGCAGGCCGAGCAGGUUGAACACCGCAAACUCGUAGUUCGACUCGCCGGUCGCCACGGCGUCGGAGCUUCCAUCCGCAGCAGUGGCCUCUGCGGUCCUGCUCGCGCUGGCAGCCCUCCCGCCGCCAGUGUAGAGCAGCGAGGCGAUCGAUUCCAUCGCGCCGGGAAUGCCCGCAACGCGGAGCGCGUUCUGCCGCUUCCCCGCGAGCUUCGACACGACCUCCGCGGCGCACCGCCGGAUCUCUUCCUCCGCGGGGUUCUUCCAGUUCAGCAUUUCGAUCAGCCGCUCGAUCGCCCGCGUUGUCGUGCCGAUCUUCCGCAGAGCCUCGAACGCGAAGCUCUCGCUCUUCGCAAACUGCUGCAGGAUGCGGGCCCCGAUGAGCUGCUCGUCGGGGGAUUCGGAGUCCAGCAGCUCGGCCGCAAACGUCACCAGGUCCAUCUUGAUCCCGUCGAAUAUGCUGCGUUCGAUACACUGCGAGUACGCGUCGUAGAAGAACCGGCGGAUCGACACGACGCCGGCCGCGCCGAGCUCGCACUCCGUGCUCACCUGCUGCAGCAGCCCGCAGUAGGAUAUUUUCCAAGUCCAAUAAAUCUUUUCAACCAGGAACAUCAGGGCUUCGGCGAGGGCCAGGCCGUAGAACAGGUCGAGCGCCAUCUUCCCGUUCGCGGUUUCCUGCGCACUCUCGCCGUAGUCCUGCUGGACGAGGCGCAUCGUCGAAAGCGUCACGCAGGACAGCGCCGAGGCGAUCUGGAGCCACGUCAGCGCGCGGCUGAUGUUCUUGGAUAUGAAGACCCAGCCGGCGUACGGCAGCAGCGGAACUUCCGGCGGGUGCCACGUACGUUGCGUGCCGUACCGAACGAGCUGCUUCUGGAAUUCCACGGUCCGCCGCUGCUCUUCCUCGGCGGCGAUCUGCCGCCUGCGGUCGCCUUCCAGACGGCUCGCGGAGGCGGCGCAGUGGAACGCGGCCUUCACUGCCCGGACGAGGAAGCGGGAGCUGGACUUGAUCGCACGGAAGCUGUAUCUGUCGAAAUACAAAAACGAGUUUAUUAAUUAAUUGACAAUUAAUUAGUACCACCGUAUCGUCAUCAUCCCGUAUUUAUUCUUGCAACGACGAGAGCUAAUUAUUAAGUCACGUACGGUACCUGCCGGCGGAUGCGAGGGUCCAGGUGGCGUGGUGCUGCCACUCGAGCUCGUGGCUGCGGCUGAAGAUCCGGGUGCCCUCGCUGAGGAGGAUGAUGGUGACGUACCAGAAGUCCUUGGGGAGGAGCGAGGUCGCAAAGCCGCCGAGGAGGACGACGGUGGCCCAGAUGAAGGCGAGGGUGCCGAGGCCGCUGGCCGCCUUCUCGAGCACAGCGAGCCGGAGAGCAAAAAGGGUGAGCUUCUUCUCGGGGGCGCGGAAGUCGCCGUCCCUGCGGCGCCGGGGCGUCGGAUCGCUUGGCUCCGGCUGCGGCCCGAAAAAAUCCAAGCUGCCGCCGCUGCCGUUUGCGUUGCGGACGAUAUCCAACCGGAUGCUUCCCGAAUCCCCCUCCCGUCUUGCAUCCUUGUUGAACUUCAUUACUUACUUCUUCUCAAUCAUUUCUUCCUUUUUCUUUUUCUUUUUUUUGUUUACUAAGAAUGAAUUUUUUUUUUUUCUAAAAAAAAAAAAAGAUUGGUUUUGUCUAAUUCGUGCAUACACUGUCUCACGUAGAUAUAAGUUAAUGGUAGCUUUGAAAUAGUCAACGGUUACAUAUAUAUAUAUAUAUAUCUCUUAGUUAUGUCUUCUUGAUUCAUGGGCACCACACAUUAUACUUACUAGGACGAUGCAGCCGAAUAUCAAAAAAGAUGAAAGUACUACUAUUCUCUUUUAAAAGGGUACUUCCAGGAAGAUGUCAAGAUAUUUUUGCAGGGAUUUGGGCGUGGCGUGCAAGAAAGAAGAGUUUGUUUGUAUUCAAUUUGACCAUGCAGUGGAUAUUUCUAUUCAACCUUUGUUUGGGAUUUUUACUCCAUAUUAUUUUUAUUUUUAUUUUAUUUUUUGUUUUGCCCAUCUCUCCUUCCUCUCCUUUUCAUCGUGACUUUUCAAAUUACUAGCUUUCUUUUAAAAACUUUCUUCUAGCUAUAGCUUUGGGUGUGUUCGCAUUCUUGUAAAGUAGUUUUUAGAUGUUUGAUUAUUCAAAAAAAUUACACAAAUUCUAAGGAAAUGUGAUGUUUUCAUUUUUCGCUCUCUUUCGUUUAAAUUCUAAGGAAAUCGAUCGUAGCAUAGUACUUAGUUAGCUAAUCCAUACCCAAGACUACAUCGAAAUUCCCUAACUUGUGCAAGACUAGCAAAUCUACGGGUAUAAUCCAAUCUCCUACCCGAACAGGGCAACAAGGGCAAUACUCUCGAAUAUCCAGAGUAUGGUCGGGUACUACAACAUGUCCCGGAUACAACAAAGAAACCAAAGGGAUGCCAUACAACUCGGCAAACAACUGAUUUAUAAAUGAAUGCGAUGCACCGGUAUCAAAUAAAGCACGAACUCUAAUGCCAUCAAGUAAAAUGAUACCUACAACCACAUCCUCGGCUGCUGCCGCCUCCUCGGUCUUAACGGCAUACAAACGCCCACUCGGGGCCUGUCGAGAUCCCUCGCUCUGGCGCUGGAUGGGUGGCCGCCCAGGCUGGUACUGUGUCGACGGAGUCCCGUGGCUGGCGGCUGGUAGAGCCGGUACCGAUGCAGUCGACGGUGCCGGUGACGAACCUCUCGGGCACUCAGUCCGGACGUGGCCCUCCUGGCCACAUUGGAAACAUCUGCCUGCCCGCUGUGGACACUGCGAUGGGUAGUGAGGACCAUCGCAGAUCAUACACGGGGAAGGCCGGCGACAGUCAAAACCUCCUCGCUGCGCUGCUGAGCCCCGUCCACGCUACUGGCUCCUAGGAUGCUUCGGCGGUCUCGUGGAGUGCGUCUGGCUCGCACCCUCAACCGUAGGCCUCUUGGCCUUACCCUUGUCUAUAGCCUCUCGCCGCUCCUGGACAUCAGCCGCGCCGCUCUCCACAAUGAGCGCGUGAUCCAUCACCUCCCGGUAGAUUUGGAGGUUAGAGGAUUGCACGAACCGGAAGAUUGACGGUCGCAAUCCUCGCUCGAAGAUGAGGGCCUUGUCCUCGUCGUCCCGCACGACGAAAGGCACGCAGUGCAGAAGCCGAGAAAACUUCCGCUCAUAAUCGGAUACAGUCCGAUCUCCCUGGCACAAGUUGCGCAAGUCCUGCUCUAUCUUCCGCUUGACGUUGGUCGAGAAGUAGUGCGCCAGUAAAAGCUCCUUGAACUUCUUCCAUGAGAUAGCCGCCAAAUUGGUGCUGGAGUUUUCCUGAAGGUCCAACCACCAGCGGUAGGCCUCACCGUCCAGGUGAUGUGUGGCAAGCCAAACUCGAUCUCUCUCCUUCACAAAGGUGUCGCGGAAGAGCUUCUCCAGAUGUAUCGACCACUUUUCCACGAUCUAGUGGUCGACCUUCUCACCAUCGAAAAUCCGGAGACCGCACCUUCUGAACUCGUUGAGGUGCUCCAUGAGUCGGUCCCUCUCUGCCCCCUCGGCUAUAGUAGGGAAAGCGGCUCCAAUCGGGGGCCUCUGCACAAGUGGUACCGCGACCCGCCAAUUUGGUCGGAUCUGGGCACGUCGAUCAGACGCCGAACGGACAACACCUCUCCUGUCCGCCCAAGACUCAACAAUAGGAUCAUGUACAGGAAUUUGCCCAGGAGAAAUUCGUUCAACAUACAUGAUCCAACAAGCGAUGAUACAAUUACCACAAGUACUAUACAAUUAAGAGCAAGAAUCACAAGUAACAUACAAGUGAAAUAAAGAUAGAUACAUCUAGCUAUUACAUCACAUUUAACCUUUACAUAUUGGUUUUCACUUUCAUCUUCCAAAAUGAAUACACAUUCUUCUCAUAAUACAAAAUGGCUCUCCAAAUACAUAAGUAACUUCCAAAUACAUCACAUCUCUAUGUACACGAGGGUACUCUAAUGCAAAAGGAAAAACUACUAGCUACUAGGGCGCUAUGCCCUUACCACGGUCCUCUGCCGGUACUCUCUCGCUAGGCCUUGCAACAAAGUGGGGUGAGAACUAUAUAAAUACAGUUCUCAGUGGGUUCGCCCGCCAACUCCGCCGAUCUUCCCACUAGGUCCAAGCAGGCACAAGCAGAUAGAUAGAUAGAUAGAUAUGGAAUUGAAGUGCAUCAUAGUAAAGUAAUAUGCAACAAUCUACUAUGCCUUCGAUAAUCAAGGAUAUGAGCUACAACAUAGUAUAUGAUCUAUGCCUCAAUGAUCCGAUGUAUGGGCAACUACAUAGAAUGUAAUCUACACAUGCUACUAUGCCUCAACAAUAAUGGAAAUGACCUACUAUAUAGUAAUGUAAACUACACAUGAUACUAUGCCUUAACAAUAAAAGAAAUGAGCUACUACAUAGUAUGCAAACUACACAUGAUACUAUGCCUCAACAACAAUGGAAAUGAGCUACUAUAUAGUAAUGUAUCCUGCAACAUGCUACUAUGUCUCAAAUAUUCGAAUGCCAUAUCCAAGUGAAAUGCAUGAGCUACUACAUAGUAUACAAUCUACGCAUGAUACUAUGCCUCAAAUAAUCACAUGAAUGAACGAGCUACUACAUAGUGCGUCAUGCAACUAUGCCUCGAUAAUAUCCAAUCUCAUGGCCAACCCGAAGGUUGCCGACUUACUCUCAAUCUCAUAGGUGAGGAGAAGCUGCACUCGCACACCGAAACCGUCCGCGGGACAACCCUAUCGUGAAGUACUCCGGAGACCACUGCUUCGGUGGAGCGACCACCGACAAGCGAAAACAGACUAGUGAGUAUGAUCCAAUCCUCACAAGAGGAUACCCUAUCUACCAGGGUCAAUGUGCCUCUGCUGCACAAUACCAAAUGCAUAAUCAAUGCCUCAAAUGCACUAAUGCCAAAUGCAUAAUGUCUACAACAUGACAAUCGGAAAAAUCUACUAUCCCUAGGUUCAAAUGCCAUAGUGUUCCACUAUACUAGAUUUGAUGCCACUCGUUUAUGUCAUGAUGUUAUAUGUGUCUCGAUACACUAAAUUGACAUGCCACUCGUUCUUGUUAUAUUGUCUCUACUUUACUAGUUCAAUGCUACUCAUUAUGUCAUGAUGUUGUACGUGUCUCAAUACACUAAAUUGACAUGCCACUCGUUCUCACGUGGCAAUUCUCUAUUCAAGUGUCCCCAAGAGACCACUUUACUUUCUCGUUUAAUCGCCACGGCCAACACCAAUUCGUCUCCACAACAAACUCACACGAACACUCCGUUCGGGAAUCCAAGCCAAACUCCUCGACAAAGUUAUCGGCCAAACCGCUUACCUCGGUUUUCACAGGUGGACCAACAGUCACCAAUUCUACAUAGGCCUAUAGCCUAAACUGUCUCAACACGUAGCGUCUCUCGCUCGCAAGCGUGGACCCAAUCAACACUACUGGGCGACAUUCUCAUUGGAGAAUUCGUACAUACUUCCAACCAGGAGCAACUAAGACCCCAAACCACAUCAUAUCCUCGGGUUGGGUCAUUACACACUCGGUGUAUCCUCGAUCUCGCGAUCCAACACGUGGCAUUCUAUGUACCCGGGUCUAAGCUCGGACUACUGCCCUGACCAAAACUCCGCCCUACCCGUAGGUACCCGGCCGCUGUCACCCACAGCCGACUGUGCCUGCCCAAUGGGCUCAGGUUCCACAGUCCACAAAUGGUCGAGGCACGGGUUGUCCCCAAGAAAUAUCCGUCGUCGUCGUCCUACACGACAUGCUCUAUCGAAUCACACGUACCACUAUCAGCUCCUAAGCACCUAGUGCGAGCCGCCAGCCCCACGAGUGACCCAUGGCCUGCUUCACACUUAGCAAUGCUACAGUGCUACUGCCAUCUCACUCCCCCGGCUGAAUAGAAUCCGUACUCCCCGAGCGUUUACACUCGAGCGCUCUACGCCUCUAUAGCGUUCCGACUAUGUCAAGCAUCAGGCAACCUUGCCUAUGCACACCGACCACACGAGCACAACCGCCUACCUCACCAUGAGGUACUACUAGGCCUACGUGCCCAAACUUGGCCACUAAUCUACCGUACUCUCAACAGUGAUUCUGCUUUUCACCGUCUAAUUUACCGGAACAAUAUCCGAAAUUUUCGGAUUACUCGGGUGCCUACAAAUAUCAUGGCUCAACUCUCGCAAUCUACUGAUCAUAUUGUCUUGAGAGUCGCUUCACCAUUUCAUCUACACCACGAGUCUCAUUUCUCGUCCAAGAACCACUACUAGCAAUUUGCUAGUGACGUCUAGCUCUCUACCUGCUCCAGCAGGCGCUAUACUCUCUCACACAAGCAAGCCCGGGUACCCUCACCUACCCGUCCACUGGUCCCUACUAUACUAAUGUAUAAAUAGUAGCAACUGACCAUGAAAAUGCAUGCUAUGCACCAAUUUUACAUUAUACCGAAAUACUUGCUUGCUUGAAUUAAACCAUACCUGCUAAGACAUCAUCAGUAGCAGCAGGUUCCUCAACUUGAGCGGCAAACACCCGGCCUCUCGAAGCCGACCGGGCCACCUCGGACUGACGAGGUGCUACCAUGCGUCCAACUGACGCAACAGUAGGUAGGGCUCCUCCGUAAUGGCCCGGAAUUGCCGGAGCCGAUGCAGUAGACGGGACAGGAGAGGUCCUCCUUGGACAGUGGUGACUGAUGUGCCCCGCCUGACCAUAUGUUAAGCAUCUCCCCUCUUUUUGCUCGCACUGGUUCGGGUCAUGUUUACCUCCGCAAAUAACGCACUUCCGAGUCCCACAACCCUGGGACCGUGCUCGCAAGUACUUCGGAGGCUUCUUAGACCUUGACUGACCUCUCAAGCCAUCAGAGGCUCGCUUCUUACUGCCGUCCCUCCUGGACGCCUCUCGCCUUUCGCGGACGUGGGCAUUACCAUGCUUCGCCCACAACGCUCGAUCGAGCACCUCCGCAAAUGUAGUGAGCUUCAGAAUGUAAACCGCUCUAUAUAUAUCCAGCUGGAGCCCUCUCACGAACCAGUUGGCCAGAUCUCUAUCGUCUCGCACCACGUCGGGGACGCAGUCGAUAAUAUGUGAGAACUCCUGCUCGUACUCUCUGACCGAGUGGUUUCCUUGCUUUAACUUUCAGAAUUUAUUCUGGAGCUUCUUUUUCUCACUAUCGGGGAAAUAGUUGACAUAUAACAAGCUCCGAAACCCUUUCCACGUCAACGGUGGAAGGUCGGGAGACCGAUCUCGCUUGAUCGGCUUCCACCACACCUUCGCCGCCCGCUCCAAGCAAUGAGUGGCGAAGGGAACUUUAUCCUUCUCUAAUAUAUAGAGAUCUUCGAAAAGAGUCUCCAUCGAGUCCACCCACGACUCGACCAUCCAAGGCUCAACCUUCUCCCCGUUGAACAUCGGUGGACUAAACUUCCGAAAUUUCAUAAGAGUCGCAAGCGCGUGCUCCCUCUCCGCUUCCGUAGCUACAUCUUCGGGAUUUGAAGUCCCCGAACCGGUAGCCACCAUCACCGGCGCGGAUUGCGCCACAACCUGCACAGCUGCCGUGGCCACACCCUCUGUGACGACGGGCAUGACCACCGGAGGCGCGGGCCGCUCAACAUUCGCUUGAGCCGACGCCAGCUGCGCUACCAACUGUUGUAGCCUCGCAAUCUGGUCCUCUUGGCGCUGCAUCGCGCCGACCAUCGAAGCGAUCUGCGCUCGCAAUUCCCGCACUUCUUCAGAUCCCGAUUGCUCGUGCACCUCGGGAGGUGGUGCCAUAGUGGAUCUAGUCACGGGGCGUCUCUUUGGUGCCAUAGCUCCUGAAAUGCAACAACUUGGUUAAUCACCUCAGCUCGUUAAUCUCGUCGCAACUACUAGACAACGCGACUCAAAUCAGGCGAAAGUCAUACAAGGGUGCUAUUCUCAUCACUAGGUUUCAUGUUGUCGUGCGCUAACAUGAACACACUUGGUUGAGAAUAUACCACACCUUGAAUCUACCUCUAACAUCCGUUUUAGAGGUUUACUAUCUUAACCCAAUUGAUUCAACUUCCGCCACCGUUAUAGGUUCACGUUCCAGUCACGCACCUAUAACCUUACGGUUUACCGUCCUAGGGUCUCUUAAGUCAUCCUAGACUCUCUCUUUACUUACUCUGCUCUGAUACCACAACUAUCUGUCACGCCCCGCGACCCGCCAAUUUGGUCGGAUCCGGGCACGUUGACCAGACGCCGAACGGACAGCACCUCUCCUGUCCGCCCAAUGCUCAACAAUAGAAUCAUGUACAGAAAUUUGCCCAGGAGAAAUUCAUUCAACAUAUAUGAUCCAACAAGCGAUGAUACAAGCACCACAAGUGCAAUACAAUUAAGAGCAAGAAUCACAAGUAACAUACAAGUGAAAUAAAGAGCAUCUAGCUAUUACAUCACAUUUAACCUUUACAAAUUGGUUUACACUUUCAUCUUCCAAAAUGAAUACACAUUCUUCUCAUAAUACAAAAUGGCUCUCCAAAUACAUAAGUAACUCCCAAAUACGUCACAUCUCUAUGUACACAAGUGUACUCUAAUGCAAAAGAGAAAGCUACUAGCUACUAGGGCGCUAUGCCCUUACUACGGUCUGCUGGUACUCUCUCGCUAGGCCCUGUAGCAAAGGGGUGAGAACUAUAUAAAUAUAGUUUCCAGUGGGUUCGGCCGCCGACUCCGCCGAUCUUCCCACAAGGUCCAAGCUGUUGGCCUAGUGGCCCUAAUCGUCUAUUAGAUUUUGAUGAUAACAAAUAAUCACGAUUAUUGGACUAAUCUUUUAUCUUGAGUCUUAUGUUUUAGUUCUCUCUAUCUUCAAAAAGGAUUCAAGAUGGGCAAUAUUCUAGCACCAAGCUUCACCACUUGAAGCUGUGUUUGCUUCUUUUGUCAAAUAAGAGAGAGAUGGGUUUGGCUUCUGAAAUGGGGCCCCAAAAUGCCCCUAUGCUCUUCUACUUUGUAAAAUGAUUUUAAGUCAGUUCUAUUUCAAAUGGAUUUAUAUAAUUUUUUAAGAGUCACUUAAAAUGCAUGCUUGAGUAAUUAUGAAAUUUCACUAAUAUAGAGCAUAUUAGUAGAAUGCAUGCAUAUCGGAAAUGUACUUGUUUCUGCAAUAUGAAAAAUACAUCCGCUAUGAUGAUUGAUGACUUGAAUAUAACCUGGAACAUAUGUUGCCAUUGUUUUGGACAUAGAGUAAUUACCAAGAGUGCAUACAAGGGCCGCACUUGAAAACUAGUAAACUAUGAACGCUGCAAUAUAAGACAUUUUGAAGGCCACUAACAUAUCUGCUAUAUCCUGUUAGUAGACAUGAGCAUAUGGGUAUUAGGCUCAUUGAGUAUAUUCUGACACAUUCCAUGUAUUUAACAUUGAGACUUGGUAUGUGCGCGACAUGGAUCGUUUGACUACUUGCCAUUGUGCUCAUUACGCACAUGCUUGUUGAGGGUCGGGCUCCCUACAUGCCGCACUAGCGUUCGGAAUAGCCAUCGCGAUACAUAUUCACCUGCGAGGAUUGGGCCGAAGUGAUGCCGUAUGGCCAGCUCAUUCUAGGGUGGGGAGAUGAUACCACGGGACCAUAGCUCGCAGCGGCCAGGACAGCCUCGGUGUGGGAUCUACAGGUCCAUAGACACGCCUUCGGUGGGUCUCUUCAGAUUCGACUUGAGCAUGUCUUAUGACAUGUGAUCAAUGAUGAGUUAGAGUAUGUUUGGACAUUGACUGAGAAAUAAGUAAACAAUAGAACUUUACUAUUCGCAUGUGAAUCAUUAUGAUAAUGGAGACUUUUAUUAUGUAUGUUGUUUCAUGGACUAUGCUAUUAGCUGAAGUAGAGAUAUCAUGAUGUAGUAAAUUUACAUUUUACUUACCCGUUUCGCUUUUCUACAUUCUAUAGUCACUAACCUCUUUUGUAGGCUUUGGGCCUUGUCGAUGGCAUUCACUGAAGUCAGUAAUUGCCCACUGGAAAACUAUUUUUGAUUGUUCUCACAGCCAACUGUUUCUAUGUUCUCCUUUUCAUACUUCGCACCGGCGGAGCAUCGGGAAUCGCUGGCAAGGAUCGGGUAGCUAGCGUAGCGAGGAAGCUUACAUUGCCUAGGUGGUUUAUCUUGCUUUUUGUAGUUGAGAGUAGUGAGAGUUUUUUGUACCCUGUAUAAGAGACCACCUAAUGUAAUCUACUCAAUUAUGCACUUGUAUUGGGAUUUCCCUAUUGUAUACUUUAUGUUUUAUUUAAGUUGGAUUUACAGUUUGAACUUGUAUCCCUUGUUUUUAGGCAAUAUACAUUUUUCUAUGCUCUGAUACUGCCUAGAUGUUUUAUUAUUGCCGUAUUAUUGUUGUUUUUAGACGCCUUAAGUUGUAUGACAUAUGGCGGGUCCUGGCAGGCGCUCGGCGGGCUCCGCUGGUGCCCGGCGGCUACCAGAUUAAUUUGGUAUCAGAGCCUAGGUUGAUCUUAAGGUGGACCUAGCAAACCUUAGGCCGGUUGGACUAUAGAAAGCCGUAGAUGACGAGGCUAUUCGAGCUGUGAGCGAAAGUAUCGAUCGAUUGGUACUGUGGUAAUCGAAAAAUUAGAGUGAUUUGGAGCGUUUGCCUUCUAACUUCGGCGGUAGGGUUACGUUGGCGCCGACAACGAACAUCGGGAGUUAUGUGGAAUAACACUUCCUUGCUUUCGGCAUGAUUUGGGGUUGUUCUUUUGAGUGGGUAUGCGAUAGCGUGAGUAUUACUAACUUCGCUUUUAUGUUUUUGUAGUGUACGAUGCCGAUUACUCGGCUCCAACGCCGCGGACAAUGCGGGCAAACUUUGAAGAGGCUUGAGACCUCGCUAUCUCUCGAUCACAGCGAGAGUCCGCGAGUUGACGGCGAGCUUGCCGCCUCACCGGACUUGUCACUGCAAUCAGGGCAAGGCGGCCCGAAUGUCCGACUGAGCGGCGGCCACAGGAGCGCGGAGAAACGCUCUGGAGGACCUAACUGUCAGCACGACGGCGAGAUUCUAGGAGACUCAGGGCCCUACAAACCGCCAACAGCAAGUCUGACGGUUGACAACGAGAGCUGCCGUAGCCCCUGCCCAGUUCGCGUCGCGCCUGCGGCCGUACCACAGAGAGGAGGUUUUGGUAGCACCCCUGUGCAAGGCCCCCGUUGGAGGCAUGCUUCCCUACCGUUGGGUUGAGGGGCGAGCGAGAUAAGACUGAUGGACGCCCUCAAGAGUUCAGGAGUCAAUCCCCGAGUCUUCGACGGCGAGAAAGGUCGCCACAUGAUCGUGAGAUCGGUUGAAUGCACAUGGAGAAACUCUCCGCACACUUUUCGUGUAGGAAGGGAAUCUGAGUUUGGCUGCGCCACUCACACUGGACGGCGAGGCCACGCUGGUGGUUGGAUUUUCAGGAGCACCCCAGCACUGACUUGGCAUCUAUUCAGCGUGGACGAGGUUCAAGGAACUUCUUCUCGCGCAGGCUACUUCCCGACAGCGUCAAGAGGAAAUGGAGCAGGAAUCUGCGCAACGUUGUGCCAAGCGACCGACCGUAGCCGAGUACGAGAGAGGAGUUUUCUCAGCUUCUGCAUUGCGUGCCGCUUCGUCGUGCGGGACAGUUGUGACGAGGACACAGCCCGGCCAUCUUCGAGCGAAGGUUGCGACCGUCGAUCUUUCCGUUUGUGCAAUCCUCUAACCUCACAAAUCGCUACCUGGAGGUGGUGAUCGCCCGCUACAUUGUGGAGAGGGCGGUCGCGGAGAGGCCAGUGAGCAGCGAGAAUGCUAGGGACAUAGCUACGGCCAAGAGGCCUGCGGCUGAGGUGGCGAGCCAGAUCACUGCUAAGGAGGCUCGCGCGAAGCACCCGAUGAGCCUCAGCACCCGUGACGCGGCUCAGCAAGCACAACCGAGAGGAUUCGAUCGCGCCUGGCCUUCCCCGUGUGUAUCUGCGUGGUGCCCCAUUACCCACCGCAGUGUCCACAGCGCGGGCAGUGCUUCCAUGUGUGCCAGAGGCCAACGUCGUACCGAGUGCCCAGGGGUUCUCACCGCACCGGUGAUGCAUCGCACCGGCUCUAACCAGCCGUCAGUGCACGGAGGGGACUCGUCGACACCGCUGACGCACUGGGCGGCCACCCGUCCAGCGCCACGAGCGAGGGAUCUCGACAGGCGGCCCCGAGUGCGUAUGUAUGCCUCAGACCGAGGAGCGCAGCAGCCGAGGAUUGUUGCAGUAUCAUUUUUAUUGAUUGGCAAUUAAGAGUUAGUGCUUUAUUUGAUACGGUUGCAUCGCAUUCAUUCAUAGCAUCGCUGUUUCCGAGUUGCAUCAUCCCUUUUGGUAUCCUUUGUUGCAUACGGGACAUUUUAGUACCGCGACCAUUUCUUGGAUAUAGAGAGAUACCCCCAUUGCCCUGUUCGGGUAGGAGAAUGGAUCAUGCCCUAAUUUGCUAGCUCUUUGCGCAAGCUGGGAUUUUUGAUGUGUUUGGGCAUUGAUUGAGUUGACCAAGGUAUUAUCCACAUUGAUUGUAUAGAAUCGCACGGUACUUUUAAGAACCUGGGCAAGACCGAGGUGGUAUUUGUGAUCCGGAGUUCGCGGUUGCGAUGUACAUCAGCUCGUCUCGAGCUAGCAGCUGAAUUAGUAAAGUGUGUAGCCUAUUGGUCUAUGUUGUGCUAAGGGCGAAAGAUGACACCCGCUAAGGAUCGAGGAGUAUCUCGGUGUGCGGAGUUCGCGAGAUUGUUUCCACAGCUGAGCUAACCGGUAUGCCUCCAUAUAGGUAGAUUUGAGUUUGUGUAGAUCUCCCCUGGACUUACCCAAAUCUCAAAGGCACCUAUAGGAAUGGCACGCAGAGUCUGAGGGAAGCUGCAGGCAUACGGUUUGCUGAGGAUGUUGGACAAGGCAUUCGUCGAGCGGCGUUUCACCUUGGGGAGCACCAUUUGGUUCGUAAGUAAGAAAGACGGAUCACUGUACGCCUUUGUGUGGAUAUGGAACCUUAAUAAGUCACGAUCGAAGACAAGUAUCCGUUGCCUGAGGAUUCGAUGACUUGUUUGAUCAGCUUCAAUGGGAUCAGUGUGUGUAUUCAGAUAGACUUGCAGUCGGGAUACCACCAUUUGAACGAUUAAACCCGAGGUACGUAUCCGAAGAGCGGGCUUUUAGAACACGGUAGGACACUAAUGGUUCAAGCAGUUUAUGCGUUUGCUUACUAAUGCUCGGCAGCUUUUAGUGAUCAAUGAACCGGUUUUUCAAGCCUUAUCUAGACAGGUUCCGUUCGUGGUUUCAUCGACGAUAUUUUGGUCUACUACUCGAAGCGAUGUGGAUCACAUGGGAAAACUUGAGGAUCGUGUCUCCAAGUACGUUCGGAAAAGGAGCUUAUCCAAUGAAGAAGUGUGAAUUUUGGCUUCGAGAGGUAGCCUUCCUUGACACUUGAUUUCAGGAUCAGGUAUAGCAUGGAAUGCCAAAAGAUCGAAGGGCAAUCAGGACUUGGCCGAGACCGACGAGCGUCACGGAGAUACGGAGCUUCCUUGGAUUAGGCCGUUACUACCCGAGAUUUUAGAGGGAAUUUGGGCAAAUGCUAUCUACUCCCUCACGAGGCUCACGCAUAAGGUGUUAAGUUCAUUGGAAAUGAUGCGUGCGAGCGAAGCUUCCGAGUUCUGAAGCAACGGUUGACUACCUGCCCGCGAUUCUUGACCCACAGUAGCUGGAACACAGGUAUGUGGUUUAUAAGGAUGCUUCACUUAAAAUGAUUGGGCUGUUGUAUGAUGGGCAAGGAUGCAAAGGUGAUCGUCUGGAUGCUUCCCGCGCAACUAAAGGAAUAGAAAAAGAACUACCCGACGCAUGAUUGGAAUUGGCGGCUGUAGUGUUUCGCAUUGAAGCUAUGCGGCCACUAAUCUUUAAUGGCGAACGGUGUGAAGUAUUACAACGGAUCACAAAGCUUAAAGUACCUGUUACUCAGAAGGAGUGAACUUGAGUCAGCGAGUAUGGUUGGAGGGCUACUCAAGGAUCAUGAUUGACGGAUCCUUUACCAACCCCGGCAAGGCUAACGUGGGUCGGAAUGAGCUAAAGUAGAAAUUCAUGAAAUCUUAGCGAUGCAUGUUUGACUCAACCGCAUGAUCGAGCAGAUGAAGCGGUGGUAGUUGGAGAUAGUGACUCCUGACACGCCUAUGAUGUUGAUUGAGCAUUGGUGUGCAACCUACAUUGUUGAUAGAAUUAAAGAAAAGCAAGCUUCGAUUGGGGUUGCAAAGAUUCGAGGUAAAUGGUUGUGAUGUUGCAUCCGGCGACUUCCAUGGAUGAUCGCGGAGAUUGCGUUUCGCGUGGGCGGAUUUGUGUCCUCUGCGAUUCGGGAUAAAGAGGAUAUUCUCAAGAAGCGCACCUGGCGCCCUAUGCUAUACAUCCGGGUGGCACCAAAAUGUAUACAGGAUUUAAAGUGCUCUAUUUGGUGGCCCUGGGAAAAAAGAUGUGGAGCGUUUGUCGUGAUGCUUAACUAUGCCAACAAGUAAAGCUUGAACACGAGUUCCCGCGGAAAACUUCAGAGUUUGCCUAUCCUGGUGUGAAAGUGGGAGAAGAUCACAUGGACCUUGUGACAGGAUUGCCACCUCUCAGGCGGGCAUGAUCUAUUUGGUUGAUCGGGAUAGUUGACGAAGUCGCUUCACUUCAUCUACCUAUGUCAUACUACUUGGACCGGAAGAAGCUCGCCAAGUGAACCUUGAUGCAGAUUGUGCGACUUCAUGGAGUGCCUACAUCGAUGAGUACUGAUCGAGACAACCCGGUUUGUUCUCAACACUUUUGAGGAUCUACAGGACCGCCUUAGGCACACGACUGGAUUUCAGUACACAGCAUUCCACCGCAGAGUGAUGGCAGUCGGAAGCGCACUAUUCAGACCUUAGAGGAAUGCUCGGAGCAUGUGUGGAUAACUUCCAGGGAGGAUGGUCGCCAGCAUCUACCUAUGCGGAGUUUGCUUAAACUAACAGUUAUCAAAGCAAGCUGCAAAUGGCGCCUUCGAAAGCAACUUUAUGGACGGAAUGCAGAUCGCUCACUUAUUGGAGUAAAGUCGGCGAGAGUUUGGCUUAUGGCCCCUGAUGUGGCCUCCAGGAAGGCUGGAAGACAAAGGUUCGGAAUUGCGCGGAGCGACUUUUGACGCAGAGUAGAACAGAGGAGCUACGACCGAUCGACGACGGCGAGACUUAGAAGUUCCCAAGUGGAGACCUAUGUUUUCUUGAAGUCUCGCCGACUAAGAGAAUCAAGAGUAUUCGGUUUCGGGGAAAGUUGCGCCCCGUAUUCAUUGGACGUAUAGAUCUUGGAGCGUGUUAUGUCCUGGUAGCGUAAUCGACUGCUCUGCCACCGAACCUAAUCGGCGUACACAACGUCUUUCAUGUAUCGGUCUCUUCGGAGGUUACAUUCAUGAUCCACUAUGUUUGGAUGCUGUACUAAGUGGAGACUGCGUGAGGAUUUGAGCUUCGAGGAGCAACCAAGUGAAAGAUUGGCUCGCGAAGUGAAGAAGUCUGCGGAAUCGGGAUAUUCCGAUAUGUGAACGGCCUUUGGAGCAAACCAGGGAGGACAGGGAAGGCCACUGGGAGCUAGAGAGUAAGCGCUGCAGAGCGCUACUCACUUUUUCCAGGUGGAGUCUUGAGGUAUCGUCUCAUUCCGAGUUUCGCGCGGACGAAACUCCUUUUUAAGAGGGCGUGAAAUGUAAUACACUGGAUCUUAGCAAAUUGCAAGAUCGAUUGUUUGAUCGGUGUGGAGGCCUUUUCACAGUUUUGGAAGGGUCGUCUGAUAUUGUUCCGACCCUGUGCGCGCAUUACCGCGAGAUGUUGAGUGAGACUUGGCACCAAAAAAUCCCAAAAUCGGGAUGUUUUUGGACAGCUCUCGGAGUAGCCUGCAGCAAGGCUUGUACGCGAAACAUGACUGGCCUUGUACGGUACAAGGUUGAUGGUUGUACCGUCAGCGCGAUCGCUUGUACGCGGCUACAGAGCCGGCAGACCCGCGACCCCGAGCCUCGGUCUGCAAUUUCGUCGGCCUUGUACCGGUAAAGAACUCCGUGUACCGUUACAAGGAGGCAGAUUUCGUUCAGGUGAACUGCAGGGGUUUUCCGGAUUGGGGCUUUCUAUAACAGCACCCACGCCCCUUAGGGCUUCUUAUUGCUUGGGACCUAGGAGAGAAGGUGAGGAGGGAGCUCUCUCUCCUUUCCUAUUGCAUUUUUACCACCUUUGGCUUGGUUUUAAUUUGGGUUUUCUCUUCUCUUUUCAUCUUGGUGCUUCUCCACCAUUGAAGUUGAUUGGCUUAGAGCUUGGAUAGGAGUCUGUGGCUUGAGGAGAUCUCCCACCCCACUUGAUUGGAGCUAAGUUUGGGCUUUCCAAACAGAGUUUAUGUAAAACAUGAUCCACCUUUGAUUCAUGUUUUGAGACUUUAAUUGAAUGAUUAACCCUAGAUGUGAUAGUUAGGCGUUUAUUUGGGCAUUUUUGAAUCUAGGGCUUUUUGAAGGCUAGAUUGUUGGAUUAGAGGCUUCCAUUAGUUGGAUUGGAUGAGCCCCUAGCUUCAUUUGGAGCUUUAGAGGAGAUUUUUUGCACAUAAGGUGAGUUCUCUCACCCAUACUUGUCUAGCUUAAUGCAUUGAGCUAUUGAUGGUUCGUUUCGUUCGUGUGACAACAUGUUUCUAUAACUUUAGGGUAUCUAGGAGACUAGAGACACGCCUCCGUUGGAAGCGCACGAGAGUUUCGUUGUCAUCGGUGGUUUGGCUUCGUGAAAUGGGGCAUAAAGGCCUAUGCUCUUUCUACUUGUUUUAAAAUAUUUUAAAGUUCAUCUUUCUAUGCUAAGAUGGGAUUAUAAUAAUUUUAGAGCACUUAAAAUGCCAUGCCUUUGAUAUUGAUGAAAAAUUUCACUAUAUAGUAGAGCUAUAUGAGUAAAUGCAUGCAUACGGGAAAUGUACUUGUUUUGGCAAUGAAAAAAGAUACCAUCUCUUAUUAUGAUGAUACUUUAGAAUAGUACCGUUGAACAAUAGUUGCAUGUUUUUGACCAAUCAAGAGAGCAAGAGUGUCAAUAAAGGGGCACUUGAAACUAGUAACUAUGAACCAUGGCAAUAUAGAGACAUAUUGAUAGGCCACUACAUAUCUGCUAUAUCCAAUGUUAGAGAAUAUGCACAUAGGGGAUAGGCCAAUUGAAUAUCUGACACAUCCCAUGUCAAUUAGACAUGAGACUUGGUACUGCGACAGUCGUUUGACUAUCUUGCCAUUGUGCUCAUAUCGCAACAUGCUUGUGAGGGUCGCUCCCGUACAAGCCGGCAGCUCCGAGAUAGCAUCCGCGAUACAUAUUCGCCGUGCGAGAUUGGGCGCCGAAGUGAUUCGUGGGACCCAGGCCAUUGCUAGGGUGGGGAUAUGACUACCACGGGCAUUAGCCGCACCUGGCCAGAACAGCCUUUCCGGUGGGUCAUUAGGCCAUAGACAGCCUUCGUGGUCUCUUCAGAUUCGACUGAGCAUUUCGUGAUGACAUGUGACAGAUGAGAUUUAGAGUAUUGUUUGAAUGACUAAAAUUAUAAACACAUAGAACUUUACUAUUUCGCCAUGUGAACAUUAGAUAAGUUGGAGACUUUACUUCAUGUAUGGUUGUUUUUCAAUACUUAUGCUAUUUAGCUAAGUAGAGAAUAUCAUGUUGUAGUAAGUUAGCAUUUUAACUUACCUUGUCGCUUUCACAUUUAUAGUCACUAACCUCUUUUGUAGCUUUGGCCUUGUGCUGCAUUCACUGAAGUCGUAAUUGCACUGAUACUAUUUUUGAUAGUUCUCACGCCCCCUGUUUCUAUUUUCUUUCAAGCCUUCGGCACCCAGCGCGGAGGCCACGGGAUCGGCGCAAGGGGAUCGCGUAGCUAAAGCUAGCGAUGGAGCUUACUUGCUAGUGGGCUUUAUCUUUCUUUUGUAUUUCAGAGAGUGAGAGUUUUUGUAGCCCUGUAAUAGAGAGCCACCUACGUAUCUUACCAUUAGACUGUAUUUGGAUUUCCUAUGUAUUUACUUUAUGUGUUAUUUAGUGGAAUUACAGUUGAACUUUAAUCCCUUGUUGUUAGCAAUUAGAAACAUUUUCUAUGCUCUGAUACUCCUAGAUGUCUUUUAUAUGGCUCCUUAUUAUUGUUGUUUUUAGACGCCUUAUAUGUUGUAAGACAUAUGGCGGGUCUGGCGCACGCUGCUGGGUCUUCCGCUGGUCCCGGGCGUGACAUAAAGAUGAAUAUUUAAACUUAGCUCAAAGUUUCUCACUCUAAUCAUAAAGCAAUAAUAUUAAAUCAAAUUAAGAAUGGAGAGCAGUGAGUUUUUCNNNNNNNNNNNNNNNNNNNNNNNNNNNNNNNNNNNNNNNNNNNNNNNNNNNNNNNNNNNNNNNNNNNNNNNNNNNNNNNNNNNNNNNNNNNNNNNNNNNNUGAGGGUGAAUAUAAAUGUUCAGGUUCCCGUGGGUAAGCGGGUCCAGUACAGCCCGAUGCAAGCUCGGCGAAAUUUUGGUCCCAGAUCCCUAGGCUCAAGUUCGGGUAGGUAAUGCGUCCAGGUACUUCAGCUGAGGGCACCUGAGAUGUUAAGAAUGGGAGGCCAUUUCAUGAUUUUAUAGAAGGAUUGGAUAUUAGUUUUAAUUCGUUCGGGAGCUGCGGAUAAGUCGGACGUUGAUACCCUCUGAAAUUUAUAUUUGGAAACUCCAACGCAUGCCGAUCACACGGACUUUGCAUGUGUAUGAUAUUAUAUAGUUUUGUCCUGUGUUAUUUCUAUAUAAGAAGGGUGCUUUUUACCUGAAAAACUACAUUUAUUAAGCCGAAAUUUAAUGUAUUAAUCAUCUGGAAGAGAUGGGGAUGUGUUGCCAGUAUGCGCUUUCAUAUCACGUUGGCUUGAUUAUGUGGUUGUCAAGAUUCAAUAAGAAUGUCCCUGAUUCGGACGUGUUUUGUCCUCUAUGAGAUGUAACCGAGAUGUGCCUCCUCAUGUUGCUUUCAAGCUCAUAUUCUAAUCAGAGGUCCAUAAAGCACUCAACGGUGAGUAUUAUUCAUAGAUGGUGGCGGUCGGAGAUUUAAUGUUAUUCGGGGCGAUACAUCUGAAUUUUGUGAUAACUCGAUAGUAUGAUCUUAGAGGUAGCAAUUUAGGCAUAAUAGUAAGCCAAGUUAAGGUACUACUAUUCGAGGGAUACGCGCCGUGUCUCAGAAUUUUUAUGUCAGAUGAUGGAGUGUAAGUAACUACUGUCAUGACGUGGUAUUAAUCCGAGAUGGCUAAUCUAUUUAUUACUUCUUGGUCUGCGAGGCUUUCACAAGGUUGGAUCUUCUAUUGGACUCUAUGUUCUCUUGUUGUUGAGCCUUCGGCUGUCCUUGUCUACUUUGAGCUGUGAACACGCUCGGUUAUGCGCUUAUCCUUUGGGUUUGGGCGUGUCCACGUGCCUCAAUUUCCGGGAUCUGUAGGCGGACUUUCCUUUCUUCGGCCUGCGCCCAUAUCAAGGGGUCUAGGCCGCUUUGGUGCCAGCCGUAUUGUCAAAUUAAGGCGUCUAACACCAAAGGGAGUAAAUCACGGUAUAUGCCGUCAGAAGUGCAUAUCUAGACUAUUCGAUAUCUGAGGGUCGGGGUUAGUUAUAUGCAUUCACAAUUGAAUAGAAUAAGUAGUAUAUAAUACAGUCUAACUAGUCUAGGACUUCUCCAACGUUCGUGACGCACAUCUAAUACACCGAAAUCGUGGUCUUAGUACUGGUAGACUCUAACUUCCAAAUUAAUCAGGGGGUAGACAACCUAGAGAUGUCCUGGAGGAGUAGUCGUAGCAAUCCUUCGCGGGCUGCCUGCCUGAGUGGAGGCUUGUAAAGUCGAGAAAGAGGGUUGUGGGAGAGCUAUAUUUGAUGUUCGUGGGGCAUUAUUGAACUCAGCUUGCGUCCUUGGGCCAAAACGAGGGGUAAGUGUUUAAUGCAAUAGCAAUAAAAUAAAGUAAAUGCAUAAAUGCUGAAGAGGUGUAAGUUAAAAGAUAUAUAUAUUUCUAUAAAGAGAUGUCAAUUGUUGUCAUCUUUCUAUAUUAGGAGUAACAUAGCAAUAGUUUCUGUUACCUUUAUUAAGCUGAUGUUAUACUUAUUUGGAAAGUAUCCUGUGAUGAAUAGUACUGUCGAGUAUAUACAUGUUCACCUAUGCUUAUGAUUGUUGAGUCAUCCGUACUAAGCCUGUCUAGUAGUGUUUGUUCUUCUUAAACGUGGUCGAGUUUCAUUUCAUUAGGGACUACCCAGUAGUAGUUGUGACGCUAAGUUGCUGUGUAGCCAAAUCCUCUUUGCGACUUGUAUUGUCCACUCGCCCGUGGGCUUUCGAUACGCACAACGGGGACGAUAAGUGGUUGGCUACUCGGGAUGCCGGGCUUGUAGGGAGGCGAAAUCACUUGAGCUGUUGCGACUUGAGACAAAUGCCAGCAUGGAGUAUUAAAUAGUCUCAAGUAUCAUCCACCUUUUCCAGCAAAUGUCUCUACAUGGAGAGUACUAGGAUCCCGUGAUUAAGUUUUAGAGUCCAAUCUAUGACUUGGGUGUUUGUCAGCUGUUGCCUUGAUGAAUUAGGCAUUUAGAUGAUCCACGGCAUUCCGUCCCUCAAUGGCCCUGAUCCACUAGGGUUCACAUGGGUCCCAAGUCAAUGCGCUUGAUGACAUAUAGCGCUGUUUAACUUUAGCUCUAAUCCUCUAUAUGGAUUUUAUAUCUUUGUCGAGUAAACUUAGGUUUUAAUGAUGUUAGUAGUUUUCUAUAGCAAUGUGCAAUCUGUAGUGAUGCAAUGACCCAAUGAUUACCAGCGUCUAUAUUAGAGUCAAAUUUCUUUAUAAUAUGCAUUUGUUGCUUUAAAUUUUAUGCAUUUUAGUUGAUUGAUGUUUUCAAUUUACGGAACUUAUAUAUCGUUCUGAGAAUUUUAUGUGCAUAGGUCAACAGAAGUGGUUAGGGUCUCGAUUGGGAAAGUUGUCCGGUUAAUACCCUAAGUUCAGUGAGAGUACCGAGGCAUUCGAAGUAUAUAUAAUUACUAGAGAAAGUGGCAAAAUAACUCAGAGUAGAUCUUCUUCCAGCUCAAUAGAGAGCUAGACCCCUUUCAAUCCAAGUUAAGGAAGUUCUGAAACAUCAAUCGCUCAAAGCUAGGUUCAAAAGCAAAAUAACCUAAUCCAAUUAGGGUUCAACAAUAAACGCUAAUCCAAGGAGUUGCCGGCUUGAUAGUAGAGGGGAGGGACUGAGUCAACUCAUCUUACCUCAUCCCAUCCCAAGCUCCAUGGAGUGAAGAUCUCCCUUUGAGUCCAGUACAAUGCCUCAAGCCCAAGGGAGUAAGAGGGUUGAGGAGAUGUAGUCACUUAGUAGCUCAAUUCUUUCUGUUCUCUUUUUCUUUCUAUUUCUUUCCUCAAAGGGUUGUAGAGGGUGAGAGGGGAUGGGAGAGGAGGUGGAGGCGUCUAUGACCCUCUAUGUACAAAUCCAAGCUCAGCCCUCAAAAUCGCCCCAAGCCGGGCUGGGCGUAUUUUCGCCGGAGGGACGGUCUUCCAGCAGGGCGUCUUCGCUGCGACGAACAGGUUAGGACGUUCGCAAGGACGGGCCGCGAGACGGUGUCGGGGACCGGGUCUGGCGGGGAUACCGCGUGAUCCUCGGGCGGUACAGGCGGUCGGUUGGAUGGGACUGGUUGUCUCUCAGGAACGGGUCCCGAGAUGAAACUUUGGGCAAGAAGCUACUCAGAUUUGCUUUUGAACUUAUUUUUUAACAGUGUCCCGAUAACUAUAUUCUUAUAUCAUCAUACAUAGGUUCAGGUGAUCCUGGCGAUCCUACUGCUGUAAUUGAUUCAUACACUACAUAAAUUAGAAAUCGAACUUUUAUGGUCAUAUAUCAUUAGAGUUGUAACAUGUAUAGCGCGGAUAGAGCGUAAUCACAUGCUUUAUAAUCUUCAGCUAGUGGCUGUUAUUAUAUUACUGUCCUGGUUGAUAUAAUGGGUUCCUAUGUUAGUUAUUCUGUGAGAUUUGGUUCUUAAAGUGCCGAAAUUAUCAUGUGUUCUUCGCUCUAUUAACGCUAUUGUACUAUGCUCAUGUUACAUCUUUUGUUUAAGAAUUAGAAUGAUGACGUUAAGAGUAGGUAUAAUGCAUCAGUGUAUGCAUGGACUCCUUUUUUUCAUAGAUGCUGUUUUCGUGUCACUUAUCUGGAAGUUUGAGAUCUUCAUCAAUCACUAUUAUUAGUGACUGUCUCAAAUUUGUAUCACACAAAUCAACUGUAUUUGUAUGUACAUAUAGACAUAGAGGCGGUCAGUGCUCUCUGGUCGUUAGGUCGCACUAGUACUUAGGCUCUCGAUUAUCCACAAGAGAGUGCUCUAGAUCGGCCAAGCUCACGAUUCAAGGUUACAUAUGUGGUGGUGAAGUUAUAUAAGGUUCGACGAUAUAUUGAGUGUCAACUCGAGUCGGUAUUAAAUUAACGAGCCGAAAUGUGCCACGUUUCUCUACGAGCUAAUUUCUCGCAUCUUAUUACAAGAUAAAGUAUAUUUCUUAGCGAUCUGGUGUUCUCGAUGGGGUGCUAGGUGUCUACUUCUUCAAGAUGAACGCAUGCUCAGAUAGGGGCUUUCCAGUGGUGAGUUGUAUGUGCUGUGAUCGAAUAAGUCGGUUUCGCGGAUCUACUUGCAGUUACCGAAUUAAAUUGAGUGAACCAGGCCAUAAGUUUGGAUCAAUAUCAACAUACUAGGUACAUAUGUCGGAUCUUGCAAAUUCAGUUUUCUAACUGAAAUUUCGCUGUUACCUCAGGUGAGAAUAUUGUUCCAUACAGUUUAAGUGGGUCAAAUUAGCUUCAGAAGCUUGAGACUGUUUAUUGGAGCGCGGAUAGCUUCGUUCUUGUUCAAUUAUGCGUGGCAUUUUUGGGCGACUUUUGUCGCUCACCUAUGAUUUACGGAUUAAAUGGAGCCUUGUAAUUUAUCUCGCGGGACAUAUAAGACAUUUUGACCCGCUACGCCGAUUUCCCAAUGUCUUUACUCCCCUAGUUUUGUUGAAGAAGAGGUUUCUAGAGCAGCAUGUUGCCUAUCUGAAUAAUUCUCAAUUUUAAUUAGAGCUCUGUAAUUUCAGUUAGAUCAUGGAAGGCAAUAGCUCACAUGGCACUUCAGUAAGAUUUACUGUUGCUCUCUGGGCUCUGAUCAACAGUGUCGAAUGUCCGAGGACUCAAUUUGGAGAAGAAAUCCGUUGUUCUAUGCUUCCUUGGAGACAUUCUGGGUUAAAGCAAUCUUGCUUUACACUUUUUCACUCAAUGAGUGAGCGAUCUAAUGUCUGAGUGCUGCAACGCUUGGUAACCUGACUGCUAUUGAUGUUUGCUGUAUAAUGUUGUUAGUAUCUACUGGUUCUGAAAGAUUCUAGCAAUAGAAGCGGUUACGAAAACAUGUCCUUGACAUGUGCAACAUGCGUGCUCUCAGAGGAAGUCGUACCAAUAUAGGCGAAAGAACUGCAGCGUCGGGCUGGGAGUCGUCCUCGAGAGUCGGUUAUAGUCGCCUCAGAUGCCCUGUCACUUGGGUGGGAAGUUUGUUGAGGGUCCAAGGAAGUACGCGAGGUGUAGCAUCGGUAAGGCAAUCCUCGAAGCGAAGUUGAGUACUCCAGGCGAAACUGACGGUAGAGAGGGAGAAUAGUCUCCUAGGAAUCCGGACAGAGAUGGGAUGGUAGCUAAGUAGAGGGUCGCAGAGAAGUCUUUUCUCUACGAACUCUUGGCUUCCUCAUGUGGUAGGUGAGCUCUCCUCAGUGCGCAGGGCAUCGCUGCUGGGAGUUAGUUUAAGUAAAGGCACCGGUGUUGCGGGUAUAGGAUUAUUUUUUGAAGCAACCUGUCAUUCACUAACACAUAAUCAGAUGUAUCGACGCAGACCUUGCGCUCAGUUGGGUUGUAGCCGCUGUGGUUCGUUGUCAAAGUGUCCAAGUGUGAGUGGUGGAUUUUUGCCUAUUUCCCCUUAGCUGGAAUCGGUAUAAGCGAGACAGUGCAAAUGCUGGAAUUUGAGGUUUCGACUGAAUUUUUUUAUUUUUUGCCGUUGACUCCCCCGUCAAGUCAUCUCUCAAAAGUUAGUAUUUAUCUUCGACUUUUUAUUUUAGACAUGUAGGUUGGUGGCAGACCAACCGCAUUGCUCUAAGACUCGAUACAACUUCGCAAUUUGCAAGUUCAGCUGGCAAUGUAUUACUCUUCAGCCUUUAUCCUUUUUAAUAGAGUGUGUUUCCACCAUGUCAGCAAGCGAUAAUUGCAUCACUUAGUCCCUUAAGUAUAUCUUGGUCUUGGUCUCGAAAAGAGUGAUGAUGGGAUAUCUUCGUGUGUACAUGUGCGCUUUCAUGGUUCUCCAAGUGGUUGCCCGGUUUCGCUCGUGAUUGCCUCUUCUAUGAGGGUAUUUCAUGUGUUACGUUUGCGCCCAUGCUUCGCGGUCACAAAGCGCGAUUUACGAGCGUGUUGUACCGUUCUCGAGGACAACGCUCAAUUUCCGCCGUAGCAAAUGUUUGAGUCCAUCGCCUCUGGAUGCUUGCACCAUUUCGAUUUUAAGCUCUUCUCUUUUAUGAAAUCACUUGUGAGUUGUGUCUUUUCUAUUAAUUCUGAUCAGUAUUGUGUUGCAACUGUUAACGUCCCAACUCAAAGGGCGUCUGGUCGCACGGACGUUUCAGAGUAUUAGCUACGUGUUCCACUCACGGUCAUUUGCUCGAUACUGGCGGUUUGCUUGGGUUCCCACUCCAUUCAGUUUGUCGUAAUUCUAGUCAGGGUGUCGCAAUUUUAUUAACAUUAUGCGAAUUUUAGCGUGACGUAGGUUCGUUGGCGCUUGCGGGCGAGUUGUUAGUAAAGUAUGGGUCAACUAGUAGUUCUGGUAAGCUCAGACAUCUGCGCUGCUCAUAUGUUUCAAGCGGCUUGGUCUUUAUUCGCUGAUCCACGAUCGCUGAUUGAGGCAUUGGUUUAAAUUUAUCUUAAAUUAGUUUCGGAGUGCUGUUUAACUAUUAUCCUUCGCAUCGUCGUGUCGCAUAGACAAAUUUUUUAACUCCUUUUCGGUAAUGUCGGCGGAUGUUCAAUGCAAAAUAGGCGCCAAUCAGUGGUGGUGGGGUUAUUCCUUUGGAUUAUUCUAUUGGGCGAAUGCUUACGUCUGAAUUCUUCCCUGUUUCAUGAAUACAAUGUUCGCCGGAAUGGAAGAUUACCCUAGUUUAGCUCAAUCCAUUAAGGAUCGUCACUUAUAAAUCAUACCUGCUAGCAGUCGGCAGCCGAGGGUUAUUAUGGAUAUUGCGCGCAGCUACUCUUUUUGUCGGACUUCCAAUCAUAUUUGAGACUCUUUGGGUCAGGCUCGUUUCUGAACCAGCGAUUUUUUUUCGCCAGUCUAGCAACUACUUUUGGUUUUCAGCUUUUGUCUUGAGCUAAUCUGGACGCCGUAACAUAGCUCUCACCCACUUAGACUCGUCGUGAGUGGGUCCAAUGGAAGUGAGUAGGAUUAAAUGGUCAUUCAAUCUUACCAUUCGACAACGUCGGCUUCACGGGGUAUUAGGCGUCAACCAUUGUGGCAUUGUCGUAUGAUCUUGCUGUCCCGCUAACUGGUUGUGUUAUUUAAGCAGAUUCAGAUCGGGAGACUGUGCAACUGCCCUGGUCGUCAAUCCUACUGGCCCUCAAAUAUUCCUCAAGGUCUGGUAUUUACGCUCAGAUGCAGUCGAUUCCAUCUGCGGGGCCUCGCUUGGCCAUUCCUGAUGGCUUCAAUUUUCCCUGGGGUCCGUUAUGUGAUUGAAUCCCCGCGUAGGGACAAAUCUUUGUUGGGCCAAACGAGCUCAUGUUUACUGACCAAAUUCCCCUUAUUUUCGGCUUUAUCGCGCAGUUGUCCUUAGUGGUUUCUAUUUCUCUCCUCGUCACAGAGACAAUUUGAGAUCAGAAAGUCACAUAGGUGUUGUUAGUUGUCGAGUCGCAGGAAGAAUAUUGAGUCUGGGUAGUGGGCAUUAUGUUAAAUAGUCCAGCAGUGUUUCGGUAUAAGGACUUAAUGAUUGUUCUUAACAUCGGUUCGAUUGGCAAGAGUCUUGGCCCUUUGAUACAGCCAGAUUCAUUAAAGGUUGGUGUGGAUUUGGGAUAAAUUGGUGGGCAGAUUUGGUUAAUGGUUGUAUGCAUCAGCCUUUAACGGAAAUUUGGGCUUACCUCCGUGAUGUCUCGCUUUCCGUUGUGUGCUAAAGCCGUCUUGAUAACUCUCAGGUUCUGAUUUCUCUGGUGAUAUCCGUAUUGUGUGCAAGCAUGUGCUGGACUUAACAGGAUCCUGGGUUUGACUUAAUAGGAUAUCUUUCCUCCGGUAUGUGUACUUGUUUUUGAUCGUGACUUUGUUAAGUUCGAUAGUCAGCAUAAGCGAGUGAUCAUCCUUUUUCUUGACGAACAAGAGGGCGCCCAGGCGAACAUCGUGUCUACACCUUGUUUCAAGGAGUUCUGAACUGCGCAUUGAUCCUUCUUCGCUGUGGCAUCUAUAGGGUAGCCUUUUGAGAUCGGGUAAGUCCGGUGAACGACGAUUUACAACUCAAUUGCCUAUGUAUCACUGACGCUUUGCCAUUGCGAGGUUCGAGUGUUCGGCUGAGUGUGAUUGAGCAAUUCCCAGAUUUUUUGGUGCGGUCGUUGACGUUGUUCGACUUAUGGCUCGCAGUCCCAGGAAGUGGGUGUUUAAGCGAGCCGGAGUAACCGAAAAUCGGAUUUUUGGGAUAAGCUCUCGGUUGCUUCAGAGGUGGUAAAUCACGAUAAAUCCAUAGUAAUCCUUCAGUUUCACACUGAGGUAUGUGUAACUCUGCGUUUUCCAGCGGAGUCGCCCAAUGCUCAGCUUUUAAUUGUGACUAGUUAAGACUUUGAGCUCAAGUCUGUUGCAUUCGCUGUUUCUAGGGUUCCAUGGUCGCAUAGGGUGUACCUAGGGUUCCGAUCUAUUUCAAAUUUUUCUGACUUAUUAUAGGCGAUCCUUUUCUUAGUGCUUCCAAGGACCCUGUGCGCGGCUUUACGGCGCGCGCGCUCGGGUGUGCUUUCUUUGGCAGGUAUUUUCUUUAAUUUGAUGGAUGGGAUUGGCAGGACACAAUUCUAUCACCGAAUUUAGAUUCCCGUGAUAUUCACUCGAAAAUCGUCAAUUGGUGUAUCACGGUCAGUGGCGGUCUGCUUGCUCGAAUCUUUUGCUAGUGUGAUUCUUGGGUAGAUGUUUGCGUUUUUAUUGUACGAGAUUUUGCGACUGAGGGGGUUUUUCUUCGAGACUCAGGUGGUGUGGCCUUCUGAUAUGGUCUGAACGGCCUAGGGUUCUGGUUACCAUAAAAUGACAUAAGUCUCCGAGGUUGUAUCAGAUGCACAAUUCAAUUUAAUUGCUCCAUUUCCUUUCAACAGUGAUUGGCAUUGUUUUCGAACAUGCCAAUUUUCCGUCGAUUUUCGACUUAAGCAUUGUCCUUUAGUUCAAUUUCUGGAUGAUUAGAGAAUGGUAAAUCUAUCUUGAGCAAGCUCACCAUCUUACGUUGCUCAAGUUUAAUUUCGUUGGUGGUGCAAGAUGAGAGACAGGGUGAGGGAAGUCUUCUUAAGCUUUCAUUAAUUGCAUUCUUGUUUUGCCUUUAUAUUUGCUCCUUGCUAGGUAUUCUUAGAGCUCGUUAAUACCCUCUUUUUUGCUCCUUUUGGUUUUGGGCUUUCCAUUGGGUGGGUUUGGUCUUGUGGGGGGUUUUUGGGCUUGUGGGUUUUGAACUUGUUGGAGGUUCUAGAGUUGUUGGGCUUAUUUUUUUCCUUAAUUUUUGGUUUUGUGUUUGUAGUAGAUAAACCCUAGAAUGGAAUUAGGGUUUUUUGGGAUUUUUGUUUAGGUGGUUUUGAGCUUAGAUUGUUGGUUAGAAUUCUCUAGGUUGUUGGAGGUCUAGCUCUUUUGGAGCAUAGGAAAGUUUUAUUUGGUUGGUUUUGGCCUUUUGCUAGUUGUUAUGUUUGGCUUCGUGCUUCGUUCUUGGCUGCAUUUUUGAUGUUUAGUGUGCUAGGUAGUUGUAUGAGAUUGUUGGACGGCAAGCGAGACUAUUCGUGUGGUGCUAGGAUUCCCAGGCUGCAGUUGGUUUAAUAGUACUAGUCGAUUCUAUUUGUAGUUAUGAGUGAUAUUCUAUUUGGUGGGUGAGUUGCUGUUUUCUAUAUCUUUAUUUAAUAUUUGAUGUGAAUUGUUUAAUAUGCUAUUCUAACUUCUCUUUGAUGCGUUUAGAUGUGUAAGAUAUUUUAAGUUGCUAUUAGAAACACUUAUUAUGGCAUAUUUUUGGACCUCGUUGUAUUUGGUGCAAGUAGUUGCUUAUGGGGAUUUUGGUUGCAUUUUCUUCUUAUAUUAUGUAUAUAGUUUCGAUUGGGCUUUAGGAGGUUAAAUGAAAGCUCUCGUUAUGCGUUUAAUAGAUUUAUUGGGACAUGAAGAUUGACCCAUUGUCAUUGUGUACGCAGUAGAUUUUGGAUUUGUGAUUGCUGGGCUCAUGUCAGUUGCAGAGCUUCGGUCAAUGGCAUUCUUCGAGUGUUUGGAUGUUGGGAGGACUUCGUGUUUGGGCAAGGCUUUCAUUACGGGAAAUUAUGUUGUGAAUGUUGUUGAAAUAAAUAGUUGUGUGCAGUAUUGGUGAUGAGAGUCAGUGGACUCGGUCUUGCCAUAGAUGCCUUUCUACAAAGAGCUAUCUUCGCUUGAAUUCAGUGUUGGAGAGUAGAUGAUAUUCUCGUUGCUGAAUACUAUCAGGAAUGAUACUCUGUUAGAUUCUUGGAUUGGUGGUUUGCGUUGGACUCUGCUUGGUGGUGGUUUGUGGGUCCAUUCUAAGACUUAUCUGUAAUUCGGUGUGCAAGUGUUCUGUCUCGGUUCCCAGCUAUCUCCCAGCCGGUUAUUGGAAGUAUAGAUCCUGCGGUAGUGGCUCUGCAUGCGCAUGCUCGCUGCUUCUCGAGCAAAAUUCGAUUUGGUUCAAUCUGUUGAGAAAGUUCAUAUUGCUCGAGGGGAGUACGGUGUGGCAACACACUAGUCAGGGAUUGUCUUAAUGCGUCUGUUGUCGAGGGCGUUCGGAGAGAAGGUGAGGAUGUGCAGGAUGUCGUCAGGUGAGAGAGAGCUUACGUACACGUAUUGGAGAGGUAGGGGGCUUAAGAGACGACGGGGUUGCGAUUGAUCAUGAGAGGGCUGCUGGGCGGCCAUUAGGGGUCGAAGCAGAAAAGAGAGGAUGACUGGUGAAGAUUCAUAUGGCGAGUAGGGGUGUUGCUAGGAGAAGGCAGUUGCUGGUUAACAGGAGGUGUUCGAGGUUAUAUCGUGUUGAGGGCUGGAUGGAUAGGGCGCUGAUUUGAAUGAUUUUGGAGUGAUAGCUUUGUCGUCUGUGCAGGUUGAGUCGAAGGUGGAAGGGUCGUCAAGUGCGGGCAACGGGGUGAGUUUGGGUUGUGUGAUUGUUGACGUGGGUUGGAUUUCUUGCGUAUCGAGCGGCAGCAGUCGGAGAGAGUCGCGUAGGUGUUGGUUUGGCGGUUGAGAAAUGAACGGGUGCCCCCGAAGGCGGAUACGGGUCGGUGGGUCGGAGUAAAUCCUUUGUGGUCUAGAGAAGGAUGCUUGGUUGAAUUGUUGCGGUUGCGGGUCUGGUUGUAGGGGCUCAGCGGUGGGUGCGAUUUUGAGGGGGUGUGCUUUAGAAUUAGGGAGUCUGAUCCGUGGGGGAGCAGGAGGAUCAUCAAAGGACUCGACGUGUUGGCGGGCCUAUAGGUGGCGAGGUGGGCCGGGGCAAGUCAGAUGGAAAACUCUCCCGAAUUCGUCGCACAGGAUGGAAUAUCUUCGCAAGAAUUCGUGGCAGCCUUCGGUAAGUAUGUGGUCGAUGUCUACUGCAGAUUAAUGAAUGGGGCUUAGCCCUUGGCAGGCAUAAGCUAGAGAGCCCUCUACUGUGAUCAAUGUCGUGGGUCGUCUCCUAUUGAAGAGUGGAUGGUAACGUGGAUUGAGGUCAUGCGAACAAUGAAUUGUCGAAUGCUCUUUUAAUGCUUAUAUUUCGUUGUGUGAGCUCUACGUGUUACCUGCUAUUAUAGGGUGCAACGUUUGUGUUGUGUGUAUUUGUUGUGUGCUAACUCGUAUUUUGCAGUUUAUGUUGAUAAUAUAACAAUUAUGUUUGACAUUGAAUGGUUUAAACAUUAAAUGUGGUUGAUUGACUUAAUUGUAUGAUUGGAUGUAUGUAAAUUUUGGUGUUGAAUCAUGUAUUUGAGCGGUGACUUUGGUUCUUAUCUCUCUCAUAGUCUAUUCUACCAAUACUAAUCAAAUUGCAGCCUAAGGUUUGUUUUGUUUUGUCUUUUUAUGUUUUUGCUUCAGUAAAUCUUAUCGUUCUUAAUUGUGUUUGUUGCGGGACGUUAGAGUGCAUGUGUGACUUACGCAGUCUAGUAGGGUCGUAUUGCCCUGGGACUUUAUAUUUGUUUCCGCUCUUUUUUCCGUGUUUUAGGAGUCUUCCUCGGGAGAUGGCCAGUGAGUCCGGAAAGGGGUAUGCUCGGUGCUAGCGUGUUACGAGGGUAAUUUCGUAUCGAUAGGUGUGGUCUUUAUCUGUGUUAUUUUUUUAGUUUGAGAGGUUGAGAGUUGUACCCGUAUUAUGUAGAGCACAUUUUUACUAGAGCAGAUAUUGUAUAUUAUGAUUUCUUUUGGUCAAUUCUUAUCUGGUUUAUUUGGUUGUAGAUGCUAGAAUUUAUUGGCGCCUUGUUAUGUGUUUUUUUUUUUUUUGACUCUUUAUUUUUUUCUUUCUAAUGUAGUUUGCGGUGUGGUUAUUAUUAUUUUAUUGUAUUAUUCUUAUAGGUUACACAGCUAUUUUUCGUCGCCAGAUGCCAAGAGUUAUUGUUUUGAUGCUAAAUAUUGAUAUAAGUGUAGUAUAAUUCGUAUGGCGAGGGUAUGUGCCGCAUCACAUGAAAUAGAAUUUGCGGAGUGGCGUACCCGUAUAAAAUAAUUUUGCAUGGCAGGACAUAUAUAAAAGCAUAUCUUGCGAUUGUUGCGUUGAUCGACUCCGUGGCUGAAUCCAUUUUAUUUGGUAUCCGAUAGGGUUGAAGUUCUUAGUGGAAUAGAACUAUAGGCGGUUGGCUUAUAGGAAUGGCUGUGAGGACGAGGUCUAUUGAUUAUUUAGUUUGAGCGAAGUUUUAUGAUUGGGUUUAUUGACUCUAAGUGUAGAGUGAGUUUGAUGGAGGUGAUAUGGUUUUACUCUGCAGAAGGUAUACAAGUUGGCGGACCUAAAGUAAAUUCCGGUUGAUAGUGAAGGACAUUCUUACUUUCGCAUGUUGGGGUUUUCUGUUGGCGAUGGAGGUUGCAGAUAGGUGGGUUAUUUCGAUUUUAUGUUUUGUUCGGUGAAACGAUGACGUUACGGCGUUAGUCAAGACCGGGCGCGAGAAUGUGCACGGCGCCCUACCACUUCGGUUGUCGGCGCAGACUAGGUCAUGAGCCUGCGCUAUUCUCCGCGUAUCGAGUACCUUUGGCUAGCGGUCUGUGUUGAGGGACUGCGCUGUUCCUCUUGUGGUUCUCACUGAUCUUUUGAUGGUCGACCGAGAUAGAAUGAUAGGUGCGUCGGGGUCCCCUGCGAUGGAGCUGAAGAUGCAGGGGUCGCAUUCGCUAAUGAGGGCUCGGGGCAGAAGCCUCGUCGUGCACUGCUGAGCGUAACGGUGGCGCUCGGUGACUGGCCGCGAUAAGAGAAGUCCGCGGGAGGUGCGCCGCGCCGUCGUGUGGACAUCCUCUGAGACUUCUCAUGCAGGACGUGGUUCGAGGUGGUAGGCCAGGGUCGGCUAGUGGAGGCCCCGCUCACCCGCCGCCAUUCGCGGUCGGUCCGUUAACGCUCCGGGUGGUGUCAACGGGAGGGUUCGGCUGCAGCUCUCGAUGACCUUCGGUUGUCGCUGACUGUGCCCCGGGCGUCGGAUACGUUCUUGCCCCGCCUGUCUCGCUGAAGCGCUGCCUGGCUCUACCUGCUUUCAUGCUAGUGGUCUGCUUGCUGCCUUUGCUUCGAUCCAAACAUCCUCUUUUCCUUCAUGAUUUUGCCCCCUUUAACAAUCAAGCCCGGUCACGACGUUCCCGGUAAGUGGGAGGUUUGACGUUGGACCAUAUGGUAGAUCGCAGAGUCGCAACCCACUCAAAAUACGAGCCAUGUUCCUCAUCGUCUCGGGACUACAAAAGGAAAACAUGCUAGUUAUCGAGAGAUAUUCGGCUGGUACCAGCACUGUCUUGUCUCCCUGUUCAUUCCUCAGAUCCCUUUCCAUCUGUCUUUCUUCACAUCUGUGGAAAAUAGGUAGUCAAACACAAGCUGCUUGAACUGUUCACGUUGAUAGCAGACAAUCAGCACGGGGAUCCUCGGUUGUCACCCACACUGUUAAGCUCUCGCAUCAAGGUGAGUGUGUCGCAAACCAACUCACGGUACGUCCUCCCCAACAACGUGUCAUAGAACAGUUUCUCAUAUGAUUAACCAUUGUUAAUCACAAACUGAUCUGAUUUCUCCCCAGUCAAAGACGCCCCACGGAGGGUUGCUAAGGCGACGGAUUCAUUCGUCGGUUCCAUCAUGCCGCCUCGUCUAAAACCCCCAUUCGGGCCCCGCGGUAUACACGACUGAGUCCCCAGGCGUGAUGUACAGGAUGGCUGGUGUUGGGUUUUGCGCGUUACCUUUACAUGAGGACUGGUAUCUGUCUCUGUUCGGCGUCUGCUGCCUCGGAGCUAUGUGGGUUGAUAUCGAGGUACGGUGGAUCUGUGCUCUUUACUGUUGGUGCCCUCUCGUCGUACUAUAGUGUAAGAAUCGGAGGCAUACGAACUUGGAAUCUCAUCUUAGUCGCUCAGUCUGCCGGCCAGUAUAGCAUCUUCUAACCUUCUCCUGUCAAUAAAACCUGCGACGGCGAUGCGUUAACGGCACGGGAGCUGAGUUUUUCCUCACGUGUUCAUAUGGGGACCCGGGGGUGUCGUGCGCUGGACGCGAGAGUCUGCGAGGUGGAGGCUCGUUGAGUUCAGGGGGUGCGGUGGCCUGAGAUGUUUUGGGUGUAGCAUCUCGUGGUCAAUAGCUCGACCGAUCUGGAUUGUGAGCUGAGUGGCUCUGGAAUAGAUAUAUGUGGAAGCUCCAUUCUUGAUCGCCCGCUGGUCUUUGAGUGGAGGAGGUACGCUCUAAUGGAUAUGGUUUGUGCGGACCUAGGCGCGAGCUACGUCUCUGCUGGGCGCGCGCCGGCCCUACCGUUGGUAGCGGGUUUUUCCGAGAAGUAUGGUCCGUAGGCAGUCUUGAGCAUGCAACCGCUAACACAAACAUGGUCAAUAACCAUUAUACUACUGAACCUAUUUGUAGAAUGAACACGUCUAAUAUAGGAUUGUAAUACUCUUGUAGACGUCAGCAUGUGCACUCACGUUACGAUCUUUUAACGGGCGUUCGUGUCUAGGAGUGCUCACUUCGACUUUCGGGUCCUGACUGCGGUCCAGCGGGUAGAUCGCGCAUGCCGUCGUAAAGUUAGUACCUGCUACCGCUCUCUUCAUCCAGGCGUUUCAAACUCGCAUAUAGUUAUAAGUACCCAAUCAUAGUAUUUAUGCAGUAAAGCGAUGCUAACCGUCGACUGACUGUGUCGUCUUGCUCAGUAAUCCGAGAGAGGAGGUAUUUCUGUGCCAACCAUGGCUAAGGUUGACAAGUUCUACUUAAGACUCAACCCUAGGCGUUGAUACACUUAUAAUCUGAUGUUUUUCGCCGAGAUUACCAAUUGUGCCUUUUGUGUGGUACCGGCGAUGACCGGACGGGCGGUUUACCAGCUCUUGGAGAUAUCGGACGUGCAGACUCUAGCGAGCUAGGCCCUGGCGUUUGAGGCUGUAAUUAAUGUGAGUCUUCUGAGAAGCUGAGUGUUCUGAGUAGAGGAAGUAAAACGAAAGUAUGGUCAUAUCCUGGUACUUCAGCUCAAGCAAUGUUACAAGGUUCGAUAUACAGAAGGGUUAGGUAAUCUGAGUGAAAAGUGGAUGAAUCAUGGUAGGUUGAUAUUUAGAAACAUGUAUCAAGGCGAAAAGAGAGAAGUAACACUACUAUAGUCUGUCACCGAAGUAAGCGGUACAUCACGGGCGAUCAGUGUGCUACAGAAGUGAAAUGGAUACAUGGUGGUUCUCUAUAUUUAUAUUUGUGAACGAUUCACCUCGGCGUUAGCGCGGGCUUCGGAGAUGGGUGAGCAAGGAGAUAGGGGGCGAGUAGCACCCGCUCCUGCAGGGUGUCUCCGUGUGGGCGACUUCCCUUGCCACAGAUCUUGCCUUCCUGUUAAGCUUGUUUAAAAAACACCAAAAGCGGCGUGUGGAGACUAAUUCACAUGGUGAGUGUCCGCAGUUGAGUGUAGCAUACCGGGGGGCCGCCGAGGAUCCAGUGGCGAGGGACGCCUCGCAGGUCGCGCGUAAUUAACACUAGGUCGUGAGAUGUACAGAAUGGAAUGAAGGAAACGCGCUGGGCCGUUAAGUUCCAUAGUGCGAUGGAGUAUAUAUGUUGUGACCCGAAUUGCUAUCGACUGGUACUAAGGCUGAUGUUAAAAAUGUGAUCAUGACAUGUAAACACAUGUGUGUUCACUGCGGUCUCUCAUUUAGUCAAUGAAUCUUUAACUGUAAUGAUAGAAGAAUGGGAUACUACUAUAAGCAUAAACUGUAGCAUAAGUUGUGUAAGUAAUACGUGUCACGUUGGUUUACUCGUAAUUAUUUCUGUUACUGUCCAAUUUUUCUUUAGCACCUUUUCCUUUCUUCCCAGGGAUUCUAUUCAAUGGAGCGGUAGGCCACGCGAUGGAUUUUGGCUGGCUGGUCAGGAGGCCAUUCGUCUUGAUGCCGAGAGUCCAUGCAGGGCUCUGCGUGAUCAUGCAGUCGCCACGCGGGCAGCCACGUGAGAAUGGGGGUUCCCGUUCGUGAUAUAGUCGAACCUCGCGGUCCAGCUUGGAAUCCAUUGGCACUCAUCCGCUUUACGGCGGGUCGGUCGGCACACGUGGCAUCUGUUCCAGACGGUGUCGAGUUGGGGUUAGGCAAUCGGAGUUGGCGUACGGAGCGGCGUAUGUAGGAGAUACCCCACAGCGUGACUGGCGUGCAUGUGACGCGGCUAGCAGAUUGAGAUAUGAGCACCGAUUGGAAGGAAGCAAGUGAUUUGCUCCAAUGUCUCUAUUUUCAUUUUUUGCAUAUACAAAGUUAGAACUCCUCGUUCCUCUGAUCGGUGAAAUAUAAUACCAAUGUUAGGUAAUCAAAGCUAGUAUCAAAUGUUUGUAAACUGUAGUGGUUUAAGCUAAAUCACAUAGCGAUUAUAAUACUUUCCCUGUAUGCACUCAUAACAUAGUCAUGCCUGUAUAGUUCCCUAUGUUAGAGUAAUGGAGAUGUUGGUUUACUCAUAUCUGUAGUCACGAAUAUCUAUUCGCCUUUCCACUCUACUAACGAUCAUUAGUUUAGACUUCGUCCGUGCUUUAAGUUCUCUAGAGUAAUGUUGGUGGGUUAUUUUAUUUCUGAGAUAAUUCGAGAUAGAGUUUGUUUGUACCGUUGACGAACAUAUCGUCAGUCAGUGAGAACAUCGUUUGCAUUUGUGUUGUAUGUGCGGUCUAGCUCUUUCGCUUCAUCGGGAGUGUCUGUAUUUCUAGGUCAUAUUGCUUGUUAUCAUAUCUUCACAAGCUGUUAUUGAUUACGCUGGAUCGUGGCUUCAAAUCUGUAUCAUCAUCAAAAAAUACAACUGUAUCAUUCUUUAGUAAUUAUGCAACAUAGAGGAGCUUCAUUGUUCUGCGUGUAGGUUCUAUGUAGUAGUCCAAUGUCUCAGUACGAACGUUCUUUUUGGAGAGAUUCGGAUUUAUCGACAGAAGAAGUUCCUUCCAGCAUGCCUGUUAGGGAUCUGGAGAUUGGUUUAUGCCUGUGGCUGUUGCGGUUAUUCAACUCGGGGAAGCCUAUGUUUAGAUGUGCUGGUGUUUGACAAUGGAUUGGUUGUAAGUAGCCUUUGACAUUGAUAUAUAGAAUCAAGACGUGGACUUAUCUCGGGUCUGAAUUUAGAGCCGCGGAAGUGGUUCGGGAUCAGUUGCUCGUACCUGAGAGUUGUUCACUGUAUAAUACGGAAGUAAAUUCUUCUAUGGUUUCGCUGAUAUUGCCUGUUUGAUGUACUGAUUAGGCCGUACUAGCUGUAUCUACCUGCAGCUCGAGCCGGGCUCCAAGAGAUCUCGUUUCUCAGUAGAGGUGAUAGGCUGUCAGACGGAUUCUAACUUAGGUCCUGUUGUGUUGUCCGGGGUAUGGCGUUGCUCUGCAGGAUGAGGGCGAUAACCUCAUUGAUGCUCGGAGGGACGGCGUCAAUAUCAACAUAUUUUAGCAAAUAUAGUUGCGAUCUUGAAAAUUUCAGGUUUUUCUAUAGCUGAAUUCCUGUUACCUCAGGUUUAGAAUAUUCUUGCCUAACCAGUUCUAGGGAGUUCGGAUUGUGCAGGAAUGCUAGAUUACGAGCUUGAGGUCUCCUGCUGCGAAAGAAGUUAAUAUAUCUGGCAUUGUUAUCUCGCUAUUGGGAGCGAUGUUGACUAAUUUGCGGUUUCUGGUUAGAUAUAUUCGCCGUUCAUACUUCGGGGACUAACCUUAUCUAUCCAUACUAUAGAUGUGCAUGACAAGUAGCUUUAUAGGAUGCCCGGCAGAUAUAUACCAGGUUAAGAGGGUUAGAUUAAGCGCUACAUAAUUAAAUAAUCCAAUUUUAAUUGCUGAAAUCUCAGAUUAAAGCAACUAGAAGCAAUAGCUCAAAAGCAACACAUAAACGUCUACUCGAACGUCGAUAAUGGAGAAAAUCGAGUCGUUUACCUUCUCAAGCCUCCAACCAGCACCCUACUGGUUCAGGACAGCAAAGAGCCUUCCAAAACACUCCCUCACACGUGCACAAAGGUGCUGCAACGCUCACAAAUAGCGAAGAACGCACGCGGCGACGAAAACGAGCGAAAUCGGCGAACUCGACGUAGAGAGAGAAAAACCCUAGAGAGAGAGAGAGAAGAAGGGAAGAGAAGCUUUCCCAGAACUCUUGCAUACUCCACUGAAGUCCCAGAGCCGUGCUGGGAUCAAAUAGGUAGGUAUCCAAUGUGAAAUUACCAAAAUACCCAAGCUGCCACGAAUCUGCCAGCUUGUACCGGUACAAGGUGAUGGCUGUACCGGUACAGCAAGCAGAAAAAUGCUGAGAUUUCGCAGGUCAAUGCAUUUUCUUAUUUUUUGCAUUCCAAUCACUCUCAAACUUGUCCCAACACUUGUUCUAACCUUUUAGAACAUGUAGGAGUGACCCACACACCAUUCCACACACUCGAACUUCGCAAUUUGCAAAAGUUCAGUGUAUUACAGUCGCAUCCUAGACCAACUUUUAAAUCUUUUUGAAAUAAGGUUCCGUUGCAUCUAGUUAAAGAAAAUCUAGUGCUUUUCUUAAAAAUCGUCUUUUCAAAUAGGCCCGAAGCAUGACACUAUUCUUUAUUUAUUUUCUUUUCUUGAGUGUGUAUGCCUCCCCCUUUGAGAAGUCAUUCUUCAUUUCUUAUUUUCUGCUAAAAAGAAAAANUCUCACCUCCUCCCUCUCUCUCUCUCUCUAGAUAAGAUAUUCCCCUCCCUCUCUCAACCCCCCUCUCUCUCUCCUCUCUCUCUCUCUCUACCCCCUCUACUCUCUCUUCUCUUCCAGCUGUACCCUCCUCUAUCCCCCUCUCCUAUAAUCUUUCUCUCUUUCUCUCCAUUCUCUCUCUCUCUGCGAUGCCCCUUCUCUCUCUCUCUCUCUCUCUCUCUCUCUCUCUCUCUUAUCAAAAUGGGGUUUCGGCGGAGGUGGCAACGGCUUGGGCCGUGACAGCGGUGGUUGCGGCAGCGCCGUCGGUGUGGACCGCGACGGCAGCGGUGAUGGCGGCCACAGUGGAGGUUGGGAGGACGAGGGAGGGGUGCUCUCUCCUUCCCCUACUCUCUCUCUUAUCCCCUCCCUCCCACUGUCUUCUUUUGUUUUUCUUUUUAUUCUUCUCCUUAUUCUCUCUUUCUUCUUCUCACUACUUUCCUAUUCUGUUUUUUUUUUUUCUUUCUUUUGUUUUUUUUCACUUCUAACCUGACAAUAGAGAUGGCGCUUGGGUAGCCGAGCGGCGGCGGCUUUGGCCUCAUCGGCGGUGGGCACGGUGGCGGCUUGGGCGGCGGCGUUGGUGUCAACGUCGGCGGUCGCGGCAGCAGCAUCAACGACCGUCACUGCGGCAACUGUGACUAUUCUGAUGGAAUCUCAACGUAUGUAAAAUAAAUAGAAAAUAAAUACAUACCAAAAUCCAGGAUCAAAAUAAGAUAACUCACAGAGCGCCAUCGAGAAGAAAUUUCUGAUCAACUUGCGGAAGCGUGAAGUCCGGCUAUGAUCUGAAAGUCACGAACCGAACUUGGGUGAUUUGAUUUCUCCUCCUAUCUCAGGCACUCUACCGUAUGGUGUAGAACCGAUGGUAAUUCUUCACUAGAAUGCGUAUGAGAAGGUGGCAGGACCAAUACCCCUUUAUUUAGAGCCCAAAUCGACUUCCCAUCAAAGUAUGAUUAAGAUUCUAUUUAAAUUUAAGGUAGAUGGGAUAGGGAUAAAAUAUACCAUAUCAAGUAGUUCUAUAUCUGUUAGGAUUGACCUUUAUCUAUAGCAAAUCCAGAUUUGAAUAUAAUUAAUUGGGCCACAAUAUAUGGAAAUCCUAACAAUCUCCCACUUGGCUCAUAUUAAUCAUAUUCAAUGAACGGAUUUUCUAUACUCCAAUCUUUAUUGCACAUUAUUGGAAACUUAUUGUCAAAUACCUUAGAACUCACUUGAUCUUUAGCUCAAACUAAAAGACUACAAUGAUAGGAACUAUGACGGUCCACCUCUUCAUAACGAAAUUUUCCUUCCAUAAUUACCGUUUCAUCUUCACCUCCUAGCCGAGUACUUUAUAUGGCACAACUUUAUGAAUGAACUUAAACUGUAUAUUCAUUCGUUAACAGACGAAACUUUAUGUCUAUUAAAUGGUCCAACACAGCUGCAUUAAACUUUAAGUUUAUUGAAAGAAAAUAAGUAUUACAAUUUUAUACAUCGAAAGAACUAAUCAAACCCAUAUUUUUAACACAAUUUGUAUAUGACCCAGGUGCCGGCCCCUUGGUCAUUGGGUUUGCAAUCAUACACUUGGUACUGAUGUAUUCAAUUGUAACAUAACCUUCAUCUAUCUUCUCUCUCACAACAAGAAAUUUAGUGUCCAAGUGUUUACACCCUGCUGUAAUCUUGUUGUUAUUGGCAAAGGAAACCGCAGCUGAACUAUCACAGAAAAUCUUUAUUGGACGAGCAAUGGAGUCCACAAUUCUUAAGUCUGUGAUAAAAUUCCUAAGCCAAAAANAAACCUGUGAUGUGGUAUCGUAACAUGCAAUAUGAUCCAAAGUUCCUUUCAAAUACCUCAUAACCUUUUAGCAGCCUUCCAAUGCUCCAUACCUGGAUUACUUUGAUACCUGCCAAGUAAUCCAACAGCAAAAGCAAUAUCCGGACGUGUGCACGUCUGUGCAUACAUAAGACUACCAAUUGCAGAGGCAUAGGGUAUGCUUUCCAUCUGUUCAAUUUUUAAUUGGUUCUUGGGACACUGAAAAGCAUUAAGCUUAUCCCUUUUCUGGACAGGAGCAACACUGGGCUUACAAUUAUGCAUUUCAAAAUUUUGGAAAAGAAAUUUUUCAGUGUUAUGCAAUAGCCCAAGAUCAUUACUGGCAAGCAAAAAUACCAUCAACAUAAAGGACUAAGAAAAUUAUUUUACUCCCACUAACCUUUAGAUAAAUAUAUUGAUCAACAAUUUUUCCUUAAAACCAAAAGUUAAAAUAGUUAGUUCAAAUUUUUAAAUACUAUUGUCGGGAGGCCUGCUUUAGUCCAUAUAUUGAUUUCUUUAAUUUGCAUACCAAGUGCUCCUUUCCCUUUUGCAAGAAUCCUUCAGGUUGAUUCAUAUACACCUCUUCAUAGAGAUCCCCAUUUAAAAAGCAGUUUUGACAUCCAUCUGGUGUAGCUCGAGAUCAAAAUGAGCAACCAGAGUCAUAAUAAUACGAAAAGAUUCCUUUCUAGAUACUGGAGAGAAAGUCUCUUUAUAGAAUGCCUUCUUUUUGAGUAAAUCCUUUUGCCACAAGACGGGCCUUGUAUCUCUCUAUGUUACCUUUGGAGUCCCAUUUGAUUUUAGAAACCCAUUUGCAUUCUACAGGUUUAACUCCUAUAGGUAACUCAAUAAGAUCUCAUACCUUAUUGUGGUUCAUGGAUUCAAUCUCAUCAUUCAUGGCAUUGUACCAUUCCGUAGAAUUACUGUUAUUUAUGGCUUCGGAAAAACUAAAAGGAUCAUCUAAACUCUGGCCAUUCUCAUAAAGAUAGACAAUAUGCCGGUCUUCUCUGUCUUGAGGAUCUUCUUAAAUCCAUCUGAUUAUCCACAUGUACAUCUUGAUGUGAAUUAUUCACUUGUACAUCUUGAUGUAAAUUAUCGACUUGUACGUCUUGAUGUGAAUUUUUCACUUGUACAUCUUGAUGUGAAUUAUCAAUGAUAGGUUCACAAUGAUUUUGUGGUUCCAAAACGAUUUGUUGUUCUACUGGAAUAGAAAUCAUCAAAUCAUGAGGGACAAUAGUGGGUUUAUCAAGUACAGAAUCCGAAUGCUCUUUAAUUUCCUCAAAUUCAAUGAACCGAGGUUCAGAGCUCCCACUAAUUGCACCAUCCUCAAUAAACCGUGUUGUUUUAGUUUCUGCAAUCUUUAUAGGAAGUGAUGGACAGUAAAACUUAUACCCCUUGGAUUUUUCUGAAUAACCAAUAAAAUAUCCUGAUAUGGUUCUAGAUCCAAUUUUUUUAUUUGUGGAUCAUACAAUUUGGCCUCAGCUUGACAACCCCAUGUAUGAAAAAGUCUUAAGCUGGGUUUCUUACCUGUCCAAAGCUCAAAAGGAGUCUUAGUGACAGCCUUAGUAGGGACCCGAUUAAGAAUAUACAGGGCAGUUUUGAGUGCCUCACUCCACAAUAAUAUCGGAAGGGUAGAAUUACUGAUCAUACUCCUGAGCAUAUCAAUUAAUGUGCGGUUCCUUCUUUCAGCAACACCAUUUUGAUCAGGUGUCCCUGGCAUGGUGUACUGUGGAAUAAUUCCGCACUGCUCCAGAAACUUAGCAAAAGGCCCAGGGACUUGGCCUUUAUCUGUUUGUCUACCAAAAUAUUCACCACCCCUAUCUAAUCUGACUAUUUUUAUCCUUUUCUCGAGUUCAUUCUCUACUUCAGCCUUAUAUGCCUUAAAGGCAUCUAAUGCUUCAGAUUUUUCUUUAAGUAAGUAGAGAUAGCCAUAUCGAGAGUAGUCAUCAGUAAAUGUGAUAAAAUAUUUAUGGCCAGUAAUUGAAAUAGGAAGAGGUCCGCAUAUAUCAGUAUGAAUCAAUUCUAAUGUUCCAUCACAUCUUUUAGCACCUUUAGAAGAAGUUUUGGUCUGCUUUCCCUUUAUGCAGUCCACACAUAUUCCAAAGUCAGAGAAGUCCAAAUCAUCUAAAAUGUCUUCUCUAAUUAACCUUUGGAUUCUCUGUUUCGAGAUGUGUCCUAACCUCUUAUGCCAUAACAUGGAUGACCUUUCAUUAUUAAUGCCACGUUUUGAUCCAACAUUUUCGUGCAUGGUAAGAAGGGUAAAACAAUUUAUAUAGAUUAUUUUUUAAAAUACCAGAGCCAACUAUCUGAGAUUUAUAGAAUAAAGAAAAAACUUUAUUAUUAAAACUGAAACUAUAUCCCAAUCCAACAAGUUUCGAAAUAGAAAUUAAAUUCUUAGAAAAAUUUAGAACAUAAAAUGUAUCAACUAAAUCCAAAAUGUGACCAGUAGAAAAAACUAAUCUAAAUGUUCCUACAAAUUCUACUUUAGUUGGAUUUCCUUCAGCUGUAUAGAUAGUCGCUUUAUCUUUACUGGGUUUUCUCCGAUUCUGAAAUCCCUGCACAGAAUUCGCCACGUGGCAUGUGGCACCUGUCACGCCCCGAGACCGGCAGAGACCCUCCCGGUAACGUGCCCAGACCCGCCACAUGUCAACACAUAUAAGGCGUCUACAUCAACAGCGGAAAUAAAACCAAAGAUAAUCUACAUCUAGAGAUAUCAGAGCACAGAUAGUUCUAUAAUCUAUAAUAAGGUAAACGGAAAAUACUAAACAAUAGAAGUGAAAUAUAUAGUUAUACAAUAUCCGUCCAAAAAGGUACACAAAAUGGUGGUCUCUAAUACACUGGUACAGCUCUCGACCUCUCCAAAAAGAAAUACAUCGAGAGGUAGACCACCUAGCACUCGUCACUCGCUGAAGAGCUAGCUCGAAGCAACGCCCUUCCCACGGUCCCUAGCCUCUCCCGGCGUGGAAGGCUCUGAAAGGAAACAUAAAACAGAAGGCGUGAGAACUAUAAUUUAUAGUUCCCAGUGGGCAAUUACUAACCUCAGCUCUAUGCACCACUAGGCCCCAAAAGAAAAGGGGUAAGCAUUAUAAGCAAUGAUAAUAACGAUAACUGCAAUAAGAAAGUAUAAUGGAAUGCUAAGCUACUAUAUCUUAAGUAAACAUGAUGUAGGUAUGAUGUACAUCUACUCUAUCAUGAUGCCUGUACGUCCAACGGCAACAAGUGCUAUUGUCCAAGAUGUCAUACACAAAGAAUAAGCUCUAUCAAGCAACCCAGUAUACUAUGAUGCAAUGAAUGAAACAGGCAAGUAUACUAUAUAUCCCAAUGCUAUGUCAUGAGCAUGUCAAGUAAUCCAACUACUAAGCCUAUCCAGUAGUGAUUAUUCAUUCUCAACACUGUGUCGAUUUUCAUUUCCAAUUAAGGACCUACCAAAGGUAGUCCAGCUUGUGCCGCCUAAGUGCCUGUGGUAGCCCAACAUUCCUACUCUUGGAAUGUGUCUGUCCCACUCGACCCCGUAGGCUUCUCAAUAUCGCACGAGCGAACAUAGGUCGCGUAGGCCAACUCCGGAGUGCCGGCUUGUGGGGAGCGACCUUCACAAGCAUGUGCGAAUGAGCACAAAUGGCAAACAAGCAAGGUCAAAGUCUCAAGUACUCUACCCUCAUGCCUCUCACAUGGCAAGGUCACUAGCAUCCCAAGGAUCUAGUCCAAUGUCUCAAAGUGACGCUCCAAUGCACACACUUGUAUAGUGCCUCUUUAUGACACUUAAGCAUCACAACUAAUCAUGCCCAAUUCAUGUUCCAUAUUCCAAUUAAGACAAUAACAGCAAAGUUCACUUUAGCCCGGUCCCAAUGCCUCUUUAUGACAUUGGCCCAAUCUCUCAAAUAGUCUAAGUCCUCAAGCCUCUCUAGGCUUCCAAAAAUUCCUAAUGUCACAAUUGGCAUAUAAGCUAAAUGCAUGAAAGCAAGGUUCAUUUUCAUAAUAGGGAUCUUAGUUUCAAAUCUCAACCAGAAUGCUAUGUCACACAUGCAUACUCUCUACUACAUAGAGGUCCAAAAUUUUUACUAUAUAUAACAUAUGCAUGUUAAGCGUUCUAAAUUCAUAAUAAAUGUAUUUAGUAUGAAUAUGCAUGUAUUUCUACUAUACAAAGCAUAAAACACCGGAUAUGAGCAUUUCUCAUAUCAUAGGCUAGGCGAAACCCACCGAACCGUCGCGUAGUCUCUCGUUUCGCCGAACGGAGUUGUCCACGAGUCUCAAAAUAUCCUAAAAGCAUUGAGCGAAGAGAUACACGGGCAUUACGAUCAACUAUAAGAUCAAACAUUAACAACCAAGGCAAAAGGGCUAAAACUCACCUAAUGUGUAGAAAAUCUCCCUCGAGCUCCUAAAGAGAGUUAGAAUCCUUCCAAUCCAACCCAAAGGAAGAUUCUAAACCAAAUAAUUGAGCCUCAAAAUUCCUAGAAUCAAAAUGCCCAAAAUCAACCCUAAAAUCCCAUUCUAGGCUUUCAUCUCCUAAAAACCAACAAAUCAAGAUCUAGAGGAGGGAAAUGAACAACAAACCUCCUUAGAAGCUCCAAUUCAAGCUCCAAGGGUGAAGAUCUCCUCCUUUGCAAGUUCCAAGUCCAAGCCUUCAAGCACCAACAAGGUGGAAAGAAAAGGAGAGGGGAGAAAUGCUCCAAGUCUACCAAAAACCUUCUCCUUCUUCUUCUUCUUCCUUCUUCUCCUUCCUCUUCUCUCUCUAACAAGGGUGGGGGAAAUGAGUGUGAGGAGAGAAAUAAGAAGGAGAGAGGGUAGUGUGGCCAUAUAAGCCAUCUAGUGUAACAAAAUCCAGAAAACCCCUCAACUUUGCAUCCUGUGCAAAGCCCGGUCUGGGCAGAUUUCGAGCUGAGGGACCGGUCUCCCCGACAAGGGACCAGUCUCUCGGCCUGCCCCCAGAAAAACCACGUUCGGGAACCGGUCUCUCCCUGCAUGGGACCGGUCUCUCACUGCGUAGGCGCGCUCGGGGAUCGGUCUCGCCCGCCAGGGACAGAUUGCCCGGAGGCUGCCGCGACACUGCUCACUGGGGGACCGGUCUCUGCUUUCAGGGACCGGUCCCCGAGAGUAAAAACUCUCAGAACUCAUCCAGAACUCGGGUUUUCGGACUUUUUAGGUCGGAAAACAUUUUACGACCAUCCACCAAGUGUGGAAAACCUCAAAACACAACCAAUCACUCGAACCUCGCAAUUUGCAAAGGUCUAGUGUGUUACAGCACCAGAGUCAAUCCACCAAGUAUUAGACGGAACUGAAACUAAAUGCAACUCAUGCAUCAAAACCAGAAAUUUACCUUUCUUCUGGAGCCAUUUCUGAUACUUUUGGCAGUCCUUCUUUAUAUGACCCCUUUUCUUACAAAAGAAGCACUUGGGAGUCUAAUUACUUGAUUGGCCUUGUGAACCAGAUGGAACUUCCUUAUUCUUUCUUUUUGAGUCAUUCUUGCCCUUGCCAUUCUUAGCACGCUUUAUUUGUCUCUUCUGAGAAAUAAAGUUGACUGCAUUUUGUUUAUCUUGUAUUAAUCUGCCUUCCUCUUGCACACACAUGGUCAGCAAUUCAUUAAUUGACCAUUUAUCUUUAUGUGUGUUAUAAGAGAUCUGAAAUGGUCCGUAUUCAGAUGGCAAAGAGUUCAAAAUAAAGUGCACUAAGAAUGAAUCAGAGAUGGUUACUUCAAGUGCGGUGAGUUGCGCUGCAAUAUCUCGCAUUUCCAUAAUAUGCUCGCGAAUCGAGCCAUUUCCGGAGUACUUCAUGGAAGACGGUUUAUUCAUUAAGGUGCUCGCCAAGGCUUUAUCGGAGCUUACAAAUUGCUCCUCAAUGGCCUUUAGAUAAUCCUUGGCUUUAUCACAUUUUGGGAUUGAUCCCCUUAUGCUUUUUGAUACCCUUGACUUUAUGAGCAUCAAACUUAAGCGGUUGGAUCGCUCCCACUUUUCCUGCGCGGAUUCCUGCUGUGGAGUCAUUGGCCCCACUACCUUAGGCGGUUGUUCAGCACGCAGAGCCAAAUCUAAAUCCAUAUAACCCAAAAUGAACAUGAUCUGUUCUUUCCACUCCGAAUAAUUAGAACCAUUAAGUAUAGGAACAGAUUCACCAAUAGGAACAGAAAAUGGAGUCAUAGCUGAAAAAUAAAAUGCAUGCUUUAUCAAUAAAAUACCACAUCAUAAAUUACCACACCAAAAUUAGAAAAAUACACUUUAUAUGACAUCACAACCCCUCCUUUGGGAGCAGAGUUAUGAGCAUAAGUAUUUUUCGUUCUUUAUGCAUAUGUUUUAUAUGACAUCACAACCCCUCCUUUAGGAGCAGAGUUCUGAGUAUAAAUAUGCAAUCUCUUUAUCAGAGACUAAUUUAAACCCUUUUGUAGGUCUUGAUAAUUUCAAAUUUCUCAUAUGAAAAAAUCGUCAGCUUUGGCCAGGCAAAUUUCUCCAAACGAGUUAUAAGAAAAUUACCAUCCUACACCACCCAUGUACCUUCAUGUCUAGACCUCCUUUGGGAGCAGACUAAACAUAAUAUCAGGGUGCAAUUUCGCAUGCACCUCUUUAAAGCAAUUAAUUUAUCUUUUCUUCCGGUCGGGGCCGCCUUGGCUUGCACCCGAAUAGUUGAAGCAAUAAACUAAUCUGACUUAGUGCUGAAUGAUUAACAUGAAAAUUAUCCUGAAGCGCUACUUUAAAGUAAAUUAAAUUAUUAUUUCUUUUAAUUAGGGCCGCUUUGGCUUGCACCUAACCAAUUGAAAUAAUAAAUUAAUUUAACUCAGCGCCGAACAUUAAAUAAUCGAAAACACUUAUGAUUAUUUAAUUUUCAUGUUCAUCCGGUCAAAAUAAGAAUAUCGAUGCGAUAAUUUAAAACAUGACAUCGCAAUCAAAUUUAAACUUUAUAUAUAUUCCAAUUUGACCUCAAAUAUAAUAUAAAUAGAUUUAUGACAAAUUAAUAUUGUAUGCAAAAUUAAAACCCUAUGUGAACGGAUUCUAUAUAUUCACGAUAAUUUAACAAGCAAGAGGAUCAAAUUUUGAUGAAUAAAAAAGGUUAAAUAAUAAUAAUAAUAAUAAGCUUAUAGUUAAAACAAACCCUAGCAAUAAAAAUUUUCAAAAGCAGCCAUGACGGAAUCGACGUGUCAUUAUAGGCCGAAUUUGUGACGGGACAAAAUUCAAACUUUUCCCAUGUAAUUGACCCAGUCAAUACGAUUAUGGAAAACCAUGUUUAAAUACAAAGCCGCGGAACAUACACGUGCUCAUAGCGGUUAAAUCCAAUCCAUGUAGCAGCCAAGCGACAUGCAACUCUUCGAUACCAUAUUAACCCAAUCUCUCAAGGGUUAGAGAAGCACCAUGCAUAAUCAGGACAUCGCCACAACACCGCAUCAUGAGCACGCAGCAUGAUUUCAAAACGUUGCCGACCAUAAUUUAAUUUGCACACAAAUUAAAUUCAUAUAACAUGCAAGAUAUAUAAAAUCCAAAGACUAGUCAAUAUGCAACACCCUAUGUGCAAUGCGACGACGUUACAUCACCUUAAUUAGGAUCGAGAAUGCAAAACCUUUUUUUUUUUUUUAAUCUUAAAUUCAUCAUAAUUUGAUCCAAUUACUUAAUGCAUACAAAAUUUAAUUUAUCAAUCUUAUACCAAUUGAUGGAAUCUCAAGGUAUGUAAAAUAAAUAAAAAAUAAAUACAUACCAAAAUCUAGGAUCAAAAUAAGAUAACUCACAGAGCGCCAUCGAGAAGAAAUUUCUGAUCAACUUGCGGAAGCGUGAAGUCCGGCUAUGAUCUGAAAGUCACGAAUCGAACUUGGGUGAUUCGGUUUCUCCUCCUAUCUCAGGUACUCUACCGUAUGGUGUGGAACCGAUAGUAAUUCUUCACCAGAAUGCGUAUGAGAAGGUGGCAGGACUAAUACUCCUUUAUAUAGAGCUCAAAUCGACUUCCCAUCAAAAUCUGAUUAGGAUUCUAUUUAAAUUUAAGAUAGAUGGGAUAGGGAUAAAAUAUAUCAUAUCAAGUAGUUCUAUAUAUGUUAGGAUUGACCUUUAUCUAUAGCAAAUCCAGAUUUGAAUAUAAUUAAUUGGGCUACAAUAUAUGAAAAUCCUAACAUAUUCUCCUUUUCUUUUUUCUUUUUUUUUUUUUUAACUCUUCUCUUCAUUCCCUUUUUCUUCUUUCUGUAACUGCCACAUCUUCUAGGAAAGCAGUGUCGACAGUCACAGCGGCAGUGGCGAUCGCGGCGUCAACACUAGCAGCUGUCAUGGCAGCGGCGGGGCGGCGACUUUUUUCCAUUCUUAUUUUUUUUACUCCUUAUUCUCUAUAUAACUCUUUUUUUUUCUCUCUUUUUUUUUUUAAUUUGAAAGAUAAGUGUCACUUCAAAAUUUUAAUUUUACUAUAAAUUUAUUUUUUUUAAAAAAUUAUUUUAUACUUGAACCAAACACAUCUUUAAAUGAUUAUUUAAAGAAGUAAUAAUUUUAUUUUUAUUUUUAUUUUUAUUUAAUUAUUUUUGAAGAUAGUAUAUUUAUAUUAUAUAUCCGCAGCGACGCUGGUUCUACACUAGUAUAUAAUAAUGCUCAGUACUUUUGGGUGAGUAGAAAUAUAUUAACUAUUCAUAGCUUUUAGUGCNNNNNNNNNNNNNNUAAUAUUCAAAAACAGCAUUAAAAUUCAAAAUAAUGAUCAACUUUAAAUUUUAAAUUUAGAUUUAAUUUAUAUUGUAGUUAAAAAAAUAAAUUUUAUUAACUAUUUAAACAUAAAGUUUUUAUGUUUGAUAAUUAAUUUUAAAUUAUAAAUCACUAAAAACUUACGCCCUAGAAUCAUGGAGAAAACGAAUUUUAAUUGAUUGGAUAUCCAAUUUUGAUGACCGAUUUUAAUAAUAAUUUGUGAUGACACUAGAUCAUAAGUUUUUAGUGAUUUGUAAUUUAAAAUUAAUUAUCAAACAUAAAAAUUUUAUGUUUAAAUAGUUAAUAAACUUUAUUUUUUAACUAUAAUAUAAAUUAAAUUUAUAUUUAAAAUUUAAAUUUGAUCAUUAUUUUGAAUUUUAAUGUUGUUUUUGAAUAUUAAAUUAACAAUUUGAAUUUAUUUUAAAACAUAUAAACGUUUUAUUUAAAUAAAUAAUAAAAGUUGGAUUUAUAAGUAUUGUAUAACUUAAAUUACAAUUUAAAAUAGAUUAAUAAUAAUUUUGAACUUUCAUGUUAUUUUAAGAUUGAAUUUCACAAUUUGAUUUGUAAUGUAUUCAACAACAACAACAACAACAGCAGCAGCAGCAGCAGCAGCAACAACAAGGAGAGAGAAGAAACAAGGGAAAGAUCAUUCAAAUUUUAUUUAGUAGAAUACUGUCCAACUUGUUAACGUUGCAGUACUAGUUAUGAAGAGACAACGCCAGCUCAUCCCACGUGGGAGACCCACCAACUUGCGAGAAGAAUAUUAUCCAAAUUGCGAGAAGAAGACUGGCUCCUCAUUUUGUUUGGUUGGUCAACGCACAGCUAUGUAUGCAUUCAUACAUCUGUAGAUCGAUGUAGAUAUAUAUCACUCGGUAGCCAAUUUGAGAUCCGCUCAAAAUUAAUGGCGGAAACUUCGAACGAUCAGGAACUUGCGGAGCGCGGCGACGCUGUAGCGGAAUUAGCUGCCCCCGACGAGUUUGUGGAAGUCGUCUUAGAUGUCAAGGACGACAGAGUAGACAUCGCUGAGGUGAAGCGGCCUGUUGCGAGUACUUGGGGAGAUCAAUACCGACGAGGGCGCGUAACAGAGGAAUUGCGGCGGUUGGCGUCUGCUAGUCGGCCUGCUCGACGUCUGGACAGAGCCGGAAGCAUUCUCGACGUCAUCGAGCACCCGAACGACUGGGGCGCCACCUACUCCGACCGGGAGUCGGACCGCAACGGGCGCAGAAGGAAGAAGAAGAGGAGCGGUGGCGGCGGCGGCUUCGACGACAGCGACGACGAUGAUGCGGCUGCAUCAGCGGCGGCGCCGGAGAGGGAGCUGACGCGCUUCGCCCUCCGCAUCGCCAUCCUGGAGAAGGCCGCCAGCGGCGUCGGCACGCUGGCGUUCGUCUGGGCCACCGUCGUGCUGCUCGGCGGCUUCGCGGUGCUGCUGCAGCCCAAGGACUUCUACUUCGUGACCGCCAUCGUGCUCAUCGAGGGCACCCGCGUCUUCACCCGCAACCACGAGCUCGACUCCGGGUUCUUCUUCCGGGCCACCAAGGCCGUCUUCGAGCCCUGCUCCGUCUCCGGGAACGUCGGGUGGAUCCUCACGUCGCUGCAGCUCUUGUCGGCCACCGCGUGCGCCGCGCUCUCCGCGAUGCGCCUCGUGGAGCAGCACUACGGCGACGUGGAUCAAGACGCCACCAAAAGGAACCGGGCGCCGGCGCUUGACAUCUUCUACGGGCUGGCGCUGGCGCAGGCUCUGCUGUUCCUCAUAGAGAAGGCCUACUGGCAUUGGAAAAUUUCAUACGGCCAGCUGCUCGAGCAGACUCGCCGCGCCUGCGGCUUCGGUGCCUCGGGGAUCGUCUCCCUCCGCCGCUUCUUCCACAACGCCUACUGGAAAUGCAUUUCCGGGAGCGUGUUCGACGCCCUCGACAUGGACCUGACCUCCUUCGCGCUGGCGCUCGUCAAUUCGGAGUCCCGCGGCGAGCAGCUCAUCGGCGCCAGGGUCCUCCACAGUUACGUCAAGCACGAGCUCUACGCCGACGACACAGUCGACCGGAUUGUAACCUCGGUGCAGACCGUUCGGAGGUUAGUCGCGAUGCUCGGCUGGAAAAGUCCGGCGGACGUGGAGAUCAGACUGCACGCUGCGACGGUCGUGGCGAGGCUGGCUGGUGACAAGCGCAGGGUGCUCCGAGUCAUCGGGAUUCCUGGAGCAAUGCAGUCGAUAGCUUCGCUGCUCCACGCGGGUAAGCGCGAGGACGAUCACGACGAAACAUACUACGCGUUCAACCUGCUCGGCCUGCACAUUCUCAAGCACCUCUCCCACGACGUCGACAACUGCAGACAAAUCCGGAACACGAGAGGCCUCCUCCCGAAGAUAAUAGAGUUCACCAGAACUAGCCCAAGCCUGCUGCAAGACGAGCGGGUUCCGGUGGUACGGAUCACAUUAGUAAAGAGAUCGCUGAAGGUGGUGAUGAGACUAGUAAGCACGGCCGGCAAGACAGGGAGAUUGCUCCGGAAGGAGAUAUCGGAUAACAUCUUUGCGGUGAUCAACCUUCGGGACAUCCUCAGGUACGGGAAGAACCAUCCCGCACUGUCGAUGUUGGGGAUCGAGAUCCUUACCGGCCUCGCGAUGGAAAAGGCUGCGAGGAGGAAGAUCGGGAGCACCGGCCAAGUGAUCGAGCUGCUGCUCUCUAACUUUUUAAGCCCGGAGGGUGGGGGCGUGCAGGCGAAAAUAGUUGUAGAGGCCGGAGAUGCGCUGGCAAUGCUGACGACGGAGAGCAAGAGCAACUGUGCGGAGAUUUUAAAGGGGUCGGAGGAGGUGGUGACGCAGAUUGUCAGUCUUCUCGAUGAGGAUGCCUUCAGAGUUUCUGCUUCAAAGUUGCUGCGGAAUUUGUGCAUGUACGCGGGGUCGGAGUUCUGCAAUCGCCUCAGGGGAGUUCGUGCCGCCCUACCCCCGGUAAGACUGUCUUUGAUUGGUUUUAUUGAUUGCAAAUAACAACCAAUAGAAAUUACAUGACAUGUGAUGCAAGAACUAGAUAUUUUGCCCUGCUAUGCAAUGGCUCUUUUUUGUUAAAUAGUAUUACUUAAAAUUGCAAAAAUAAAAAAUUUGUGAUAAAUUUUAAAUUUGGAGAAUAAAUUUAGGGCAUUGUGCUUUAAUAAGGACCAUAAAAUCUAAACAUAAUAAGAAUUUUUUACUUUGAAGUUGCAUAAACGGUGCAAAGUUAUCUCAAGGCACUAUUUCAGUAUAACAUAGGUAAAUUACAUGCAACACUUUGAUAUUAAAAAUUGAAUGCAUCAUUUAUCUUCACAUAUUUAGUUAGUAUAUUAUAUAUAUUUCUCGCAACUAAUAUAUAAACUCAUCAUUGAAGUUAGUAAUUAGCUUAAAUUUUCAAACCAAAGUAUCAUCAGCUGACUUAAAUCAAAAAAACUAAAAAAAUAGGUCGUAAAAUUAAAAUUUUGAAAGGUUGAAUAGCCGAUUCAAAGCGAAUGAUAGUUUAGAUAAGUUCUGUGCAUUUUUGCAUAUAAUAUAUACUAGAUUUUUCAAAAAUUUCAAGUACAGAAAUAUUUUAUUUUUGUGAUUUAUUUAUGCAGGUAUUGGAAGCAAUUAUGACAAAAGAAGGGAAACUACUAGAGGUCUCAAUCGACCUCAGCGUGGAGAUCUGCAAACUGAUAGGUCCCGAAGAUUAUGCGAAGGAAGUAGAUCAAUUAGGCAUUAAAGCGAUCGAGCUCGCGAACAGACUUGCGCAGAUACUACGUAAACACGACCGCUCGACCGUUAAGCUUCCGAGAAUAAGGAGGUUUGUGAUCGAGCAAGCAAUUUGGCUGAUGAAAUCCGACAGUAAGUAUAGCGAUCUGUUUACACUACGCGGGAUGGCGAGGGAGAUGGAGUAUGUAGCGCGAACUACUUCGGAGCUUGAAUCUUUCAUGCUUUUCUCUGGAAGUGUUGGAGUCAACAAGUACAGAAAAUCUAUGGCUUCUCUUGUGCAAACAGCCAUAGGAUUGAUGGGAGUACCUCAAGAAGUAGAAAGACUUACAAUUCCCCUUCCACAUUAAAUCUUCGUUGAUAGUGGGAAUAAAUUCGUAAGUCGGAUCGACUAAUAUGCUUUAAAAUGGUUUUAGCUUUAUAUAUUCCUUUUCUGAUUUUUCUAUGUCGCGGAGUUGAAACCAAGAAAUAUUUGUUACUUUCCUGAUGUUUCCGAACGUUUUCAAUAAAACCUUCUUGUAGAAGUAUUUUAACAAUGUUUUCGGUGAUAUCUGUAGAUGCUAUUCGAAUCCUUCCUUUUUUACUCAUGUCAACAUUUUUUAUAGAAGUUAUUAGAUCGGCAAUAGUGUUCCUACCCAUGACGAAAUAGAAUUAUAGGUUCCUCCUAAUUUUGAUAUAAUCAACAUGUUUCCUUUUUUGUUUUUAAGUAUACGCGAGAGACACAAUCUACUAAUUUGAUUUAUUUGACAGGUAAAUGAAAUCAAGAUCAUCACAAACUUAUUCCGCCCUGCGCCGUCUACGAAGAUCUUACGAACUCAGCUAUUCGAUGAAUGAGAUUCAUUUGAUAAGAAGAUCGAUUUCUCUACUAUCAUUGUCAAAAGUAAAUCAUUCAGUUUGGACAUAGAAGAUAAAUCUCACAUGUUAUUAGGACGGAACAUUAAUAUUCUUUAUCAGGGGAUCAAAACUUGUCUUACGAUAUUUCAAUUAAUCUAAUACUCUUGUAUCUAUCUAGAGCAAGCUAAAAAAUGUAUAAACUCAUCUCAAGUAUAAUCCAUUUUGAUUUAAUUACAUGACCUGUAAUUGACCGUCCUUAGCACAAGUGGCAAAGGGCUUGAUGGUUGGUACCUGAGGUCCGAAAUUCGAAUGCUAAUUGGUUCACAUUUCUAGCUAGGUUUAUUUCUAAAAAAAUAAGCGAAGUAGGUAACAUGCUAUCUUUCUCUUAAAAAAAACUAUUAUUGACCCUUUAACUUUAAAAUUUAAACGCAUCAUUUAUCUUUAUGGGUUUAAUUAAUAUAUUUUGUGCAAUUUAAGUAAUUAUAAAUUAAUUAAAGUAUGCAAUUAGCUUAAAUUUUGUGUACAAAUAACCACAAAAUUAUUUAAAUCAAACAAAUUAAAAAAUUGGGUACUAAAAUCAAAAUUUUGAAAAGUGAGAUGGUCGAAUCAAAAUAUAUAGUCUAUAGUUCAGCUAAAUUUUAUACAUUUUUACAUUAAAAUAAUCACUUGGUGGAUUAAUUUUGGCCUCUUUGGCAUUGUUGUCUUUUUCUUUAAAGAAAAAAACAAUUUUUAUUUGAAAUAGUAUAGAAGUGGAUGAUGAAUUGCUUGCAAAUUUUGCAUAAACAUUAUUUUUUUGUAGUUUUACAUGGAAUGAAAUAGUUCCUUAGUCUAAAUAGGGUAGGUCUCUGCUUGUCAGCUUUAAGAUGCCCAAACUCGAAAAAAGAAAAAAACAAAAUUAGGUAUCGUUUUUUAUCAUAUGUCUUGCAUUUAAUUUUGUAUAGCUUUAAAAGAUAUAAAGAAUCUAGCUACUAUACUAUCGAUAGCAUGGAGGCAUUCGUGCUCCCAAGUUGUUUUCGAUGAUGCGCCUACUGAAUCGACGAUCAGCUCUAUUAAAUAUAAUCUAUGCUACUGGAAAUAUUUAAAAACCAAAAUUUAUAUUUUUUGGAUGCUAUUAGUGAUCAAAAUGUCUCAAAAUUGAUAAUUUUAAUGAUCGAUAUGAUGCAUUUGUGAAUUUAACGGUGUAAAAUAAUUUAAAUCCGAUGAAUUUUUUAUAGAAAAUUCUCUUCACUAUUUAGAGUAAGAUCAAUACCUCGAAUCUUAAAUUCAAAUCUUUUGUUAUCAUAUUUUAUGAGAUUUUUAUAUUCAACCAUUCAUUUUUAGGCUACUCGUUUAAUAGGUAAAUAAUGUUGAAAAAUUAUAAAAUUUAAUUUCUAAACACUUUCAAUAACGUGGAUCAAAUCUAAUGGAGCCAAAAACAACUUGAUAGUCGGGGGAGGCCUUCGUGCUACCGAUAGUAUAGUAGCCAAACUCAUAUGUAAAUCAACAAAAUAAAUUUUAUUUUGUUUUCUCAAAUUAAGUUUUAUAAUACUAUAUCCAAUAUGAGCGAUCAAAAUAGCAAUGUAAUUAGCAACUUUGAUUGAGGAGAGGGCUUAUUGAACUAUAUGAUAAGUUUUGUAAAAGCUAAUUGCUAAAAUUAAAAAAUUAAUAUUACUAUUAUUCUACACAAGUACUAAAGUUUAGGAGCAUUUUGUAUAUUUCUCUGUUUUGAUAAAUAACAAUGCAAGUGGUACACCCCUAAAGCGGAUACAAAUCAUAUACAUAAUAGGGAAAACUUCAAAAACCCCCCCUGUGGUUUCGUGCAUUCUCACUUUGCUACCCUGUGGUUUAAAACGUAUCAAUUUACCCUCAUGUGGUUUCAUUUUUAUCUUUUCGGAAGCUUUUUCGUUAAUAUUUCGUUAAAUUAUAUACAAAAAACUUCAGAUAACCAUCUAUAUUUAUCGAAUAGUCACUUUAGUAUCCUUUAAUUUUAACUUUGUCACUGAUUUUAAAAAAAAAUAAUAAUAAAAUUGAUAACAAAAAGAUAAAAACGAAACCACAGGGGGCCAAAUUGAUACGUUUUAAACCACAGGGUAGCAAAGUGAGAAUGCACGAAACCACAGGGGGGGUUUUUGAAGUUUUCCCUAGUAUUUUCAUCCAAGGGCAAAAAGUUGGGAGCGAAUGUUGUCUUUUCAUUGAUCAACACUGACUAGUAUUCCUAAUUAUGGUGGGCCGAUCCGCCCAAUCAAGGGAUGCACAUUGAGGCCUCGUUUGGAUACCUCUAAAAACGUAGCAUAGUUAAACUAUACUACGCCGGUAGGAAAAUAAUUCUAUAAAGCAUUUGGAACAAAAAAAAAUAAUAUAAUUUUUGGAGUAUAGUUAUCCAAAAAAUAGAGUAAACUUACAAUCCACUUUAACCAAAAGAAAAAAAUUCCACCAUUCUGGGCUUCCAAAGAUGUAUCAAUUUCUACUUUCAAAUUUUAAAUUUCAAAUUUCAAAUUUCAAAUUUCAAAGAGUUCAAAUUUUAAAUUUCAAACUUCAAACUUCAAAUUUUAAAUUUCAAAUUUCAAAUAAUUUGUCUUCAAAUAGGUUGUUAGAGCUGGUCCUAUAAUUAAUUUGUCUGCAAUGUCGCAGCAAGCGAAGGACAGUAAAUAGAUUUAAAAGUAUUUUUUGUAAUUUGCAAGUGAUCUGCGCCAAAGAUGGUGAAAAAAAUUAUUUCCUCCAAAAUCUACCUUGAAUCCACCCCAUAAAGUUCCAUCUCAAAUCCUUAUCGACUAAAUAUUUAAAUUAUAAAACAAUUUUAAUUUUCUUAAGAAUAUUAUUUGAAUUUUAAACAUGAGUUCUCUCCCAAAUAAUAUAUUGUGAUUUAAAAGAUAGUUUUCUAUGAUAGAUUUAUUAUUCUUUAGAUUUUUAUUUUAAUUAAAUAAUAAAAAAUUAAUGAGAAAAACGAGAAUGCUAUUGAUAAUAUAAAAUAGUGUUUGCUAUCUACUUUAUAUCCGCUUGAAGAAUGUAGCGGAAGUAUUCGUUCGUACCUUUUUGCGGAAGUGACUCGCGUUAGAAUUAACGCGAUGGGUCCGGAUCGUAAAGGUUGAUUCACGUGUUCUCGGAUCAUCCACGAAGGUCUUUUAUCGUUUCAAACUCAUGGUGGAUCGAACUACAAAUAAGCACGAUUUUCAUUCCACCGUUCAAGACCCUCUAGAAUAAUAGGUUAAUGGAGAAUGUGGUUUCUACCUUUCUCUCUUGGUUUUCUUGUUGUUUUUCUUAUGAGAGAUAGCCCAUAUAUUUAUAAGGGAUUCCAAAAUCCUAGCUAAUAGGUACGUAAGAGAUAAGACCAAAUCAGUUUAUAAUUAUUAUCCUAAUAUUAUUAGAAUUUAUCUCUAAUUAGCUUUCUAAUUUAAAAGCGAGAUUAAUUCUAAUCCAAUUAGACAACGUAAUAACCGUCAGAUCGAGUUCGAUUAUGGGCGCACCCGAUUCGAUUUAACCGAAUGCCAACAUCUCCCUCUCGCAAAUGACGUGAUCGAUGCCAUCGUAACCACUUCCUCAACAUUACACCACUAUUGAUUCUAUUCAUACAAGAAAAUGAACAGUGCGACCAGCAAGUCAACCUGUAUUUUGGGUGCUCUAUACUGGAAACUGCAUACAUUCAACAUAGAGACAUUGUAAUAUACUGAAACUUCGGUAGAGUAUAUCGAACUUUCGUCAAAUUGACCAAAGUGUGUGAGAGAAAUAGUUGGACAAAGUCUAUCUGACAUUCCAACAAUGUUGGAAGAGUUAGAGUUGAGUUUCGAGUGAGUUAGAAGGGUUUUAGCUUUGCUCGGCGCGAAUUAGAGUCGAAACAAUACAAAACUGCAGUCUGGAGUAUUGUUAACCGGUAAAGCAUCGGGGUAGUACCGGUAGCAGGCAGGCACCCAAGAGUAGCAGCUCUCGGGUUUGCCUCUAUCAAGUUGCUUAACCAGUAAAUCAUCGAGGGUGUACCGGUACCCCGCAGCCACCCGAAAACAUCAACUCUCGGGUUGGACAGUUGAACAGGGGGCGUACCGGUAACUCUCGGGUUGGACAGUUGAACAGGGGGCGUACCGGUGACGCCCACCCGCGUACCGGUACCCUGCACCCCGAACAGCAGGGUGAGUCUGCUGCAAAUAAGAGAAGUUGGAGGGUUUAUUUGCUAUUGUAGCAGCUUAUAAAGAUCCCACACUCUCUCCUCUCUUGUUCACAGCCAACACAACCUCUUCUUUCUCAUUUCUCUCCCUUUCUCUCUAGAAGCUCUCUCCCAAGGUGGGUUAGAUGUGGAUUUGGAGGAGAACUUGGGGAUUUGAAGGAGAUUUUGGAGCUUGGAAGGUUCUAGGGCUCUCCUAAAAAGUGGAGCUUGGAGACCUUUUGGGCUAGGGUGAGGUUUCUUGUAAGAUUGAUGUUAGGGUUUGGUUUUAUACCCUAGAACACUUGGAUUUGAUCUUCUUAAAUGAAAGGAAACCUAGUAGAGACCAUGGAACUCAUGAAAAUCCAUGGUUGUCCAUGUGCUCUAUGGUAGAUGUCUAGGAUUUGGUUCAAAUGCCCUAAGAAUGGUUUAAAUGGUUCUAAAUGAGUUUCUAGAUGAUAACUAAGCUUGCUUUUGCUAGUCUUAGAAAUCAAAAUGGUGUAUUCGGCAAAUGGCAUUGUUAGAGCACCAAAAUUAGGGCUUUUGUUCUAGAUGAGUUUGAAUGUAAAUUAACCAUGUAGAAACCAAAUUGAAGGUAUUUUCGACGCGUUGGUGGGCUCGGUUUCGAAAAUCCGACAAGUCUACGCCAAGGAUUUGGGGAAAAAGGCUAUUUUGGCUUCAAUUUGCCACAGGCGAGAGAAUAGGCGGCCAAAAAUCACGAAACUCGAACCGUGGCACCCUAGUAACCAUACGAGGUUGGUUGUGCUUCACCGAAGUGAUUACAUCACUUCCAAGCCAAAGUGAAGUAUGAUUGUUGUUGAUGCAUGUAUAGUUGGUAGGUUGUACAUGAUAAUAUGAAUGCAUAAAUAUCAUAUUAUGCUUGAUGUUGUUACCUACCAUGAGAUGUUAUAUAAGUGCAUGAAGUAGAGGCUAAAGAAUGCAUUUGAUAGGUGCAAAUGAAUGCAUGAGACAUAUGUUAGAAAAAUUCAUGAGCUAGAUACUAAGUAACAUGUAUGAUAUAGAUGUUAUAUAAAUGCAUGAUUGAGAUGCUAAUAAUAAAUGCCUAAGAUAUAUGCUCACGAAUGUAUAAGAUAUAUGCUAGUCAAGAAUGCAUGAGGUAUUUUGAUUAUCAUUGAAUGAUAAAGACAUGGGCACGAGUAAGUAUAUAAUAUAUGUAUGCCUAGAUAUGAAUGUGAACUAAGAUCGAUGAACUCUAAGUAGAGUAAAGAACUCGAUAAGUGUAGCAUGUCAAGUAUGAUUCCUAGGUAUGGACAACUAGAAAAACAAGAACAUGAGUGGCAUUAAACCUAGAGUCAAACAGACUUAGGAUGGAAAUGACAUUCGACCUAGUGUUAUAGAACCUAGGCUAUGAACAUAGGGACAUUGGACCUGAUGUAUUAAACUUAGGUUGAGUAGAGGCUUGGAUCUAGAUAGGUCAAUACUAUAGAGUAAGACUAACGCUAGAGAUGUGAAUGUGGAUUCCGGAAUUCCGGCUGCGAAUGCAGCGGCUGCUAGUGCAGCAUAUGAGCUCGAUAGUUCUUGGCCGCGGGUGCAUGUGGCUUGUUCCUCUCCCACCGGAAGAACUUCGAGGAUUGUGAUUGAGCAAGAUUCUUGGCCGCGGGUGCAUGUGGCAUGUUCCUCUCCAACCGGAAGAAUCUUUGAGUGCUAGGGUGUAUGUGGCAUGUUCCUCUCCCUAUCGGGGAUCUCGGCUGCAGAUGUAUACGGCAUGUUCCUCUCCCACCGAGGGAUCCCUGACCACGGGUGUAAGCAGUUCUUCGCGACCUGUUGGGCGAUGUGGUUUGUGGAUUGAAGGCUGAGGUGCAUAUGAUAGUUCCUUCACCUCGAGUCUGACUGAGCGCGGAUUAUCCGCAGAUGAUUGACUCAAGACCGAGUCGAGUGGCAUAGUUGGCUAAGAUAAAAGUAAUCUUAAGAAAGAUUGGCAAGUGACCAUAAUGUGGCUAAGAAUAAAGAAUAAAGAACGACUAAUGCAAAGGUAUAGCAACAGUAAAGAAUAACUGAGAAUAAAGAAUGGCUAAGGAUAAAGAACGAAUAAUAAUAAAGAAUAGCAAAUGAUAGAGAGUAGAAUCAAUUAAUCUACUUGCAUGAGUUGCAUGAUUUGCAUAUUGCAUAUUGUGAGGCAUGAAUAUGAUAAAUGUUAGUUGCAUAAAUUAUAUAUCUAUGGAUAUUUGUUGGACUAACAUGUUUGCAGUGCCUCUUUUGGACCUGGUGGGUCGAGCUCUUUUCUUGGGUGGUCGUACCCACUGGAAACUAUGGACAAUAGUUCUCACCCCAGUGUUGUUUUUGGGGGUUACAGGUUCACACGCGAGAGGCGCGGCGGUGCGAGGAAAGGGCAUAGCUCCGUAGUUAGCGCUCUACCACCGAGAUCAGAGAUAUCAGUACCCUGAGUCAGCUACUUAGGGAUGUAAAAGAAAAGAAAAGCACAAAGCUGUAAUAAUCUUAUUAAAGCUAGAUUGUAUUUGGAAGCUAAAAAGAAUUAAAGAUGUAAUAUGUAAAUGUAUAUGAGUUGAAUGCUUGUAAUAGCAUAAUGGUUAUGUUUUUUAUACCUUCCUUAUGCAAUCUUUGUUGUAUGCUGUUCCUGGUUGGAACUUCGCGCAUUGUAUGAUUGUGACGCUUUGGACGUACAGGGGAGACUCUGUCCGCGGUACAGGAAAAACCCUGUCCGUUCGGCGGUCUGUUGGCGUGCCCGAAUCCGACCAAAUAGGCGGGCUCGGGGCAUGAUAGAUAAGAUGGCAUCAGAGCAUAAAAAGAACAUAAAAGAGAAUAAUAGAAAUGGUUUAAUUGGACCUAGGAGGCCCUAGGAUAGUAAACCAUAGGAGAUUAAGGCUCGUGAGAGACGAGGACUUAUUGGCUUAUGGUGAAAGAUGAACCGAUUGGGUCAAGUUAGUAAACCUCUAAAACGGAUGUUAGAGGUAGAUUCAAGGUGCGGUUUAUUCUCAACCGAGGGAGUUCGUGUUGGACGCGCACAACAUGAAACCGAGAGAUGAGAGUAGGCUCCCUUGCGUGACUUUCGCCCGAUUUGGGUCGAUGUUAUGUGUUUUGUACUUGACCUAGAGGGCCGAGGAUUAAUCGAGUUGUCGUGUUUCAGGAAACGAUGGCACCGCGUAGGCGAUCUUCUGCUAGAUCGACGCGGGAUGGGACAAGUGGUGUCCCUGAGCAGUCCGGAGCAAGUGGAGACUCGGAGCUCCACGAGCAGUUGGGAAUACUUGUGGGCGUAGUACAGCGUCAGCAAGAAGCUGCCAUACGCCAGGAAGAGCGGGUCAAGAGACUCCAAGAGACUGUGGAGCAGCUGGUGGCUGUACCGAUUGCGGCUUAUCGAGGACGACCGGAAGUUGCGGCGGAGAUCUCUCCGUCGGGGUCGGGCGAUCCGACUCCCGAAAAUGCAUUGGUGGAGGCGGAGAGGGAGCGAGUUUUGGCGGCCCUCAUUACCUUCAAGAAGUUUGAUCCGCCUACCUUUGAUCGAGAGAAUGUCAAUCCGUGAAUCGUGGAGAUGUGGAUUGACUCCGUGGAAACGCUCUUUGAGGAUUUGUGUACCUUGGAGCGGGAUAAGAUGCACCUAGCCGUGCAUUGUUUAAAACAAUCGGCGAAGGUGUGGUGGAAAGUCAUUAUGCGGAGCCGAUCAUCUAGUCUCCCUCCUAUGGAUUGGGAUGAGUUUCGGGGAUUAGUAUUUUCGGCUUACUUCCCCGACGUUGAAAAGAAAAAGCUUCAGGACAGGUUAAGAAAGCUGCGACAGGGAGACCGCUCUAUGAGGGAAUACGAACGGGAAUUCUCUCGCAUCGUGAAUUGUGUCCCAGAUGUGGUACGGGAUGAUAAGGAUAUGACUGAUUGGUUUGAGCAUGGACUUCGACCAGAUAUUUACGAGAAGGUGCAUAUCUUCAAGCUCACGACCUUCGCGGAGGUGUUGGACUGAGCGUUGUGGGCGGAGCACGGCCAGGCUUUCAUGCGUGAAGAGAGCAAAUCUCAUGAGUGUGAGCUGGGAGGAGUGAGGCCGCAAUUGAGCGGUUCGGGUGGACAGUCAAGUUCCAGGCGCCACUCGAAGUCGUCCUCUACUCGAUCCUCCCCAGGUUGUGUGAUUUGUGGCGGUUCCCACCAGGCGCGGCGGUGUGCGCUGCGUGAUGGAAAAUGUAUCCGUUGUGGGCAGCUAGGCCAUAUGUGGGAUGAGUGUCCGCAAGGUGAUAGUCGGGCUUUGACGCUGGCGACGGCCUUUUCCUCUCCGGGUGUCACGCCCCGUGCCCCACCUAUUUGGUCGGGUUCAGGUACGCCGACAGACCGCCGAACGGACAGAGUUUUCCCUAUACGUCCUAGGCGUCGCAAUCAAUACAAUACAAAGGUUCCAACCAGGAACACAUUUCAAUAAAGAUUGCAUAAGGAAGUAUCAAACACAUAAACUACAUGCUAUUAUAAGCAUUCAUUCUCAAAGUCCACAUACAACAAUUUGUUUACAUUGAACUUCGAAAAUACAAUCGAGUUAUUAUAUCAUUUAUUUACAAGUUUGAUACAUUUGUUCUUUUCAUUUUCCUCUACCCCUAGUCUAUGCUGACUUGGGGUACCGCUAUCUCUGGUCUCUGGGGUAGGGCGUUAUCUAUGGAGCUACGCCUUUGCCUCGCGUCGCCGCGCCGCUCACAUGCGAACCUGUAGCCCCCAAAACCACAUGGUGGUGAGAACUAUAAAAAUAUAGUUCUCAGUAGGUACGGCCACCCAAGAGAAAAGCUCAACCAAUAGGUCCAAGGAGCACUGCAACAUGUUAGUUCAACAAUAUACAACAGAUAUAUAUAUAUAUUCAAUAUUGAAAUACAUGUCAUGUCUCACAAUAUGCAGUAUGAACAUCAUGCAAUUCUAUACAACCAACUAGUAGAUCCAUUGAUUCUACUCUCAACUUUGCUAUCUUUAGCUCAAGUCAUCCAGCCUCUAAGGUUCUGCUACCUUAGUUUACAAUUCGAGUUCCACUCGCUCAUAAGGUCACGAUUACCUUGUCUCUUGCCUUUAUCAUUAGCUUAUAAGGUUUCCACUAUCUUGUCCAAGCUAUCCACCCGACUCGGUCUUGAGUCAACUAUGCGCCGAUAGUCCGUGCAAAGGCUACACUUCAGUUUGGCUACCGUUACAGCCUACCUGUAGCACACUGAACCUGUGCAAAUUGCGAGGUUCGAGUGAUUGGAUGUGUUCCGAGCUAUUCCACACUUGGUGGAGGUUCGUAGAAUGUUUUCUGACCUAGAAAGUUCGAAAAUCUAAGUUCUGGUCGAGUCCUGAGAGUUUUUACUCUCGGGGACCGGUCCCUGGUUGGGAGAGACCGGUCCCCCCCCGGAACAGUAUUGCGGCAGCCUUGAGGCAACCGGUCCCUGGCGAAUGAGACCGGUCCCCGAGCGCGUCCAAGCGGGGAGAGACCGGUUCCUGAACGUUGGAUUUUCGGGGCAGGCCGAGAGACCGGUCCCAUGUCGGGGACACCGGUCCCUCAAUCCGAAAACUGCCCAGUCCGGGCUGAUGCAAUAUUGGAAAUUUGAGGGUCUUUUUGGAUUUUGUUACAUUUGAUGGCUUAUAUGGCCAUUUCACCCUCUCCCUUUUCUCAUUUCUCAUUUUCUCAUUCUCCCAACACCCUAGAUAGAGAAGGNGGAUUUUGUUACUUUAGAUGGCCUAAAUAGCCAUUCCACCCUCUCCCUUCCUCAUUUCUCUUCUCUCAACCCUCCCCACACCUUUGUUAGAGAGAGAAGAAGAAGGAGAAGAAGAAGGAGAAGUUGGAGAGCAAGCUUGAGGGAGCUUUGGAGCAUCUUCCUCUUUCCCAUUUCUCACUCUUGGAGGCUUGGAGCUUGGACUUGGAGCCUUGUGGUGGAUUAAUCUUCAACCUUUAAGCAUUUUGAGCUUGGUUUAGAUCUCCUCUUGAGGUUAGUUGCUUAGUUCUCCCCUCUAGACCUAUUUUUGGUAGAUUUUGGGAGAUGAAACCCUAGAUUUGAAUUUUAGGGUUGAUUUUGGGGCUUUUUGAUUUACGGCUUUUGGAGCUCAAUCUAUUGGAUUAGAACCUUCCUCUAAAUUAUAUUGGAAGGGUUCUAGCUUUCUUUUGAAGCUUGAGAAGAGAUUUUACUCUAUAGGUGAGAUUUUGGCCCUUUUGCUUGGUAGGUUAAUGUUUGAGCUAGUAGUUGUUCGUUUACUUCUUGUAGCUCACUUUUUGAUACUUCUAGGGUGCUAGAAGACUUGUGGACAAUUUCGUCCGAGCUUACGAAGGAUUCCGAGGCAGUUCGGUGGAUUUGACCUAGCUACACAUUGAGAAAAUCUCAUUUGUGAUAAAUUGAGUAUCGUUAAAUGAAAAGGCAUGCAUAAUCAUGUUAGAUGUAUUAUUUAUGAAUUUUAGAAUGCUUAAAAUGGCUAUGUUACAUACAUUGUAUUUUCGGACCUCUAUGAAGUAGAGAACUUACAUGUGAGGCGUAUGUGUGCAUUAGCAUUCUUAUGAGAGAUUUGGGUUCAUGUUUACCUUGUAGAAAUGACAUAUGUAAAGUGCCUAUGGACUUAGACCUCAAUUGGAUAUUGAAACUAUUAUAAUGCCAUAAAGCGACAUUGGACUAAUGUGACUUGUGAAUUAGUGAGCUAAUUGAGCUCGGGUUAAAUGAGAACCUAGUAUUAAUGUCAUGAAUGGAACAUAGAAUAUGUAAUGUGCUUAAUUUAUAACAAGCUUAAAUGUCAUAAAGAGGCACUAAGCAUAGUGAGUGUUGGAAUAUCACCAUGUGACAAUGCACUAGAUCUUUGGGAUACUAGUAGCUUUGACCAUGUUAGAGACAUGAUGAUUGGACACUUGGGACAUUGACUACGCUUGUUUGCCAUUUGUGCUCAUUCGCACAUGCUUGUGAGGGUCGCUCCCUACAAGCCGGCACUCCGGAGUUGGCCUACGCGACUUAUGUUCGCUCGUGCGGUAUCGAAAAACCUACGGGGUCGGGAGGGAUAGACUCAUUCCUAGAGUGGGAAUGCUGGAGCUACCAUCGACACUUAGGUGGCAUAAGAUGGACUGCACUAUGUAGGUCCUAGAACAUGCUGGAAACAAUGACAUUCAAUUGGGAGAUGACAAUCACUACUAGAUAGGAUUAGUAGUUGGAUUACUAAGACAUGCUUAUAGCAUAGUGUUGGGACAUGUAGUAUACUUAAUAGUUUACUUAUUGCAUCAUAGUAUACUUGGUUGCCAUGAAAGAGCAUAAUCAUCAUAUAUUGUUAGAACAAAUCAUGUUAACUACUUGCUUGCCACGUUGGGACACAGUAGACAUGCAUGGGGUAUACCACAUCUUGAUAGAAUAUAUGUUCAAUAUAUUGACAUCUUAUGGUUUUUGGCAUAGUAAUUUAGCAAACAAUACUUGCUCUUAUAUUUACUGUUUAUUAUCGUACUUACCCUUUUCUUUUGGGGCCUAGUGGUGCAUUGAGUUGAGGUCAGUAAUUGCCCACUGGGAACUAUAAAUUAUAGUUCUCACGCCCUCUGUUUUAUGUUUUAUUUCAGAGCCUUCCACGCCGGGAGAGGCUAGGGACCGUGGGAAGGGUAUCGCCUCAAGCUAGCUUGGCUUCGAGGGACGCGUUGAUAGGUGGUCUACCUCUCGUCGUUUUCUUUUUGGAGAGGUUGAGAGCUGUACCAGUGUUAUAAAGACCACCCAUUUUGUGUACUUUUGAGAUGAUUUUUGUAUAACUUUAUGUUUCCUCUUUAUUAUUUAGUUUGUUUCAACUUCUCUUAUCAUAGACUAUAGAUGUGUACUUGCUCUGAUAUCUCCAGUUGUAGAUCAUCUCUUGCUUUAUUUUCACUGUUGUUGUAGACGCCUUAUAUGUGUAGACAUAUGGCGGGUCUGGGUACGCUACCGGAAGGGCCUCUGCCGGUCCCGGGGCAUGACACUACCGCACCUCUUGACUUAGCCAUCUGGCGGCGAACGCGUCGUCCUUACCCAGCAAUGACUCAAGUCAUAACUUAGCCAUCUGGCGGCGAACUCAUCGCAUCUCACCCAAUAAUGGUUCAGGUCACGACUCAACCAUCUGGUGGCGCACGCAUCGCCCUUACCCAGCAAUGGUUCAAGUCAAUCUAGGCGGCAUCAUCCAACAAGCUACCGCCCCCUGUGACUUAGCCCCAUAGCGGCGAACAGGCUGAACAGGCUCAAGUCACCAGGCGGUCUGAUCCACAAACCAGUUUAACCAUCUGGCGGCGAAAUCGUCGCACACGCCGAACAAUGGUUCAAGCCUCCGGGCGGUGAUCUCUGCGCAUUCACCCCCAAUCCUCCAUUUGUAUCAAUCUCGGCGGCGAAAUCGUCGCACACACCCUAGCCUUGAUACCAAGGUCAUCACAAGUUCUGAGAUUCCGGAAUCCACUUCCACAGGUCAGGGGUCUGUCCUCAACCCUAUUCUGUCGAUCUAUCUAGGUCCAAUGUCCUCUCCAUCCUAGGUCCAACUGACUCUAGGUUCAAUAUCUCUUUCAUGUCCGACCUAUGUUUAUUAACACUAGGUUCCAUGUCAUUCAUGUUCAACCUAUGUUCACGACACUAGGUUGGAUGCAACUCACCUAGAUCUAUUUGACUCUAGGUUCAUUCACAACCUAUGUUCUUUAACAGUAGAUUAGAUGCCACUCGAUCUAUUCGACAUCCUAGUUGUCCAAUCGAGCAUUUCACAUUAUAAUUUUUUGUUGUCGAGUUCUCUACUUACUUUAGAGUUAUCGAUCCCAUUCUCAUGCAUAUCCUCACAAUGCUAAUCAUGCAUUCAUGAUAAUUAUAUCUCAAGCAUUUGGCUUAUCUUUUACACUAUGUUAUCAACAUGCAUUCUUUUAGUAUUUACUACAUGCAUCAUCUAGCAUUUACAUGCAUCAACAUAAAAUCACAUUUUUCUUAGACAUACAGGUGACCUAGUCGCUUCGGUAAGCACAACCCACCUCGAUUCGCUAUCCGAUUGCUUGUAGUCACUUGCAAUCGGCCUACCGCGGCACUCGGCAGCCUCCCGCGGCACUCGGCACCCGGUUUGGCCCGAUCUUGCCAACGCUCAACAACCAUGCACCGCCUUGUAGUUUCGGGAAUUAAGGGUCUUCGUUUUGUUAUUACGGUGCUCAAGAUCCGUUUUCAUGAUUUAUGGAAGUCGCCUCGGCCCUCCAGGCGGAAACAAAGUCGAAAACACCUUUUUUAGCUAUAUCUCCUCGUAGGUUCGUCGGAUCGCCGAACCGCCUUUGCAAACGCGUCAGAAAACCUAGCAAUUAGGUUAAAGAGGGUCAAUUGAGAUCAAGCCCAACUAUUUACAAAAAAUCUCUUUUUGGAUGCCCUAGAUGAUCACUAUUGCAAAUACUCCAAAUCGAUCUUCGAUUCAUGCAAUAAACAUCUAUCUAGCAUCAAUGGGUUCUACCAAAUCCAUUCUUAGAGUAUUUAAACCAAACCCUAAGAAAUCACCAUUGUUGCUUCAAGAAGCUUACCUCUCAAGCUUGCUCCAAGCACAAGAAAAAGAAGAUGAAGAUGGCUCUCCUCCUCCUUGCCUUCUUCGCCUUCCUUCCCUCCUCCUUGCUUCCUCUUUGAAGAGAGAGAGGGAGAGCUAUUCUAGAGAGAGAGAGUGUGUGUGUGUGUUGGAGUUGGGGGAGGAAUGAGAGAAGAGAGAGAGGAAACCCUCUCUUAACCACUCAUAUGUCCAAAUUACAUAAAACCGCCUCCACUUCUUGCCUCGUGCACAGCCCUGCACUGGGCAGAUUUCGGGUACGGGGACCGGUCUCCCUACUGAGGGACCGGUCCCCGAGAGCAAGUCCUGCAGGCAGAGGGCUCUGCCCACUUCCACGGGUACGGGGACCGGUCCUCCGGCUGAGGAACCGGUCCCCGAGAGAAGAAUUCCUGCGCAGACUCUAGUUUGCCAUUUCCCACGUUUACAGGGACCGGUCCUCGAGCUGAGGGACCGGUUCCCGAGAGCAGAAAUUCUGCAGUUGCAGAAUCUCUCCAGCUUGCUCUCGGACGCCUUCCUCAAUGCACUUUUGACCUCUUUGAUGCUUUCGCCCUUUCCGAAGCAUACCCAACCAAUAAUAGGUCGAUUUCGAGCGAGGUUCAACUCUCGUACUUCGAGAACUCACUUCCUUACACCAGGACAGCCUGCGGGUAUGCCACCUGCGGCACGGUCGGGAGAGCGAGCGAUGGUGGUGAUGCAACCAAGGGGUUCGCGCGGGCGCCAAGUGGCCAUGGACACGCGACCCAGGUUAAGGAACCUGCUGCUGACGACGUCGUGGCAGGUAUGAUAAUAUUAAUGCAAUCAUGUGUUUCUGCAUGAUGUAAAAUUGGUGCAUUGCAUGCGUUGAGCAUAUGGUCAUUUACUACUAUUUGUACCUUAAUAUAGUAGGGACCAAGUGGACGGGUAAGUAUAGAUACCCGGGCAUGCUCAUGUUAUGAGAGCGUAGCAUCUGCCGGUGCAGGUAGAGAGCUAGAUGGCACUAGCGAGUUGCUAGUGAUGGUCUAAUGAUAAGAUUUGUGGUAGAGAUAGAAAUGGUGGAUCGACUCGCAAGGCAAUGUGUUUAGCUGGUUGCAAGAAUUGAGUCAUGGCACUGGUGGACACUCGAGUAGUCCGAGUGUUCCAGAUGUUGUUCUGGUAGAUCGAACAGUGAAAGUGAAUCACUGUUGACGGAGUGGUAUGUUGGUAGCCAAGUGCAGGCACGUGGGCCUAGUAGUACCUCGAUUUGAGGUAGGAUAAUGUGGAAGGGUAUAGAAAGCGUGCGACUCCCGAGUAUAGUUACUCGUGGAGUGCGGAUUUAGUUCAGCCGAGUAAGUGUGUGGCAGUAGCACCUGAGCAUUGCUAGGUGUGAAGCGUGCCAUGGAUCACUCGUAGGGCUGGUGGCUCGCACUAGAUGCAUAGGAGCCGGUAGUGGUACGUGUGCUCGAUAGAGCGUGUCAGGUGAUUGAUAGUAUACUAAGAGUGCGGUUGUGACCCAACCCGAGGAUUUGUAACGGUUUGGGGUCUUGAUUGCUCAUGGUUGGAGUGUGUGCGAAUUCCCAAAUGAGAAUUUCACUCCAAUGAUGAUUGCGCCUGCGCUUGCGAGCGAGUGACGCUAUGUAUGUUGAGACAGGUUUAGGCUGUAGGCCUACGUAGGAUGGGUGGCCUUUGGUCCACCUGUGAAAAUCGAGGAAAGCGAUUGGGCGGAUAGCCUUAACGAGGAGUUUGACUUGAGUUCACGAACGAAGCGUUUGUGUGAGCUUGUUGCGGAGGCAAAUUGAUGUUGGUCGUGGCGUAUGGAAGAGAAAGCAAAGUGUUCUCUAGGAGACACUUGGAUUAUGGAUGGCCACGCGGAGUUUGGAGACUGAUACUCUCUCGAGGAUUGGAAUUGAGAUAUGCUGAAGUAGGCCAUCUCGCAGUAAAGUACAAGUCCAUGUGGUAUUGGAGCAUGUAGAGUUGUCGAGUUUCGACUUGCACUGCCACCGAAGAUGACGGAGACCGUAAUGCACCUUAUGUGUUGCGCCUUGCAAACGUGUAUGCGUUUGAUUUCGUAUCCUCCGUAGCGGGCCUUUGAAUCGUUCUGAGGAACGUGGAGCCACUCCAGAGUGGGAAGUGCCUUGGUACCCUCAAUUACUCGAGAGGUCGAGUUGAGGUGUGGUUUGAGUUUCGCGGACGAAACUCUUUUUAAGGGGUGGAGAAUGUAAUAUACUGAAACUUCGGUAGAGUGUAUCGAAGUUUAGUCAAAUUGACCAAAGUGUGCAAGAGAAAUAGUUGGACAAAGUCCGUCUGACAUUCCAACAAUGUCGGAGGAGUUAGAGUUGAGUUUCAAGUGAGUUAGAAGGGUUUUAGCUUUGCUCGGCGCGAAUUGGAAGCGAAACAAUGCAAAACUUCAGUCUGGAGCAUUGUUAACCAGUAAAGCAUCGGAAUAGUACCGAUACCAGGCAGGCACCCAAGAGUAGCAGCUCUCGGGUUUGCCUCUGUCAAGCUGCUUAACCGAUAAAGCAUUGGGGGCGUACCUGUCACGCCCCGAGACCGAUGCCAAUUUGGCCCGACCCGAGCACGUCAAACAGACGCCGAACGGACAGAGUUUCCCCUAUCCGCCCAAGGCUCAUCACACGUACAUUUUCAUCAAUAGAGAAAAGCACUAGCGGAAACGUACACAAACGGCUUACUCGAGGGUAAGCAAUAGCCAUAAGUGAAAGAAAAAGGAAACUAAACAUUCACAAGUAAUAUGAUUCAUUUUAGAUCAUAUACAUUGCAUCCAUCUCUUACAUUCAUCGAAUUCUUACAUUCAUUACAUCAUUUCGUCAUGUCUUUCUUACAUCACCUUUUUACCUCAAAAUAAACUUUACAUUCUUUCCUUACAUCACUAAUCAUCAAAUACAAAAGAUGAUCAUAAGGUAACUUUACUACAAAAUGUAACCCAACUUGGUGGCCUCUGACUAAGGCGCGAUACCUUUACCGCGGUCGCUCGCCGGCUCGCUCGGUCCCGGCUCUGUG